AAAAGAUUAUCACGGCAACUUCAGCAUCACAGAGGACUGAGAGCUCAUAAGCUUUCUUCAGUAGCCCAUUCCGGCGCUUUGAGAAGGUGACUUGCCGGCUCAUCGCGUUCUCAAAAUUCGCCUCAUCUGAACUUUGCCUCUCACCAUGAUUAAAUUCUUCCUACAUACAUGAUGGUUAUCAACCCUAGAAUGAGAAGUACUCAAACAUAGCGAUGAACAUAACAAAUAUACCUCAACGAUCAAAAAUAACAACUCACCAGGGACUUUGGCAGCUUCAACCAGCUGAAGAUUUAUCUUUAUAUCCUCCUCCUAUAGUCUAGACUUUAGACGGAAGUUCUUGAGAAGCUAAAAACACUGCAAGACAAAUCACACUUUCUUUUUUUUUCAAACAGACAUGAAGUAUACCAUCAUUCGAACACGAGCAAAAACCACAGGAUAAAGAUUUCACAAUCAAAGGUCGGAGAAUUAUAGAUUUGCCCAGCGUAUUCAAGGGGGAAGCUUCUCUGCUCUACGUCAGAAAACGGAACCACAAUAAACUCAGAAACCCUAAAGAGGGAUGAGAGGGCGAAGACAAAAGCAAAAGAACUGGAUGAACGCAGAGGAUAUUUGGCAGUUGAUGGAUCUCUCUCUUUAUUUUUUGGCCACAAACAUAAAAAGAAAAAACAAAUCUGAUUAUUCAAAAUUCAACGAUCUUCUAAUCAGGGAAAAUAUGGUGUGAGCUACUCAUAAAAAGGAAACACAAACAAAAAAGGAAAGAAAUAAGGAGGAAAGCAAAGCAUUCAAGUUCAACCGAAACGGCAUGGUCGAUAUGGCAAUGAAGAUUCAAAGAAGCAGAAGGAUAAUCUUGUUUCGACAAAAUUAAGAAAAAGAGAGUAAAGAUAGAUACGGAGAGAGAGAGAGAGAGAGAGAAAAGAUAUUUUGUAUUUUUUCGGAAAAAAAACGUAUAUUUUGCCGGUGGGUUUGAGCUUCGGCUGCUGUGGCCUGUGGGACAUUCGAAAGAGAGAGCAGUAAGAAACGAAACGGGUGAAAAGAAAGAGAAAAAGGUCGUACGCUAAACUAUAAAUUGUGGACAUCAUCGUACCAUGGCGUGCGCAGCUAACCUAUGGGAACAACUGGGAAUACAUUAUCUAACUUAAACUCAGUGGGCCCCUACAUGACCAAUUGAAAGAGACUCUGUCCUUUUCCUGUCCUUUUCCUGAGCCAAAAGUCUUUAGGAAAAUGCAAAUACCUUUGACUUAAAAGGUGUUUUCCAAAAUGCAACCGUGUUUGGUAAAUUGUACUUUGAAAGCUCUUUGUAAAGUAUUUUGAGCAAAAUAGCGUUUGGGGAAUUACACUUACAAAAGAUCUUUGUGGUAAAAAAAAAAAUUAUCAAAAGAAAAAUUAAAAAAAAUUGACCAAAGGGCAGUGGCCGCCGGCGACCUCCGGCGACCUCCGGCGACCUCCGGCGACGCCGGAUCUGGGGCAGCGAGGUCGCGCGACGCCGUCGCGACCUCCGGCGACCUCCGGCGACGCCGGAUCUAGGGCAGCAAGGUCGCGGGAGGACCUCGCCGCCCCGGAUCUGGGGUCGCAGGAGGUCGCCGGAGGUUGCCGGAGGUCGCCGGGGGCAACUGCCCUUUGGUCAAUUUUUUUUGAUUUUUCUUUGGGAAAUUUUCGAGGGCCGCNNNNNNNNNNNNNNNNNNNNNNNNNNNNNNNNNNNNNNNNNNNNNNNNNNNNNNNNNNNNNNNNNNNNNNNNNNNNNNNNNNNNNNNNNNNNNNNNNNNNUGGGUCGCGGUGACCAGACCUUGCCGUGGGUCGCGGCGGUCGUGCCACCGCCUGGCGUCGCUCGUCUGGGCGACGGUCGCGGGCGACCGCUCGCGGAAGAAGAAGACCGUUGCCGCUCCAGAUCUGGGUUGCGGUGACCCAACCCUCGGUCGCGCCACCUCCGGUGUCGGUUGCGCCACCUCCGGCGUCGGUUGCGCCACCUCCGGCGUCGGUCGCGCCACCCCCCGACGAUCGCCGGCGUCCCUCUAGCAGUCGCCGGCCGCUCACAGUCAGCCGGAACCGAACCCCCCGGAGAAGAUGAACAGUAGCGACACAAGGGCAAGAACCGGAAAAACAAAACAUUCGUGAGGACAAUUUUGGAAAAAAAAAUUAUGAACAGUGCCCGCGUGGGCAUGCCGAAAAAGCCGAAAGCCCAAGGCAGGUCCCCCCCCGCCUUGGGCUUUCGGCUUCACACAUGCUGGCAUUUCCGAAAUGCGGGCUCAAAAAAUUUUCCCAAACGGGCUGGCAUUUGGCCAAGUACCUUUAGGCUUCAAAGGGGCUUUGGGAAGUGGUUCCCAAACGCACCCUCUGUCCUUUUCCUGUCAUUUUCCUGAGCCAAAUAGGAACAGCCUCGGGGCUCUUCUUCAAUCGAUUCUUCUCUUGGGUACAACGCCAAAGUCACUGAAUGAAAAGGUGAUCGGUUCCAGUUCGGUCCGGUUCCAAGGUGCGACCCAUAGCAGUGGGCNNNNNNNNNNNNNNNNNNNNNNNNNNNNNNNNNNNNNNNNNNNNNNNNNNNNNNNNNNNNNNNNNNNNNNNNNNNNNNNNNNNNNNNNNNNNNNNNNNNNNNNNNNNNNNNNNNNNNNNNNNNNNNUGUUCCGAACCAAUCAAUGAAAAUUCGCUUCCUCGGGGAUCUAAUAAAACUACUCACACAUGUUUUCACGUGCAAAAUAUUCAAACUUCACUUGCGUGAAUAUUAAUUAUAAUUUAUGUGUUUCACUCUUAAUUUUAAGCAUAAAAGCCAUGAACAAUUUGAGUAAAAUCUGUUAUUGGCUUAGGUUUUAUAGACAAUCUCUCUUCUAUGCUUUGAAUGUUUAGUCGAUGUUAGACUCUUUGAGGCCUGAAGUGCCUUGUUGUUUGCAAGUGAGGGGAGCAAGAGAGAGAGUGAGCAUGAGGAACUCCUAGAGCCUUAUCCCACAUCGAGGAGAAAAUAAAACUAACAAAUAAGUUUUCUAAGAGUUUUGGUGGUCUCUUGGCCACAUAAGAGAUUGUUACAUCAAUUGCAAUUACGAUUGCAACAAGUUUCAUAUAUAAUAUUCAUAUAUUAUAUGUGUUUAUAUAUUAUAUGUAUAUAAAUUAUAUAUAAAAAAAUUUGGUCCAGUCCAGUUGGUCCGGUUGGUUUGGUUCCCACCUUGAAACUGGGAACCGGACCGCCGACCGUGGGAACCGCCCAAAACCGGCCGGUUCAGUCCGGUCCGGUCCGGUCCCGGUUUGGGCGAUUUCUGUUGCACACCCCUAACUGAAUGGUAAGUCGUCCAUCUGAUUGACACGGACUAUCGGAAUAUACUUUAUUUGCUGAAUUACGUUAUAAGUGGGCAUUUUGCCAAAAGUUUAUAUUUGAUCAAUUUAUCCUUAUGUGAUUCCUAUUGAAUUAUAUAUUGAGAGAUUUGGUUCAGUAUUUCAAAAACUUAUUAAGAAAAUAUAAAGUAAUUUAAUUUAAAAUAUUUUGAGUAAAUGCAAAAGUUAUUUGGUAAACUAUACUUUAAAAAACAACUUUGAAAAAAAUAUUGUUUGGUAGAAAACUUAUUUAAAAAGUUUUUUGAGCAAGUAAUAUUAGUUUUUUAAUUUUUAUUUGUUUAAAAUUGAAAAAAAAUAAUCUAUGCAAAUUUUUAAAUAUAAAUUUUGAUAAUAUGCUAAAAGAAUCAAAUAUAUUCAACGGGUUUAUUCCUUUUUUUUAAAUUAUAUAUAUGUAUGAUUUUUAGCAUUAAAAAAAAAUAAUGAUGGCAAAAUCAAAAAUUUGAAGAAUGAGUUAUAGUAGUUUUAGAAGAAAAAAUGAGUUUCAGAAAGUUCAAUGGCAUUCAACCUUCUCAAUGUUGCUUUCCACUUGAAAGUUAAUUUAAAAUAAUUGUCAAAUGGUCCAGCAUUUCUCCAAAGGGUUUUGAAGGCCGAAAGCUCAUUGAAAAUGCUAACCUAAACGCACCAUAUGGGUUUACAAGCACAAGGAAUACUCAAAAUUAUUACAAUGAUAAAUUCAUGGAUAAAAUAAAUAUAGAUCCAUCGUUUAACUUAUCUUUUCUUUAUGUUCUUCUUAUAAUUCCUCAUUAUUUAGGGGUGUCAAAAAUAUCCGAAACUUUUCGGUUUGGGUAAAAGUAAAGGAAUUUGGGAAAUUUGACACUUCAGUUCAGGUUUCGUUUUUUUUUUUUUUUUUUAGGUUAUGCACACAAGAGAUCAAAGGCUAUUGACUAUGGUGCACUAAUCCCAAAUUACUUGAUUUUCUCAUUAGCAGAAAUGUGAUCUUCAAUCAACCCACCACCAAAAAGAAAUGUGACUUUCGAUAAGACUACUAUGUUUUGACAAAAAAUUAGUAGAGCAAACAUAUCAUAGUGUUAAAAGUAAGAUAACAAAUGUUAAGAUUGCAUAUGAGUCCGUAACUCCUAAAGUCAGUGAUAUUAAACAGCUAGCAAAAUCGUAGCACUCUCUAGUCAUAAGUAGAUAGAGAAGGCAAAUUAGGCCACCGAUACAUUAUGAUUAUACAUAUAUUACUUUUACAUUUAUUGUAGAGGGAUAAGGUAGAAACAAAUGAGCAUUUGUCUUACCAUGAGGCAAUAGUUAGUGCCGAUAAUUAUAGUGGAUAGAGGCUAUAGGUGAAUAGAUGGAAUCACUUCAUAGGAACUAGACAUGGGAGCUUGUUAGAUCGUCCAAGAGCCAAAACAUCAUUGAAAACAAGUGGAUUCACAAACGGAAGGAGGGCAUCGAGGUAUAUGGGGAGACUUGUUGUGAAAGGAUGUACACAAAGAGAGAGCAGCAUUGGUUACAACGAGGUGUUUUCUCCUAUCGCAAGACAUUAUUAUAUUUGAAUAUUACUCACCUUAAUUGCUAUACAAGAUCUUGAGCUAGAAGAGCUGGAAGUGAAAAUGGCAAUUUUUAAUGAUGAGUUGAAGGAGCGGAUUUACAUGAAGCAACCAAAAAGAUAUGUUAUUUCAGGUAAGGAAGAUCAUGUUUAUUUACUAAAAAAAUCAUUUUAUGGAUUAAAAAAGUCUCCUAAACAAUAGUAUAAUUGUUUUGAUGUUUUCAUAGCUAGUCAAAACUAUUCAAAAGUCAGUUGGAUAACUUACUUUAGGAGAUUGGAGAAUAGAUUUAUGUAUUAUUAUUUGUUGAUGACAUAUUAAUAACAAUUAAGAUUUUGUAUAAAAAUUAAUGUGUUGAAGAGGUAGUGGAAUAUGAGGUUUCAUAUGAAAGAGUUGGGUACUAAAUAGAAGAAAAAAUGUCAAAAACGCUUAUUGGAUCAAUUGUAUGAAGAGCUUUUGUUUUAUAUUAUGUUGGCUUAUUGGAUCAAUUGUAUGAAGAGCUUUUGUUUUAUAUUAUGUUGUAAGUUUUACGUACAAUUGAAUUGUUUAUUCAUAAUACUGUGGGUUUACGUGAAACAAUCAAGCAUGUAAGUAAUAAUUAACUCUAUGAUUCUCCAAUUAUUAGUAGAUAAUUUGCUGCUAACUCUUUUCUUUGAGGAGUUACCAACAUAUAGAACAAAUUGCAUAAAUUCCUAAUGCUUUUUUGUCCUGACUUAUUACUAUGGUGAUUUUGUAUUGAAUUAAUUUGCAAGAUUCGAUAUUUAACAUUUUAAUUUUACAAAAUUUAGAUGGACAAGUCACCAUAUCAAUUAUAAAAUACAAAUGAUGAGGACAACAUAACUAAUGCAACGUGUAUUCAUGAGGACACCAAAAUAGCACAGGCCUUUGAUUAAAGCACAUAUUGAUAACACAUGCCUUUGAAAUGCAUACCUUUACUAUUAUAUUAAGCCAAAGUGCGCACCUUGCGCAUACGACCAACAUGAACCAUUUAUCAUGCUUCUACAUCACAACAAUCUUGACCCUCUUGACUAUUCCACAUUUAAUUUUCAAUAAUUAAGUACAUUUUAUAGCGCAAACAUCAACAUACUUGGAGAGCAUCUUGUCUUUACCUACUCAAUAUGGAGGCGUGUCUUCAAAAUAAAAAUGCAAUCCAACUUCCACAGUUGCUAAUACUAAUUGAGUUCCUCGGACAAAAGGCAACCAUAACAUUCUCAAAGACUCUUAUACAAAGCUAAAAGGCUCCUAAACCAAAUUCGGAAAUCUAAAUACCCUAGGAAUCACACAAAUAAUUAUUAGUUGAGAUGACAGAUAUUUUUUCUCCUUCAACAAACCAACAACCUUGAGUUGGGUUCACAAGUAGAGUGUGUUUAGAAACUUGAUUAUACAUUUGUAGUUAUCUCUCCACUAUUUACAGUAUCUACAUGUAAUGGUUGAUACAAAGAGAAGUAUGUAUGUGUUUGUCUAAAUUAAGUAAUGGAUAAGUAUUGGAGAAGUAAUACUAAAUCAUGCAUUGGCAUAAUAUACACAUCUUUGAUUGAUCAAAGAUUUUAGCCCGUGGAUCAUUAUUUGGACAUGUAUAAAAGAGUAUUGUGGAAAGUCAUCAUUUAGUUUAUUGGUAAUUUGGUUAAAAUGAUUGAAAAAGAACCACUCAUUACAAAUAACAUUUUGUGUAAACAAAUGAUCCAAUUUUACUUUUAAGAAAAUUCAAAAGGGAUUCUUGUCAUUUUGAUCAAUAGGAUUCAUCCUAACAAAUUUUACAAUUAAUAGUAUUCUCACUUGAUAUUAAUUUGCUACCCCACAUCACUUUCACAAGAAAAGCGUUAAAAAAUUCUAAACAUUUUAUAUGUGUGCCAAUUUAGUCCUAAAUUUUUUUACUUGGUGCUAAUUCAAUCAUUCCCGGCUAAUUUUGGCCAAAUUUUGCCGAUUGGGUAUCGGCCAGUCGACAUUGACAAUUUUUAAUAAUAUUUUAAUAUUUAUGAAUUUUUUGUCUUUUAUUUUCUUUUUUCCUUCUCCUCUUCCUUCCUCCAGCCAAUCCUCGUACCUCGACGACUGGCCAGAGGUGAUGGCUGGUAAAGCUCAAGCCCUCGCCAUUUGCUACGAGGGCAAGCCUCACAGCCCAAGCCAUGAUGGCGGCCUUGCGCCAAGUUGGCAAGGCUUGCCCUCGUUGAAUCUGGCGAGGUUCAAGCCUCGCAGCCAUGGUUGGCGAGGCUUGAACCUCGUCGCCCAGCGCAAGGCCGCCCUCGUGGCCACUAGCGAGGGCUUGAGCCUCGUCGGCCAUCGCCUCUGGCUGGUUGUCGAGGACUGGCGACUGACUGGAGGAAGGAGGAAGAUAAGGAAAAAGGAAAAAAUAAAAAGAAAAUAAAAAAUAAAAAUAUAUAUUAAAAUAUUAUUAGAAAUUGUCCAUGUUAGCGUUAUGACUAAGUUAACAUAAAUGAAAAAAGUUUAGGACUUUUUAAACACUUUUCUUUCACUUUCACAUGUUUGUUUGAUGCACAAAAUCCUUUUUUUCUUAAUUAUGAGGACACUAAGGUACUUUUCGUGACAUAAGAUUGACUCAUCCAAGACAAUGUUCUUAUUUUAAGAAAAGGAAUUAUUGUAGUAUGAUGUUUUAUAAAAAUAACACUAGUAUUGGAUUAUAGCUGACAAGCUAGCCAUAGAUCUUUAUGUAGUGUGACAUCCCGAUUUUCCAAUUAUAUUUUCAAUAAAUUGAGACGGUCAUUUCGUUGGCACACAUAUAGUUCUUUUCCCUGAACUGAUCACUCAUGGGAUAACUAGUGUCACGCCCCGAACCUCGAGCGCGCCAACAUCCCACCAUGGUCAUGUAAAUGUGACAUUCUCAAGUAGUGUCGCCGACCCCAUUCAUUUAUUAUUGCGCAAGCGGAACGUAUUAUAAAAUCCCUGACAAUGAAAUACCGGAUAGAAAAGCAGGAAGCAAAUUCACAACCAAUCACUUACAUAAACCAACGGAGUUACAAACGAAGGCCUACAGCCAAAAGUCUACAAAAAACCGGCUCUUAAAAAUGAAUUGUCUUACGACCUAUAAGUCAGACACGUUCUCCAAUCCUCAUGACUUCACCUCUGCAACUCCUUAAGGUCAACCAAAGCUAUCUAGCCGCUCCGUCCACUAGGGACCUGAAAUUGCAAUCCCCCAACCGGGAUGAGAUAAUGUCUCAGCAAGUUCAACCCCCUAAACCCCUAUUAGAAAGAAAAUACGCCUAAGGGUGGCAUAGCCACACAACAUAGAGGACUUACCUCGCAUCGGUUCCUUCCUGCAGGUUAGCACAGUUCAUAUCACUCAAUCAUAUGCAGUAAUAAGAACUUAAACAACCGGAACGCAUUCACUUUCAUAUAACCAACAAUCGCGGGGGUCCUGAUUAUAAGACUAAAUCGUUAUAACACGUCACAUUCCAUGCCACACAAUUCCGUCCCAUAAUCCGGCACAUCAACAACACUCAACAUGCAUUCUAACUGUUAUUCACUGCCACACAAGGGCAUAGCCUACUCGUAGUUCGGCUAUCUACUGGCAUAUAGCCAGGCAUCGCCUCCCCACCUUGGAGCGCGGCUUCGUCAGUACGUCGAUGGCGUUCCCGAAGGAGCAUGGGCCCCAGAAUCAACUGCGACCCGCAACCAAUACGUGGGCAUCCCAUAUAGGGGCAAAUCUGGUUCAACAGCCUAGGACGAUCUCCUCUUAAUUGUCACACAACAAUUCAUAUUCAACCUGGGACACUUUGCAUUUCACUCAAUGCUUCCACUUAAAAUAGUGAUCCCGACCAUUUUUCUUCAUAUUAAAAAUAAUCCAAAAAUUAACCACGUGUGUGGGGGCACGUUAAUUUCGAUCCAGAAAACCAAUAUCUCACUUUUUCAAACCCCACUAUUUAAUAUAAUAUUGAAAAUCCAAUUUUUGCAUCAAAACCCGACACUUGAGUUUUUAUGAAUAAAAUCUCUAUUUAUCACAAUCAACACUCAAUUUGCCACAUCCAUUCAUCAAAUUCAAAUUCUAAAUGCACAGCAGCGAUCAAUACGAAAUUCUGAGAAAAUAAGGUCCCAAAAUAAUUUUCGAAAUUUAUUAAAUAAUUAAAUUUAUUCCGAAAAUUAAUUAAAUAAUAUCCAUAUUUUUCACGAUCCACACUCAAUUUAUAAUAUCCAAUCAUCAAUUUCAAAAUAUGACUACACAGCAGCGACCAGCGCGAAAUUAUGAGAAUUUAGGGUCCUAACAAAAUUUUCGGAAUUUAAUAAAUAAUUAAAUUUAUUCCGAAAAUAAUUAAAUAAUAAUAUUUUAAUAAUUUCGAAUAAUAAUAUAUUAUUAAAUUAUUUAAUAAUUUCGAAAUAUUGAAAUAAAUCAAAAGUAAAUUCCUUUAUGUCAAAUCACAAUUAUACUAAUAUAAACAUCAUUUUAACAUGAACUAAACAUACUUUAAAUUAAACCAACCUCUUAAUCUAAUUCACAAUUAAAUAAACUAAACUAGCCACCUAAGCUUACUUAACUUAGACUAAGCAUACUUAUGGCAUUAUUAACCCUCUAAUCAAGAUUUAGUGAGUUAAACUCACUCAAAUAAUGAGCCGAGCAGACCAAAACGACAGGGACGCCGAGGGGAACAACUUUCUUCAAAGCGGGCCAAGCGUCCGGGGUUGGGAAGCCGGCCAAAACAGCCCAAAACCAGGCUGAGAUAUCCACUAAAACCAUCUGUUGUUUGAGGCAAACGGAGGGCUGCAUGGCGGCGGUUUGGGCGCGAAACCGGCGAGGAUGGGCAACAGCAACUCCAGCAGUGGUUGGCGACAACGAACAGUGGCGAUGGAGGCUCCGGCAGAUGGCGACAAGCAGCAGACGAAGAUUGGAAACUCGGGCUACGGACGACCGAACGGCGGGCUAGCCGGCGAGGCGAGCGCGGGUGAUGCGUGCGGUCGAACGGCGGCGAUGGCGACAAGCGAGCAGGCGGAGGGUGGCCGGUUAGGAGUGCAUCGCGCAAGGGGGUUUGGACGGCUGGUUUCUUCAGCUUUUUCCUCCCCUCUCUCUCUCUCUUCCCAAGCUUGAAGAUGAUGGAGACAAGGGGGAAGUGACAUCCCACCUUUUUGGGAUUAAAUCUCCACCCUCCAUGUGUCACCACCCUAGCCAAUCUUGCCCCACCUCAUGACAUCACUUGUGAUGUCACAAUCCACUAACUCCAAUCUCCCACAACCUUAUUCCAAUAGGUUCAAUUUCAUUUUCCGCCGGGCAUGAAAUCUUGUACAACAAUUCCAAUCAAUUCUCUUCUAAUUAAAGCCCAUAAAUUAAUCCAAUAUUCCUAAUAAGAUUUGUGACACACCAGGACUUCCAAUUUCAGAAUUCAAUCUCAAUUUCACGGUUAAUUUCACUUUGGCACGAUACUAACCCGUCCUGAUCUACCGGGCAGCUUUUAGAAAUUUUCAUGCAUUUGACCUGUGAUUGAUCAAUUCAAGCCACAAUGUACAUGGCAGCUUUUAGAAAUUUUCAUGCAUUUGACCUGUGAUUGAUCAAUUCAAGCCACAAUGUACAUCUUUGAUACAAUGGCGACUUAAACGUCGGUCCAAUGCCGAUUGAUCAGAAUUGUGCGAUCUGGUGGAAUCACCCACACUUGAUCACAUGCCUCCGUCGAGUCAACCUAUCUCCGGUCUCUAAUCGAUUUUUAAUUGUAUCAUAAUGACCCUUGCAGAUUAGCUCGAUCGAAAGGUUGCUUCCUGGUCAAAUUCUCGAGUCUGAUGCAUUAGAAUCUCUUAACGGCUUCACCUGAUAGACUAUUUUUCACAUGAGUGGCCAAUUCAAGGAAAAGAACUAUAUGCGUGCCAACGAAAUGCCCGUCUCAAUUUAUUGAAAAUAGAAUUGGAAAAUCGGGAUGUCACAACUAGUCUAUCAGGUGAAGCCGUUAAGAAAUUCUAAUGCAUCGGACUCGAGAAUUUGACUAGGAAACGACCUUUCGACCGAGUUAAUCUGCAAGGGUCAUUACGGCACAAUUAAAAACCGAUUAAAGACCGGAGAUAGGUCGACUCGACAGAGGCAUGUGAUCGAGUGUGGGUGAUUCCACCAGAUCACACGAUUCUUGUCGAUCGACACUAGACCGACUUUUCUGUCGAUUAGGUACCUUAUGUCCGUAUUUGAAACCUUGAGAUUACCCCGACAACCGAAAGUCAUCAAUGUGUCAAAGACGUACAUUGUGGCUUGAAUUGAUCAACCACAAGUCAAAUGCAUGAAAAUUUCUAAAAACUGCCCGGUAGAUCAGGACGCACUAGUAUCGUGCCAAAGUGAAAUUAACCGUGAAAUUGAGAUCGAAUUCAGAAAUUGAAAGUCAUUGUGUGUCACAAAUCAUUUUAGGAACAUUGACUCAUCUUCGGAAGAUUUUUCAUGUAAGCCGAACUUUUCAGCAAUUAAAUCAGAGAAUGGCUAAUUUGGCUCGAGAAAUUAGUAGGCCCGCUUUUGGUCGUGCUUUUGGGACUCAAGUUGGUUAUAUGGUCAAGUGAUUACGUAAAUUGAAAUGUGGUGAUAUUAGAUUAAUUUUAUGGACUUCAAUUUAAUUCAAUUGGAAGGAAAUUGAAUGAAUUGUGUUGUACAAGAUUUUGGAGAAUUCAUGUCACGGCGGAAAUUGAAAUUGGACCUAUUGAGAAGAUUGUGGUGGAAGAUUUGGGUGAGUGGGAAGUGAUGUCACAGGAGGUCAUGGUGGGCCAUUUUUGUUGGAUUAAAGAAAAAGAAAAGGAAAAAGAAAUGGUUUCAUCUCUCUCUCUCUCCUUCCUCUCUCCCUUCCGUCGAUUUCCCUUUCUCCAUCUCUCUUCUUGCUGCUCGACGGAACCGAGCAGACCAGCGAAGCCGGAGAAGUCGCACACCUCCGCCGGAGCCAGACUCGCCGCCGCACACCGUCGCUUCUCCGCCUUGCUCGCACGCCCUCCACCUUUCUCUUUCCUCCUACAACCGUCGACUUCUUCUUCUUCUUUGUGCUAUUUGAAACCCAACAGCAAGCCAGUAGCUCAGCUCAUCGCCGUCGCACGCCGCUGGACCGCCACUGCCGCCGUUCGUCCCCGCGCAGGCCGUCGCUACUCGCCGCUGCUCCGCACGACUCUGCCCGCCUCUCGUCUACCCCUGCAUCGCAGCUUCUGCCUCAUCUCGUGCUAGAGCUAUUCAGCCACUUCCGGCCACUGUGAGACCCCACCGUUGGCCGCACGGCACCGCCACAGCUCCUCCACCCGUUUCUGACUCAAGCCGGCACCGAAUCGACCCUUUCCCAGCCCCAACCAACAACGCAUAGAGUGGAGAAAAAGUGGGUAUUGCUGUCCGGUUUUGGCCUGUUUUGGCUGGCUUCCUGACCCUCGAAUGCUCGGCCCACCUUGGGGAAAUCCGAUCCUCAUGUCGAUCCCGUCAUUUUGGUCCGCUCGGCUCGCUAAUCCGGUGAAUUUAGUUCACUAAACCUCGAUUAGAGGGUUAAUUAUGUUUAUGGAGGUUUAGUUUAUGUUAAGUGUUAUUAGGUGGUUAGUUUAAUUUAUUUAAGUAUAGAUUAGACUAAUGUGUUUAAUUAACUUAAAGUGUGUUUAAUUUAGUACUAAGUGGAUGUUUAUAUUAAUAUAAGCCUUAAUGUGACUUAAAUGAAUUUAAUUUUGAUUUAAAUAAAUGUUUCGAAAUUAUUGGAUUAUUUAAUAAUAUAUUAUAUUACGAAAAUUAUUAUAAUAUUAUUAUAUAAUUAAUUUUCGGAAUAAAUUUAAUUAUUUAUUAAAUUCCGAAAAUUUUGUCGGGACCCUAUAUUCUCAUAAUUUCGCGCUAAUCACUGUUGUGUAUUCAGAUUUUGAAAUUGAUGGUUGUAUAUUAUGAAUUGAGUGUGGAUUAUGAAAAAUAUGGAUAUUAUUUUAUUUAAUUUUCGGAAUAAAUUUAAUUAAUUAAUUAUUUUCCGGAAAUUAGGCGAUGAUGGCCAAUGACCAGAAUUUUAUGCUGAUCAUCGUGGUGCAAUCCAUUUAUUUAUUUGAGCUUUAUUUUGUACUAACUUGAUUUAUGAGUGAUUUUAAGAUUUAUUCCUAAAUUGAAUAAUCUUUGGUUAUUAAUUGAAAAAUAAUCGGGCAUCGGUUGAUAAUGCCAAAAAUGUUUUGGUAGAUUACAAAAAAUGAUGGGAUAUAUGGAAAGGGUCGAGUGGGACCGUAAAGCCAUUGAAUCUUGAAAUGGUCGAUUGGGACCAUAAAGCCAUUGAAUCUUGAAAGGGUCGAGUGGGACCGUAAAGCCACUAAAUAUAGAAAGUGUCGAGUGUGAUCGUAAAGCCACUAAAUAUUGAAAGUUGCUGAGUGUAGCCGUGAUUACCACUAAAUUUAGAUUUGCCUGGAGGGCCGUGUUUGAGGGUCGAGAAUGAAUAGUCAGAAUGACCGUGCGAUGACCUCGAUGACAUGUAAUCGACUGAGUUGAUUGAUCGCUGAGUCGAUCCGAGCAAGUGAAUUGUUUGAAUUCUAUCACCGUAUAUGCCUGAGUGAUAUGAACAUGAUUGAGUGAUUUGAAUUGUGCUAACCUGCAGAAAGGAACGGAGGCGAGGUAAGUCCUUUAUGUGGUGUGGCUAGGCCACUCUUGGAUGUAUUUUCUUUCUAAUAAGGGUUUAGGGGGUUGAAUUUGCUAAGACAAUGUCUCAUCCCGGUUGUGGGAUUACAAUUUCAGGUCCCUAGAUGGCGGGCGGUCGUGGAGAACCCGAAGCCCUAAGUCUGGAAAGGUGGAAACUGAAUAAUCGGUGAACGUGUCCUGCUAAUUGGUCUUAGGAUAGUUCCCCUUUUGUCGAACUGGUCUAUUUUGUAGACAGUCCAGUGUUGUAUUUAAACCUAUGUUUUUAUAAAUGAGUGUUUGGUAUUGUGAUUAAUUGCAUACUUUUCUAUCCCAAGUUAAAUGUUGUCAGGGGAUUUUUUUCGCUUCCGCAUGCGUAAUAAAAUGAAUGGGUAGACGACGUAUCCAGGGAUGUCGCAUAUUUGAUCGACCGCAGUGGGAUGUGCGCGCACUCGGGGUUCGGGGCGUGACAUGUAGACUAACCCAAACUCAUUCCUAACAAAUGACUAAGGAGAGGGGCCCAUUCUCUUUCUAAUCCAAGCUUGUACACAAACUUUUCUGUCACGAAAAAGGAAAACAAAGGGAAAAAUAGAAAGCUUAUACAUAAAUUUUAUUUCCUUUUUCUUAUUUAUUUGUGUAUCUUCUUAUUAAUUGCUAAGUUGGAUGCACUGUCCAUCUUAGUCAUCUCAUGUGUCAUAGGAGAAUUACCUGAAAGAUCUUAAAUUUAUUGCAAUUGUGACAAUUUAAUUCUAAACUUUUUUUACCAAUUUAGCCCCAAAUCUUUUUAAUUCAAUCCAUCUAAUCAAAUUUGAUUGAUUGGCGCUGAUAUAAAUGUAGGCUGGUGUCAGUCGUUCGGUGAAUGUUAACGUGAAAUAUUUUUUCGAAUUUUCAAAUUUUUUUCCCAUCUUCCCCCUUCCUUUGGCCAAUCAAAGGCGAGGGCCAACAAGGUCACCUCGCAGACCAAUGAUGAGGCUCACCCCCGCUAACCACUAACAAGAGUGAGCCUCACCCAACCAUGGUGAGGCCCUGCUACAUCUAGCGAGGCUCGACCUCACCCAACCAUGACGAGGGCGAGCUUCAACAACCACAAGGUUGACCCUCGCCAAACCUAACCAUGGUGAGCCUAGUGAUAGCGAGGCUGACCUCACCAUGGCUAGGCGAGGCCUCACUAGUGGCCGAGGUGACCAACGUUGAGCCUCGCCCUCGCUACUAACCAACGAGAGUGAGUCUCGCCAUUGGCCAACAAGACUAAUCUAUGGCUGAUGACGAUCAUCUAGAGAAAGGAGGAAGGGAAAAAAAUAAAAAAAGAAAGAAAAAAAGGAAUAAAUAAAAAUUAUUUAAAAAUUCUAAAAAAAAUAAAAAAUUAUCUCGUCACUAAACGGUCUAGCUGAUCAAAUUUGAUCAAAUAGAUUGAAUUGACACAAUUAAAAUGAGUUUAAGGCUUUUUCGAUAAUUUUUCCCAUGUGUCACUCAUUAUCCUUAAAUGUCUGUCCCUCCAAUCCCCUGCCAAUUAAGGCAUCACUCACGAGCUCAAAUGGAAGCUAGCUUCUGUCAGAUGGAAAAAAGUUGGACCUCUUUGUUUGGAAUGAGUUACAAGUCUACUGAGUAGCCUCAUAUUGCGACAUGACAAUUAUGAUUCCAUAAAAUUUCAAAUGCCCAUGACCCUCACGUCUACAUAUGUCUACGCUGAUGAAAAUUAUAGAGGUGAUGGAUGAACAUUUUUCGGCUUAGCCAACCUUUAGGGGUGUCCGACAAAAAACAAAAACCUUAAAGAGGUGUCCUUAGACCGAAAAACAAAAUAAAUUAAAAACCUCAAUGAGGUGUCCAAUGAUGUUGUUGAAAUGCAUGCAAGCAGUUCGAAAAUAUGUUCAAUAGAGACAUUUCUUUCUUGGAAUCAACCGAUGUUGUAAUUCAAAUUUGAAGUCCAAGGUGUAGGCAAGUUAUUUCCUUUGUUUCGCUGAGUCUUCCUUGUAUAUGUCCUUGUCGUUGUUCAUUUCUAAUAUGAUCUUUCUUUGCCUUCGCUAUUCUUACUCGUGGAUUUUUGAAAUGACUACCGUGAAUCCCAUGCACAUGUUGUCUUGGCAAUGCUAAGGGAAUCCGGCUGAGUAAAGAUAUCACCAAGUGAUAUUGCUAUAGUUUUUAUUUUAUUCUAUUGAACAUGUAUUAUUAGGGUGAUGGCGAACCAGUUUAACUCUCUGGUAAUCCGAUGAACAACCCAGUCUCAACAUCUGUACUCCAGCUGCUCCGGCUAUGUAUUGCUGCUGCUCUUGGAUGAGCUGUUGAUUGCCCAGGAUUUGCAAGACACUGAAAUUGGAAGAAAGAAAAAAAAGGACCCAAAAUGCUUUUAAAUUUAAUGAAAUAACAAAUGCAAUUGAAUGGUGAUGAAGACUCUGGAAACCUUCACUGAAUUAAAAUGGGAAAAAGCUUCAACGCAAUUUGAGAUUUACAAGCAGUGAACAAGCCUUUCACUGGAUCAAAUUAGGUGGCGAAGCAUCUGUCUAUGUGCUCAGAUCUAUUAAUUGUCACUGGGAAAUUUCAAUUUUUCCCAACAUCUGACUCUAGAAGAGGUUCUCUCCUCCAUGGUCGGAAAAAAAAAAAAAAACCCUAAAAGUGGUUAGCAACACCAACCAUGCCUACGAACUUCGGUUCCACCUAUAGUCAAUGUCUAAAGUACAGACUAGUAUCUCAUGAAAGUAAUAUCCUCUAUGUUAUUGUAAUUUUAUAAGAAGUGGUCAUAUUAAAAGGCUAUUAGUUUUUGUUAUCGAGUUAGUGUUUUCUACACAGAUCGUCUAAUGUUUACAACAUCAUAGAAAGACACAAACUUUCAUACCUUCUACAAUCCCAUGUUAGAAGCAUAGAAUUGUACCUGAUGAUAGCAAGUUGGGUAGUAGUUUUCUUAACAUUAAUUACUCAGAAACAUCGUGCUACUAAUUUUUAUUACCGUAUUGGUAAUUACUAACUUUUUGAUAUUUUCACUAGGAAAGUUGAAUUUAUCCCAACAACUAACUCUAGAAGUGAUUCUCUCUUCCAUUCUAAUAAAAGACAAGGAUAAAAAAUAAAAAAGCUUGAAAAGUGAUUAGGUACGCCAAAUGUGAUCACUAAAAGUUUUGGCUGCAUCUAUAGUCCCUAGUUGGAAAACCCAAUACGUUCUUCUUGAAAUAAAUAUUCUCAAAAUUGUGAUAUCCACAAUGCGGGUCACUACUCAGUGUUAGUAACCUUUUUCUUUUCAAGUCAGUAACUUCUAAGCAGAUCAAGUAAUGGUCAGCACAGAAAGACACAGAUUUGGGUCCAUCUACAAUCCUACAGUCUUACAGUCUAAUAUACAUAGUUGUAUCUCUUGAUCGUAAUUCCCCUAAAAUUUGUUUUCCCAACAUGAGUUCGUAACUCUGUAUUAGUAACUUCUAUCAUGGAGUCAAUCACUUUCUUAAUAGAUCAAGUGUGGGACCAUAGAAGCACACAGAGAUCUGAGUUUGUCUACAGUUCCAUGCAAAAGAGAUAAGUAGUAUUGUAUCUCGUGACAGUAAAUUUAUCAAUGUGACAGUAAUUUUCUCAACUUGGAUUAGAGGCUUAGUGCUUGAAAUAAGUUUCAAGCAGAUCAUACGGUCUCAAGAUCAUAGAAUUCUUCGGUGAUGUUCAACCUAUCUGCUCUUUUGAACUUAUGCUAUCAAAAACAAAACUUCUCACAGAUGGAGAAAGGUCCAACAUAAAUACAGGUACAUAACCCUGAAAUUAAGUACCUCUCAUUAUGCAUUGUCCUUUUCAUAAAAACUGGUCAUGUAGCAGUACUCUUUAAAGGUUUUAGCACCAGGACCAAUAGAGAGCAAGACAAACUGAUGACCAGCAAAUUUAACCAGGACAACAAACUGUACAGCACACAAUCUACUAAUAUUAAUUUGAUGGACAAAAGCAACAAGCUUCUUCACUACACAAGCGUGUUAGAACAUUAGGGCAAAAACCAUUAUUAAUCAUUAAAGACCUCUCUCGGGUCUUAGCAGAUCAUAGAACUACACUGUUAGAUCAUACAUGAAAAUGAUUGAGAGGUUCUAUUUCAGGUUUCACAAGUUUGUGGAUAGUGGUUAAUAUAUGCACAGAAACGUGAUGAUGCAUGACAAGUGACAGGAAGGAAACAAAAGCACAGAUGGGAAAGAGGGUGACACCUUUGCAAGAAGCUUUUCAUUCUCUUCUUUCAGAGACCUCUCCUGAAGUACACCAAAUAAAGUUGCUAGAUUAAUAUAACCAGGAAUUUAACAAUGCCUGAUGAGAUCGGAUAUGCAUUCAUCAUAUUUGUCCACUUACCUUUGCUUGUAACUGCUGUAUCUGAUCAUUGAAUAAUUGAGCCUGUAAAAGAGUUCCAUAGAAAUAUUUUAACUUUCGUGUGUGUGCAUAUCUUCCCCAUACGUUUCUUAGCACAAGGUGGUAAAAAAAGAGAGAAAAUAAGUUGAAAUGAUGGACGAUAGAAAUGAAAGGACAAUGCUUCGCAAAUUGUCCAGAAACAUAGUUCAAGUGAUAAGUAGUACAUGGAAAUCGGUGAGGUUAAUAUAAUAAAAAAACUCACGAUAUUCUAUUAUUUCGUGCCAAAGAAUGCAGGGUAUUUUUUUUUUUUUUUUGUUUCAUGUUGAUAAGUAUUAAUUUGUGUCAAUAAGUGCCAAGAAACCAUUGAUAAGAAAUGAUCGAUGAAUUUUUUUUUCUUUUUUGGGUCAGAGAAGAAAAGCCAGUCAUUUAACCAAACCAAAUAAACUCGUUAAAUAAUCAAAUAAGAGUUGGUGACACGGAAUUAGUUGGUUACUUAAUCAGAGAAAAGUUAGUAACUCCUAUAAUUAAGAUUGGUAAUUUCUAGUUGGGUUCCUAAGUAAGGCAAACAUUUAUGUGUGUACGAGUCUUAUAAGUGAAGAUGAAGAGGAGUGAAACUAUUUUUAUCAACAGAAUUUAUUUUAUAACUAAGAAAGUGAUAAAGAGAAGAACUAUCUGCUGAAGUUGUUGGCACGUAAGGCAGAUGAGAAACAGUAGACCUCACUCUCCACCAAAGAAAGGGCUAGAGUAGGAAAAAUUGCACUAAGAAACACCAAAUAGGAGAUGGUAAGUUAGUCACACGAAAGUUGGUAACCCAAAUAGAGUUAGUAAUUUAAGUGAAAUAUAAGUUUGUCUUGGUAAAUAUAUAUAAUAGCUAUCACAAUUAAAGAAAUGGUAAAAAAAGAAAAAAAAUUAAAAGUUGAUAAAAAGAAAGAGAUGUUGAUAAUUGCACAUUGUUAAAAGGAGUUGGUGAUUUCAUAAAAGUGUUGGUAAAUUAUUAAUAAAUUAGUUAGAAAUCAGGUAACUGCAAAUUUUUUUAUUACAAUUUUUUGUCACAUACAACUCUUUCAAAAGUUUACCAGCCUUUAAAAAUAUUCAAUCUUUUUUCUGUCGAAAAAGGAACAAUAGAGUCGUCCAAAUAACUCUAGGAAAAAUAAUGAUAGAAGAAUAACCAUGACAUUUUCCUCCUUUAUUGGAAAAAGAGAACGGGUCAGUAACGAUGAAGAAAAAGGGUGAUUUGUGAAUGUGCUUUCAUUCUUUUAUAUUAGGUAGAAAAUGCCACGUAUGCUUGGAGAAAAAUUGAUUCUCUCCUUUCAGACGCCAAGUUUAAUGUGUUUAGUCUACAUGCAACUGCAGUCUUUAUUGAAACUGGUGUUUCCGCUCCUGAAUGCAAUUGCAGUCUCUAUUGAAAUUGGUCAGUCUUGUUAGUCGUUCAAGGGAAAUUGUUUCUCAUUGUUUUCUUUCCCUUCUCACCAUAUCCAUGCCUCCAAAAACAGCAGCUACUCGAUGAAAGUUCUCAAAACACUUUAGGCUCAGAGAAAAGGACAAAUAUGCCAAAGACGCGUGUACCUUUCUUUCCCUAAUGCUGCUCAAACUUCGCUCGAGCUGAUCCCCUAUCUCUUGGAUUUCGUCAAUCGAGCAAGAUCCGAGACAUUGUCCUGAUAGCUUGCUGAUGUAAAAAAGAAAAAGGAGUACCAUAGUUUAGGGAAUUAGAUAUCAAGAAUCCAUUUCGAUCCACAAUUUAUAAGAGAGAAGUCUCAAAAUUUGUGGACCGUAGAGAAACUUCAAGAAGCUCAAUCUUCCUCUCCAUAUCCGUGGUUUCUUGCUUCAGAUGCUGCACAUAUAUGGAGAUUGUGAUAUUUAUGAAUCCAGUGAACGGAAUAAUACAAACUGAACAAAUGUGAAAUUAGUAAAGGAUAAAACCAAUCAUAGUAAACAAAUCUGUCACACCACAGGAUCCUGCAAAACUACGACUGCUACUACAAGAAUCCUAAUGUUCUUGCAAAAUUUGUAGCUGGACACAAACCAUGGUCGCUUCUAUGGCUUAGCGCCUCAGUAAUUCUUGACAUCAAAAGUAGGGUUCUUAUCAAGAACGUGGUUCGAUAUUAUUACGAUCUGCAAAUACUUACGUAUGGGCUCACACCAACUGCCAAUUUCAAAACUUCCUUCCAGAAAACAAUAAGAUGUAGAUGCCCAAGGAGGUGAUGUUUUCGAGGUAUCACGUGGAGGGUGAUGAGUGGGAUUUCAGAAGCUGAAAGCAUUUUAGACGACCAGUUAAUGUCCUGAGGACAUGUACAAAGACCAAAAUAGCACUUUUAAUGUUUCGAUUAACUUGAAACCUAUUUGUCUCUAUACAUAUCAGCAGUUUCUCCUCUCUGCUUCCCAGUCAUUGCCAAACCAGAAAGUAAGUUCAUCCGCAACUUAUCUCGGAUAUAUACACCUUCUCAUUAAGAAAAAACUUACCACAUUAAAGAUACAUUCGGAAAUUGAAUGUCACUUGACUCUAUCCCUCUUUUUACAAGUAUAUCAUCAUCAUUAGUAUGAUCCCUACCUUGUGGUUCUAGUGAUUCAUUUAAAUCAUGUAUGCGGGUAGAUUUCUCAUGUGAUCUUUGCAUAUGAGGCGACUAUUUAUGUAUACACAAGCACAUAUUAUAAGGUUGCUGGGGAAAUAGGAUUUCUCGCCAUCUGUGUUCGUGUAUAGACUUCUUUGUAAGCCCUAUCCUGAAAAAAGUUAUGUUUGAUGUUAUAUGUUAAUCCACCAGGAAAAAAAAAAAAACAGCAGGAAGUUGCUUUCUUACAUACAGCAAAAUGAAUGAAAUCGAACUGCUCAACUUGCUUAACCUCUAAAAAAUGUGCUUGAAUAGUUCAAAUAUGACUAGUCCGACACUAUUGACUUCUAUUGACUAACAAACAUGGCAACUUGUAUAAUUAAACUGAGAAUCUCACUGAACUCCUUAUGAAUGCACCAAAUGUAUUAUCAUGGAAAGGUUAGAGCACUGACCAGAAUAUAUUGUUCCAUAUUAGCCUGGUAUGUAUCCGCACCAUUUGUAGAUCUACGAUAUCGAUCAAUUGUCUUUCGGAUUCUGAAAAAUUUGCAAAAAAAGCAUAUGAGCUCAGCCACUAGGAAUACAUUCUCCAAAUUAAUCAGGUAUCAUCAAAACUAAAGUAAUCAAACAUUAAACAUUAAACAUUAUUAUUUUUGUGAAUCAUGCAUGACUUCCAGUGAAUAUGUAUCACUACCACUCACGAACAGAAUAUGCAAGGACCAUAAGCCUCCGCAAGAAGCUUUUAGCGUCUCAGCAACUUAUUUGCAACUAUGUGAAUUACUUGGAAAAGUCUUGGUUGUCCUCCUUAUACUUUGUAAAUAAUCGACGCCGGAGGGAGUAUAGAGAAUUAGGAGGUAACACAAAUGAGAACUUAAAUGGAAAGCUCGCUCACCAUUCAGAAUUCAUUUAAGAGAUAAAAGCAAAACAAGAAAUCCUUCUUGUUCUGAAGCCAAAGCUAAAUAAGUUAUGAAUCAAGACAAGUCUAUCUUCUCACUCAUCAUAGCAUAUGCUUAUGUAGAUGAGUUUGGAAUGACCCCUUAAGCAUGAGUAAUUGCCAAGACUCAUUCGAAAAUAUGAGACCAUGCCAGCAAGGACUCCGGAAACUUAAACGACAUUUACUAGACCUUGAAAAUAUGAGAAUCAAAUGUAGUUGGUUGUAAGUCUCCUAGUUUUACUAGUUCUGAAUUAAUAAAAUGCUCUAACAUCAAUAACCAUGCCAGCAAUAUUUUCCUUAAAAUUUUAGCGUGAAAAUGUUCAACUUCACAUUAUAAAAGUAUAUUAUGUGCGCACGUGAAGUAUAUUUAAAUAUGAGUGAAUUAAUGCAAUGUUUUUUGCUCAAGCCCAAAGUCUCCAAUAUUCCACACACCACUCUUUGUCAGUAAGAAGUAAGAACAGCACAUGAUGCUUGUAAAAUCAUCAGUUGCAUUGUGAAGCAGUACAAGGACUCACUACUUCUGAGAGAAAUUAUAAGAGCAGAGUUGCACCUACAUUUAACUUGUGACUUCAAGCACUUUUUUUCCCGUAAAUGAAGAACAGGGGGUACUUACAUGGUGGAGCAACUAAAAUGGCAAACUUGUACAAUUGCAGUACUCUAUGAGUAAGAAGUCCAAGAGAUCAACGUGUUGUGUCAUGUUAGCCUUAAUCUAUUAUACUAGUGAAUGUACUCGAUCCCAUAAAAUCACCAUUACACAAAUCUAGUCAAGCCCAUGACCUUAUUCACCUUUCAAAGCAUCGUAUAAUUAAAAGUACCUAAAAUAGAAGAUGUCAGGACUUGUUUCACACUUUUUUGUUUAGGGUUAAAGUACCAUUAAAAAAUCAACUUGAAAUCUUUUGCAUGUUUUGUUUGGUUCAGAAAAGAGAUUAAUAAUGUCUAAGUUUCAAUUCAAUGAACCACGAUUUGAAUUGCUUAUUGAUUAUGGUGGUAGAUAGGUAACACAUUAUUCAAUUUCCCGACUAAUAAAUGUCAUAUAAAAUUCUAGUUUUUGCCUUGUGGUAUGAUCAUAAACUUGAAAGAUGGAUUUGCAUGAUUAACCAUUAUCAGAUAGGGUACAUAAAAUAGUCUUAAUUCAUGUCUAAGUAGUAUAAUUACAACAAACUGAAUUAAACAAGGUAUGGUUUGAAGGCUUCACACUUUUCAACUUAAGUUUGGUUUUCAACUUCCAAGCUAUCAAAUUUGUUUGGGAAAGAUCUACUUCAAAUAGAUUAAUACCUUACUGCAAAUACGUUUAUCAUCAUCAUGCCCCAAGAAUUAGUUAUGGAAAUCAAUCCCUAGAAGCAGCCUUAAAACCUAUAACACUUCAAAAAGGAACACUAUACGGCAUGUUCAUUUCAUAUCAACGUGGAAUUGGGGCAAAGGCUGACGAAAUAAUAUCAGUCCCCAGUGUCACUAACAUUAAAUUAUGUUUUCAUCCCCCAAGAAGUACUAAGUAUUCUAACAUGUGAAGAAGCUGGAAUAGAUCAGUACUUGCAAGAUAUUCAACAAUUAGUUUCCUCGGAAGAACCAUUAAGAAAGAGGGAGUCCAACUCCAACGCUACAGCGUACACAAUGAAUGCCUUUGAUCAUCAAAUCCCCCGCAUCUAGCCAUUUGAUUAGGGUACACCCCAGUGCAAUGACUAUCAAAAAGAAAAGCGAAAAAGAAGAUUUAAUAGUUUCGUACUUCCUUUUCUCAGCUAAUUUCGACUAGGAUAUCUGAAUAAAAGCCAUGUUUUUAAAAAUUGUCCGAAAAUGAGAACCAAAUUGGUCAUCAUGGUGGGUUAGUCCGUGAUCGAAGGGGAAAGACACUAAACGCUUGACCAAAACCAAAAAUGGUAGAAAAGAAAAGGCGAACAAGAAAAAAAACCCAUGCCAUGAUGCUGUCUCUUUUUUACACCUGACAAACACACAGCAUAUAUGUGUGUAUAUGCCCUCCUUUUGGACAUAAUAAUGUUAACAAGGCUCAAUCAUGUUCCUUAUCUAAAACCAUUUCGAGAAAUUAAAAAAUCAGUAUGCAAACGUACUCAGAAUUGCUUGAGAACUCGUAAAGCCUUCCUUUCUGUGAAAAGAUUAUCACAGCGACUUCGGCAUCACAGAGGACCGAGAGCUCGAAAGCUUUCUUCAGUAGCCCAUUACGGCGCUUCAAGAAGGUGACUUGCCGGCUCGUCACAUUCUCAAUUCGCCUCAUCUGAAUUUUGCCUCUUGCCAUGAUCGAAUUGUCCCUACAUACAUGACGGUUAUCAACCCUAAAAUGACAAGUAUUUAAACAUAGCGAUGAACUUAACAAAUAUACCUCAACAAUCAAAAACCACAACUCACCAGUGACUUUGUGCAGCUUCAACCAGCUGAAGAUUUAUCUAGACUUUAGACUGAAGUACUUGAGAAGCUAAAAACACUGCAAGAGAAAUAACUCUCUUUUUUUCAAAUAGAGAUAGACUAUUUCAUCAUUCAAACACAAGUCCAAAAGCACAGGAUAAAGAUUUCACAAAAGCAAUGGUCGGAGAAAUAUGGAUUUGCCCAGCGUAACAAAAGGGGAAGCUUCUCCACUCUAUGUCAGAAAAAUGAACCACAAAAAAUUCAGAAACCCUAAAGAGGGACGAGAGGGCGAAGACGAAAACCAAAAAACUGGGAUGAACGCAAAGGAUACAUUAGCAGUUGAUGGAUCUCUCUUUAUUUUGUGGCCACAAACAUGAAAAGAAGAAAAAAGUUAUUAUUCAAAAUUCAAUGAUCUUCUACUCAGGGCAAAUAUGGCGUGAACCAUGAAAAGGAAAUACAAACAAAAAAGGAAAGAAACAGGGAGGAAAGCAAAGCAUUCAAGGUCAACCAAAACGGCAUGGUUAAUUUGGUACCGAAGAUUCAAAGAAGCAGAUGGAUUCUCUUGUUUUGGUAAAAUUAAUAAAGAGUGUAGAGAGAGAGACAGAGAGACAGAGAAAGAGAGGAAGAGAGAGAAGACAUUUUGUUUUUUCCGAAAAAACGUAUAUUUUUAUUAGAAAGAGCGUAGAGAGAGAGAGACAGAACGACAUGCGAAAGAGAGAGCAGCGAGAAACGAAACAGGUGAAAAGAAAGAGAAAAGGUAGUACGAUAAAUAUGAGAAUUGUCGACGUCAUCGUACCAUGACGUGCGCAGUUAACCAAUGGGACGUUGACCAGUGGGAAAACAUUAUCUCUCGCUCAAAUUCAGUGGGCCUCCACUAGACCCAUGGAAAGAGACCCUGUCUUUUUCUUGGGCCAAGUAGGAACAGCCUCGGCGCUCUUCUUCAAUCGAUUCCCCUCUUAGUGGGUUUGCGAGCACUAGGAGUACUCGAAAUUAUUACCACGAUAAAUUCAUGGGUAAAAUAGAUACCAGAACAAUCCUUUAGCUUAUCUUUCCUUUAUGUUCUUCUUAUAAUUCCUCAUUAUAUAGGAGAGUAAAAAAUACCUGAAACUUUUUGAUUUGGGUAAUAAGUAUGGGAAUUUGGGAAGUUUUAUGCUUUGAUUCGAUUUUUUGUUUUGUUUUGUUUUUUUUUUUUUUGCUUACACACAUGAGAGUUCAAAGGUUACUGAUUAUGAUACACUAAUCCCAUAUCACUUAAUUUUCUAAUUAGCAGAAAUGUGAUCUUCUACGAGACUACUAUGUUUUGAUAGAAGACUAGCAGAGCAAACAUAUCAUAGUGUCAUUGGAACAAAAAUAAGAAAAAAAAAUAACUUAUUAUUUUCAGGAACAAUUUCUAGAAAUAAGUCAUUUUUUUUUCUUUUCUAAUUUUCUUUUGUUCAUCUUCCUUGCCGCAGCCAUCGCCCGUAGCUCGCCACCGUCGCCUAACUACCGGCAACCAUUGUCGUUGCCGCUCGACCGUCGACUGUUGUCACCGCCCACUACCCAUAACCCACCAGUUGUUGUCAGCUGUCGAUGUUUGGCAGUUCAUAAGUAAGAAGAAAAAACAAAUAAAUGCAAAAAAUUAUGAUUUGUACCAAACUCAUUUAUAUUCUUUUUCUAUUUCGAAAAUAUAAAUUUUGUAUAUUAUUUUACUUAGAAAUUAUUCCAAUGAGUAGAAAAAAACUAUUUCUAAAAAGAAAUUAUUCAUCAAAGUUGAAACGUUACCAUGCACAAUCUAAAUAAGUAGCAAAAUUGUAGCACUUUAUAGUUAUGAGUAGACAAAUAAGGCAAAUUGGGCCACUUAUACAUUAUAAUUCUACAUUUAUUACUUAUGCAUUGACAAUAAAGUAAUAAAGUAGAAACAUAUGAGCUUUCGUCUUGCUUCGAGAGAAUAUCUAGUGCUGAAUCUUUAUAGUGGGUAAAGGCUAUGAAUGAAGAGAUGAAAUCACUCCAUUAGAACUAAAAAUGGGAUCUUGCUAAAGUAUCGAAGACCAACAAUAUCAUUGGAAACAAGUGGGUCUACAAAUGGAAGGAAGGCAUCGAGGUAUAAGGUAAAACUUAUUGUGAAGGGUUAUACAAAACAAAAGAGCAUUGAUUACAACAAGGUCUUUUAUCCUAUUAUAAUACAUACUUAUAUUUGAAUAUUACUUGUCUUAAUUGCUACACAUGAUCUCAAGCUAGAACAACUGGAUGUGAAAAUGGCAAUUUUUCACAAUGAGUUCAAGGAAUGGAUUUACAUGAGGCAGUUAAAAGGAUUUGUUAUUUCGGGUAAAGAAAACCAUGUUUAUUUAUUAAAUAAAUCUUUCUACGGGUUGAAACAAUCUCCUAAAUAAUGGUAUAAUUAUUUUGAUGCUUUUAUGGCUGAAGCUAUUCGAAAGUUAGUUGGACAGCUUACUUUAGGAGAUUGGAGGAUGGAUCUUUGAUAAAUCUAAUAUUAUUUGUUGAUGACAUAUUGAUAACAAUUAAGAUUAUGUGGGAAAUUGAUGUGUUAAAGAAGCGGCUAAAUGCUGAAUUUUAGAUGAAAAAUUUGGGUGCUACAUAGAAGAAUAAGAGAUGUCAAAAACACUUAUCGGAUCAACCAUAUGAAGAGAUUUUGUUUUAAAUUAUGGUGUAAAUUUUGCUUGCAAUUGGGUUGAUUAUUUGUAAAUACUAUGGGUUUAGGUAUACUUUAAUUGUAGGAAAUAAUUGAACAUGUAAACGAUUAUUAAUUCUAUGAUUCUCCAAUUAUUAAUAGAUUAUUUGCUGCUAGUCCUUCUUGUUGAAGAGUUACCGACACAGAGACCAAACCACGUAAAUUCCUAAAGUUUUCUCUUGGUCCUGACUUAUUUCUAUGGUAAUUUUGCAUUGAUUUAAUUUGCAAGAUCCAAUGUUUUCCACAUUAAUUUUACAAAGUUUAGAAGGACAAGUCACCAUAUCAAUUAUAAAAUACAAAAGAUGAGGACAACAUAGCUAAUGCAAUGUGGAUUCAUGAGGACACCAAAAUAGCACAGGCCUUUGAUUAAAUAACAUAUCGAUAACAUAGGCCUUUAAUUAAAUCGCAUAUCUUUACUAAUAUAUUAAGCCAAAGCAUGCACCUUAUGCAUACGACCAACAUGCGCCAUUUGUCAUGUUUCUACAUCACAAUAAUCUUGAACCUCUCAACUAUUCCACAUUUUUUUUUCAAUAAUUAUGUACAUUUUAUAGUGCAAACAUCAACAUAGUUGGAGAGCAUCUUCUCUCUACCAACUCAAUACGGAGGCACGUCUUCAAAACGAAGAUGCAAUACAGCUUCCACAGCUGCUAAUACUAAUUUAGUAUCUUGGACAAAAGGCAAUAGUAACAUUCUCAAUGAACCUUAUACCAAGCUAAAAGGGUGCUAAGCCAGAUUCAAAAAUCUAAAUACCCAAGGAAUCACACAAAUAUUUGUUAGGGGAUGGCGGAUAUUUUCUCCUUUAGCAAACCAACAACCUUAAGUCAAGUUGACAAAUAGAGUGUGUUUAGAAACUCUAUCUUACAUUUGUAGUUAUCUCCCUGCCAUUCACAGUAUCUACAUGUAAUAGUUGACACUGAGAAAAUUAUGUAUGUGUAUGUCUAAAUUAAGUAAUGGUUAAGUAUUGGAGAAGUAAUGCUAAAUCAUGCAUUGGCAUAAUAUACACAUCAUUGAUUCAUUAAAUAUUUCAACACGUGGUUCAUUAUUUCGACACAUAUAAAAUGGGUAUUGUGGAAAGUAAUCAUUUGGUUUAUUGGUAGUUUAAUUAAAAUGAUUGGAAAAGAACUACUCAUUACAAAUAGUAUUUUACAUAAACAGAUAAUUCAAUUUUACUUUUAAAAAAAUUUCAAAGAGAUUAUUGUCAUUCUGAUGAAUGGGAUUCAUUCAAAUAAAUUUUACAUUUAAAAGUACUCUUACUUGAUAAUGAUUUACUUCUUCACGUCACUUUCUUAGGUUUAUUUGAUGCACACAAUCCCUUUUUCUUAUUUAUGAGGACACUAAGGUACUUUUCUUGGCAUGGGAUUGACUCAUUCAAGACAAUAUCCUUGUUUUAACAAAAGGAAUUAUUGUAGUAUGAUGUUUUAUAAAUAAAUAAAAAAAUCACAUUACUUGUGAUCUCCUGAAUUUUCAAUUCUAUUUUCAAUUGAAUGAAUCGGAAUUUUUAUCGAUGCACCUACAAUUCUAUUCUCUAAGCUAAUCACUCACGAGAUAACUAAUCCAUCUGGUGAAGCCAUUAAGGGAUUUUAACGUAAUAGAUUUGAGAAUUCGACCAAAAAUAUGCUAAUAUUCAAGGGUCAUUACGGUAUAGUUAAAAAUCGAUUAGAGACCGGAAAUAGAUCGACUCGACCGAGCCAUGUGAUUAAGUGUGGGUGAUUCUACUUAAUUUCAAAAUUCUCGUCGAUCAGCACUAGACCGAUUUUUCUUUCGUUUAAAUACCUUGUGUCUGUAUUUGAAAUCUCGAGAUUUCCACGACAAUCGAGAGUCGCCAAUGUGUCAAAUAUAUACAAUGUAGCUCGAAAAUAAUCGACCACAGGUCAAUUGCACUAAAAAUUCCUAAAAUUUAUGUCAUGUCAUGAUUUAAUUUAAGACCAUCGACUCACCCUUCGAAAAAUUUUCUGCAAACCAAGAUUUUUGGCAAAAUUUCAAAAUAUGGCCAUUUUUGUCCAGGAAAAUCAUAUGACCGUUUUUUGUCGCAUUUUUGGGAUUCAAGUUGGUUCAAAUGGUGAGGAAAAAUGUUGUAUUUGACGAGGACACCUUGGUUGAAUUUAUAGACGUCAAAUUGGAUUCAAUUGGGGGGGGGAAUGAUUCAAUUUGGGGGAAAUUGGUACAAAAUUCGUUGGUCCCUUCGUGUGCAACAUUUGAGGCAUCAAUGAAGCUUCCAAGGGAAGAUUGAGGGCUACAAAUUGGCUUGGAUGACAGCCAAGACAAGUGGGGGCCAAGCAAUGAUCAACUAAGGGAUAUUUAGGCAUUUUUUCGCCCCUCCAAGUGCAACUAUCUUCUUCUUCUUCUUCAGUAGCUUGCUUUAUCCAUUUUUAGACCACUCUUGAAGCUUGGAGAAACCAGAGAAAAACCGACAACCAUCCCCCUAGCUCGUCGCACGCCCGCCGAGCCACCGGAGCCACCGCUCACAUCGCACGAGCCCAUUGCGCGUCGCCCUGCCAGUCCGUGCCUCCUACUUGUCGUCCCGCCUGUCCCGAGCCACCUCGCCGUCCCCCAAGUUGCCCAGGCCACCGUCGAAGCCCCCUGGCUAUCGUCCAGUCGCCGUUCACCUCCACCUAGCCCGCUGCAGCCGCCCGCCAGCCCUCCUUACCGUUUCAACCCAGCCAGCAGCCCCGCACCAGCUCCUUCGGCCCAAGGUCAGUGGCCGAAGCCAACAAGGGCUUUGAGACUUCAAGACCCGUUUUCAAGCCCAUCUGGUCGCCGCUUGGUGUCGUCACAUGAUUGUUUUGUGCCCGUCUUUAUGUCGUCGUCGUCGUUGUGAAUCACCGGAAUGCUAAACUGGUGAGUUUACUUGCUAAACUCUACUUAUGGAAUUAAUGACCAUUAAUGGGUGAUUAAUUUAGGAUAAAAUAUGAGUUAGGUUGUUAGUUAGCAUGGAUUAGUGAUUUAAUUAUUAAUUGUAUAUGUUAGGUGGUUAGAAUAGCCUAAUUAAAGACUAGAUAAGUUGUAUUAUUUAUCUAGACAGGUUCGAAAAUUUUUCAGGCCUGUUCGAGUGGUUAAUUAGCAUUUCCAGCCUAAAUUUGCAUUUUUGGUAAUUAAUUGUAUUUAUUUAAUUAUUUUUUGUAUUUAUUUAUUAUUUAUUAUUUAUUACUUUCUGGAAAUUAUACUAGGAUAGCCGGUGACUGGAAUUUUGCGCUGAUUACAGUGGUAUGCUUAGUUUCUGCAAUUGAAUGCUAUUUUGUGCAAAUUGAGUGGUGAUUGUAAUUUUUGGUAUUUAUUCCAAAAUUGUGUAAUUUCGGUAUUUAAUCAAAAAAUACCGAGCCGUCGGUUUUUUAUGCCAAAAAUAUUUUUAGGCACUAUAUUAAAUGGUGGGAUUUUGAAAAAAAAUAUAUAGCAUUUUGGCUCAGACCGACUGUGUACUCACACACGAUUAUUUUUAUCGAGUGUUUUUAACACGAUUAAAUUAGACCAAGUUCAUUAUUUUUAUUGAGAAAUUGGUUUACAAAGCACAAGGUCCUUGGCCGAGAUUGAUUUAUUGUGUAUCAGCUUGUGUGAGCAUUGAUUGUCAGCUUGUGUGAGCAUUAUUGAAUCGUCACCUUGUGUGAGUAAUGAUCAUCAGUGUUACGCCUCGAUUCUCGAGCGCACGCCUAUCCCUCACCUGGUUGAUUAAUCUUGAUGUCCCAGGAUGCAUCGCCGACCCUUUUGUUUUAAUACGCAUGCGGAAGCAGAUAUAAAAUUCAUAAACAACAAAACAAUAGGAUAAAAAAGUAGGACUAAAAACUCGAACCUGAAAAUCAAUACACUUAUAUACAUAUAUAACAACUCAAUCAUAUAUGUACAUAUACAAGCCACACUGAAAAGUCAGUUCCUACACAAAUAGGUUCAACACCAACAAGUCAUCAAACAGGAGUGGGGGUCUCAAUCUUCAUCUAGGUCAUACUCUGGAUCAUCCUCGGGGUCUUCCUUCAAGUCAUCCUCUAGUUCCUCUUUAGGUUCUUCUUCAGGUUCCUCCUCCUCCUCCUGUUCAACGAUCUCUCCUUCUUCUUCACUCCAAUUAGCGUCCUCAGCUGAGUACACUGGAGAGUCAGAUUCGUCCUUAAGCUUAGGAUCAUUUGCAUUCACCACCGAUCCAUCUUUAGGGUCUAUUGUACCCUUACCAAAAAUAGUUUCCAGAACGAACCAAAGUACAUUAGAUUCUAGCAUAGGGCUCUCCCUUCGCCCAUCAUGAAAGUGGCGAUACCAUGACCAGUACUUAUAAGGCACCUUAUCGAGUACAUUCACGUCAACCCAAACAGUGGACUUCACUAGUACAUAUUCUAAUCUUUUAGGGUGGAGGUGUAUCGGAAAAUGAUAACCUAUUUCUGUAAUCUCCUCCGAUAUACCAAAAUGUGCGAGAGGGGGCGGGGGUGCUGCCAAUAUGGACCUGAAAUGUUAUCCCACAACGGAGUGAGACGACGUCUCAGCAAGUUCUGCCCCCUAAGACCCGAUUAGGAAGCCAAUAUGCCCUAAAGGCUACCUAAGCACAACAUGAGUUAGAGGAUUUACUUUGGCCUCAGUUCCAUCCUGCAAAUCAAUAACAUUUACAGAUGCCUCAAAUCACAUCAAUCACUCAAUUCGUAACAUCAGAUCAAAUCAUUAAGCAAUCGACCUAAUCGAUUACAUAUCACUACGACCUCUCCCUGAUCGAUACAUUCAAUACCAUCUAUUCUCCAAGAUGGUAUAUCUAGUCACCGAGCCAAUGUGCAUUUUCCAAGAUGACAUACCUAGCCACUGAGCUCACGUGCAUUCUCCAAGAUGACAUACCUAAUCACCGAGCCCACGUGCAUUCUCCAAGGUGAUAUAUUGAAUCACUGAGCCAACAAAUAUAAUGUCUUUCUCUGAGAUGACAUUCUUAAUCAUCGAGCCAACAUAGUAUGGCAUUCUUUCUCACAUUUUAUCAUAACCGAUAAAAUAGUCGUGUGUGGGUAUACGAUUGGCCUUAACCAAAAUAUAAUAAUUUCACUUUCACAAAUCCCAUAAUUUCAUAUGGUCCACCAAAAUAUUUUUGACGUUGUAAACCGAUACUCAAUUAUUUUCCAAUCAAUUACCAGAAUUAAUUAAUUUAGGAAUAAAAUGCUAAAAUCACAAUUAAAUCAAUUCAACACAAAUUAAAGCUCAAAUAAGUAAACAUACUACACCAUAAUAAUCAGCAUAAAAUUCCGGUCAUCGACUAUCCAGUCUAAUUUUCGAAAAAAUAAAUAAUUAGUUAAAUAAUUACGAAAAUAUUAAAUAAAUAGCAAUAAAUCUAAUUUAUGCCCGUAAUACCUAAUUGGAAGUCGAAACAGACCCAAAAAAAUUUCAAAGUUCGUUGAAUAAAUAAUAAAUCAUGUUACUCGCUAAAUGCACUAACCAUUUGCCUAACAUGCAUUGAUAAGGCACUAAUUUAAUUGUUCUACUUUAAUCUAUCCACCUAAUUAUACUUAAUUAAUUCUAAUCAACCCUUAAGCAUCAUGUGACCUCCCGAUUUUUCAAUUCUAUUUUCAAUAAAUUGAGACGGACAUUUCUUUGGCACGCAUAUAGUGUUUUUCCUUGAGUCGGCCACUCAUGUGAAAACUAGUCUAUCAAGUGAAGCCGUUAAGAAAUUCUAAUGCAUCAGACCCGAGAAUUUGACCAGGAAGCGACCUUUCGACCGAGCUAAUCUGCAAGGGUCAUUACGGCACAAUUAAAAAUUGAUUAGAGACCGGAGAUAGGUCGACUCGAUGGAGGCAUGUGAUCAAGUGUGGGUGAUUCCACCAGAUCGCACAAUUCUGGUCGAUCGGCACUAGAUUGACGUUUCUGUCAAUUUGGUACCCUGUGUCCGUAUUUGAAACCUUGAGAUUACCCUGACAACCGAAAGUCGUCAAUGUGUCAAAGAUGUACAUUGUGGCUUGACUUGAUCAACCACAGGUCAAAUGCAUGAAAAUUUCUAAAAGCUACCCGGUAGAUUAGGACGCGCUAGUAUCAUGCCAAAGUGAAAUUAACCGUGAGAUUGAGAUCGAAUUCUGAAAUUGGAAGUCAUGGUGUGUCACAAAUCUUAUUAAGAACAUUGGAUUAAUUUAUGGACUUUAAUUGAACUCAAUUGAAAGAGAAUCGAGUGGAAUUGAAGAAGUUGUUGUACAAGAUUUUAUACCCCAUCGAAAAAUGAAAUUGAACCUAUUGGACUAAGAUUAUGGAAGAUUGGAGUUAGUGGAAGAUGACAUCACCUUAUGUCAUGAUGGUUGGGCCAUAUUGAAGGAGAUCUUGACAAGUGAAUGGUGGGGAUUGGCUCUUGUAAAAGUGGGCUAUCAACAUCAUCUUCAAGCUUGGGAAGAGAGAGAAAGAGGGGAGAGAGAGCUUCGACCGGUUACAGCAAGCUUCGUUCGCCCCUUCGCCGUCCGCUCGUUCGUCACAAUUGUUGCCGUUGCUGCUGCGGUCACCGCUCGUCCGCUCGCCAGCUCACGCCGCUGCCUCGGCCACGCCUUCGUCCGCUCGAGCCUCCAACUCGUCAUCCGGCGUCCUAGCUGCUACUCAACGCCGUUGCACUUCGCCGGAGUCUCCAUCGCGGCCGCACGUCCUCGCCAGCCACCGCCCGAGCUACCACCCCUCUCCUCCGCCGUUCCUCCGCCUGAACCAGCACUGGAUCAACCCCUUCUCGGCCUCAACCAGCAGCUCGCCGAGUGGGUAUUGCAGCCUGAUCUUGGCCCAUUUUGGCCGACUUCCCGACCCCGAAAGCUUGACCCGCUUUGAGAAAAGUUGUUCCCCUCGGUGUCCUCGGCGUUUUGGUCCGCUCGGUUCGUUAAUCAGGUGAGUUUAACUCACUAAAUCUUGAUUAGACGGUUAAUGAUGCCCUAAGUGUACUUAGUCUAAGUUAAGUAAGUUUAGGUGAUUAGAUUAAUUAAUUUGGUUAAGGAUUAGAUUAGGGUUUUUAAUUAAGUUAAAGUGUGUUUAGUUUAAAGUUAAAUAGGUUUAUUUUAAUAUAAGCUUUGAUGUGACAUAAAGGAAUUUACUUUCGAUUUAUUUAAAUGUCUCGAAUUUAUUAAAUAAUUUAAUAAUAUAUUAUUAUUCAAAAUUAUUAAAAUAUUAUUAUUUAAUUAUUUUCGGAAUAAAUUUAAUUAUUUAUUAAAUUUCGAAAAUUUUGUCAGAAUCCUAAAUUCUUAGAAUUUCGUGCCGAUCGCUGUUGUGUAGUCAGAUUUUGAAAUUAAUGAUUGGAUAUUAUAAAUUGAGUGUGGAUCGUGAAAAAUAUGGAUAUUAUUAUUUAAUUAAUUUUCGGAAUAAAUUUAAUUAUUUAAUAAAUUUUGAAAAUUAUUUAAUAAAUUUUGAAAAUUAUUUAAUAAAUUUUGAAAAUUAUUUUGGGACCUUAGUUUCUUAGAAUUUCGUGUUGAUCGCUGCUGUGCAUUUAGAAUUUGAAUUUGAUGAAUGGAUGUGGCAAAUUGAGUGUUGAUUGUGAUAAAUAGAGAUUUUAUUCAUAAAAACUCAAGUGUCGGGUUUUAAUGCAAAAAUUGGAUUUUCAAUAUUAUAUUAAAUAGUGGGGUUUGAAAAAGUGACCUAUUGGUUUUCUGGAUCGAAAUUAACUUGCCCCCACACACGUGGUUAAUUUCUGGACUAUUUUUAAUAUGAAAAAAAAAUGGUCGGGAUCACUAUUUUAAGUGGAAACAUCGAGUGAAAUGCAAAGUGUCUCGACCGAAUAUGAAUUGUUGUGUGAUAAUUGAGAGGAGAUCGUCUCUAGGCUGUUGAGCCAGACUUACCCCUAUAUGGGAUGCCCACGCAGUGGUUGCAGGUCGCAGUUGAUUCUGGGCCUAUACUCCUUCGGGAAUGCCGUCAACGUACUGACGAAGCCGUGCUCCAAGGUGGGGAGGCGAUGCCUGGCUAUAUGCCAGUAGAUAGCCGAACUGCAAGUAGGCUAUGCUCUUGUGUGGUAGUCAAUAACAAUUGGAAUGCAUGUUGAGUGUUGAUGUGUCGAAUUAUGGGACGGAAUUGUGUGGCAUGGAAUGUGACGUGUCAUAACGAUUUAGUCUUAUAAUCAGGACCCUCGCGGUUGUUGGUUAUAUGAAAGUGAAUGCGUUCCGGUUGUUUAAGUUCUUAUUACUGCAUAUGAUUGAGUGAUAUGAAUUGUGCUAACCUGCAGGAAGGAACCAAGGCGAGGUAAGUUCUCUAUGUUGUGUGGCUAGGCCAUCCUUAGGCGUAUUUUCUUUCUAAUAGGGGUUUAGGGGGUUGAACUUGCUGAGACAUUGUCUCAUCUCGGUUGGGGGAUUACAAUUCCAGGUCCCUGGUGGACAGAACGGCUAGAUAGCUUUGGUUGACCUUGAGGAGUUGUAGAGGUGAAGUCAUGAGUAUUAGAGAACGUGUCCGACUUGUAGGUCGUAGGGCAGUUCAUUUUUAAAAGCCGGUCUUUUGUAGACUUUUGGGUGUAGGCCUUCGUUUGUAACUCCAUUGGUUUAUGUAAGUGAUUGGUUGUGAAUUUGCUUCCUGUUUUUCUAUCCCGUAUUUCAUUGUGAGGGGUUUUAUAAUACGUUCCGCUUGCGCAAUAAUAAAUGAAUGGGGCCGGCGACACUACUUGGGAAUGUCACAUUUACAUGACCAUGGUGGGAUGGUGGCGCGCUCGAGGUUCAGGGCGUGACACAUCAUUAGUUUACUAAGCGGGGUUUAGUGAGUAAAACUCACUUGUUUAACAAGCAGUUCAGUGCAAAAUGACGAGAACGUCGCGGGACUCAACUUUCCUCAAGAUGGGCCUAGCAACCGAGGCUCAGGACUAUCUCUAAACGAGCAUAGAGCUUGCUGGAAAACCCUCUAGUUUAUCCUCUGUUCUUGGCUGCAAGCAAAGAGAACAAGGGCUAAACAAGGCAAGCAAGACCGGUGAAGGCUCAAGGAAGGCUGCACGAUACUUGGUGGGCUUAAUGGCAGCUUCGGCGGGCUUCCAUAGCCACUCAUGGCGGCUGGACAGCCACCUGGGUGCAUGGACAAAGGUAAACGACAGCUGGGACACACGGACAAGGCUGUUGGACGUCGAGCUAGGCAGUGGCGCAGCAAGGUAGCGGCAUGAGCGGACGGCUAUGAUAGCGAGGGCGUGCGACGGCGGGGUUCCUCCAACAGGUGGCUGGCCUUGGUUGGUCUUUUUGUUGGCUGCUAGUGUGCGAAAAUGAAGGACAUGGAGAGGCAAAGCCAGCUGGUUGCCUUAGUGAGGAAGAGAGGGGGAUAAAGGCUCCACCAAUGGCCAAAUUUUCCAUUCCCUUAUCUCCUUGACUAUCCACCACCACCCAUGUCUUCCUUGGCUGCAAUUCAGCCACCCAUACACUCUCCACAACUCUUGAAAUGGUCCAAAAUGGGCUAGGCAAGGAGGCAUACGAAUUUGACAAGCUUUGGCUUCAAUUGGACUUGAUUUCCUUUACAAUCCAAUCUCAUUUGGCCAUUACAAAUUCAAUUGACACAUCAAUUAUUAAAUUGGUAUUUUUCCUUACCAAUUGAUCCAUCUUACAUCUCAAUUGCGCAAUAAAAAAUGAUCCCGGCCUUUUUCUGAACAAAAAUGGCUUUAGGACGACUUUUUCCCAAAAAGUCUCUAGUUGCAAAAAAAAAAUCUUUUGAGAUUGAGUCAAUGCUCUUCGUAUUUAUUGCGACAUGACAAAAUCUUCAAUUUUUGAAAUCAGACUCAAAUUCGCAGUUAAUUUCCAUUCGGAGCGUUUUUAGCGUGACUUAGACUACCGGAUAACUUUUAGAAAUUUUCCAAUGCAAAUAACCUGUGGUCGAUUUUCUUUGAGCCACAAUGAACCCACUCGACACAUUGGCGACUCUUAAUUGUCGUGAAAAUAUCGAAAAUUCAAAUAUGGACACAAGAUACCAAAACGAUAGAAAAAUUAGUUUAGUGCCGGCCGACAAGAAUUUUCCAAUUUAGUGGUGUCACUCACAAUUAGCCACACAUCACUAUUGAACCGACCUAUUUUUUAUUUCAAAUCAAUUUUUAACUGUACCAUAAUGACCUCUAAAGAUGGACACGGUCGAGAAGCCGAUUUGUAGUCGAAUUCUCAAGUCUAUUGCAUUAAAAUUCCUUAAUGACUUCCCCAGAUAGUCUAGUUAUCUCAAGAGUGAUCAACUCUAAGAACAGCCUUAUAGACGCGUCAAUAAAAUGCCCAAUUUAUUCAAUAGAAAACAGGAUUAAAAAUCUAGGAUGUCACAAUCAGCUUAUGUAUCAGCUUGGGUGAGCUUUAAUAUGUAUAAGCUUGGGUGAGCUAUGAUAAAUAUCAGCUUGUGCAAGCAACCAUCUAUAUCAGCCUGCGCGAGCAUAAAUAUACUUUAACUUGUGUGAGUAGUGAUCGAAUUGAUUGAAUAGGUAAAUGGUAUCGAUUGGAUUGAAUUGAUUGGUUGAAAUUAUGAACUGUAUUGACAUGCGAAAGGGAAUUGAGGUAAGGUAAGUCUUCUAACUUGUGUGUAUAGCUGCCUCUAGGCAUAUUUCCUUCAUAGUCGGAAUUUAGGGGGUGAAUUUGCUGAGACAUUAUCUCACCCCGUCGUGGGCUCAACUUUUUCAAGUUCUUAGAUGGCGAUUCCUAUGGAAUGUUUUGGCCAACUCAAGAGGAUUACCGAGUAGGUCAUUGAUAUUCCUAUUCCCGGGGGCCAUGGAGUCUAGGUCUAUGAAUUCGUGACGACCACCGUCUGGGUCGAUGGUCUAGGUCGAUGCGGGCCUACCUCAAAGGGUACCCCAUCGAUUCAGAGCGUGAUAUCGUCACAGGCUCAAUAGACACAGAGAGGGUCCCCUACAGGAUUUUGAGGUCCUAGUUUCAACGUUAGAAAUCAAUUUUAGCAAGGGUACAACUGACCCUCCUAGUGGUGCAGUAGCGGACCAAAAUUCCCAAGAGACCUCGGAAUUUUCAGUUGGGGAUUCGAGUGCCUAGAGGACUUGUAGGCUUUUCUGCUUUGCUAGACUUUUGUCUUUAGACUAGUCUUGUAUAUAAACCGAGGUAUUUAUAAAAGUGUUUUUGGUUGUGAAUAUGUUUCUUGCUUUUCUAUCUCUUGUUGGUUGUUGUUAGGGAUACUUAUUUUGCUUCCGUAUGUGCAUUAAAAUUGAAUGGAUCAACGACGCAUCUUGGGACAUCACAAAUUUAUCAACCACCGAGGAAUGGGCACGCGUUCGAAAAUCGAGGUGUUACAUUAGUAUUGCAGUAUAGUUGACAAGCUGGCCAUGGAUCUUGGUGUAGACCAACCCAAAUUUAAUCUUGACAAGUGGCUAGAGAGAGGAUCCCACUAUCUUUCCAAUCCAAGCUCGUCCAUAGAUUUUUCUAUCACGAAAAAGGAAAACAAAGUGAAAAAUAGAAAGCAUAUACAUAAAUUUUAUUUCCUUUUUCUUAUUUAUUUGUAUAUCUUCUUACUAAUUGCUAAGCUGGAUGCACUAUAUAUCUUAGUCAUCUCAUGUGUCACUUAUUAUCCUUAAAUGUCUAUCCCUCCAAUCCCUUCCAAUUAAGGCAUCGCCUUGGGAACAUUCAUCAUUCACGAGCUUAAAUGGAAGCUAGCUUCUGUUAGAUGGAAAAAGUUCGACCUCGUCGUUCGGGAUGAGUUACAAGUCUACUGAAUAGCCUCAUGUUGCAACAUGACAAUUUUGAUUCAAGAAUAUUUCAGAUGCCCAUGACCCUUAUGUUUGCAUACGUCGACAUGAGGAAAAUCAUAAGAGGCAAUGGAUGAACAAUUUUUCGCUUUGCCAACCUUUAAAAGGUGUCCGACCAAAAACAAAAACCUUAAAGAGGUGUCCUCAAACCAAAAAAUAAAAUAGAUUAAAAACCUCAAAGAGGUGUCCAAUGAUGUUGAAAUUUACGCAAGCAGUUCGAAAAUAUGCUCAACGGAGACGUUUCUUUCUUGGAAUCAAUCGAUGUGUAACUCAAAUGUGAAGCCCAAGGUGCAGGCAAGUUAUUUCAUUCAUUUCGCUAAAUCUUCCCCGUAUAUGUCUUUGUCAUUGUUCAUUUCUAAUAUGAUCUUUCUUUGCCUUCGCUAUUCUUACUCGUGGAUCUUGGAAAUGACUACUAUGAAUCCGGUGCAUAUGUUGCCGUGUCAGUGCUAAGGAGAAUCUAGCUGAGUAAAGAUAUCACCAAGUUAUAUAGCCAUCAUUCUUAUUUUAUUCUAUUGAACAUGUAUUAUUAGGGUGAUGGUGAACCAGCUUAACUCUCUGCUAAUCCGAUGAACAACCCGGUCUCACCAUCUGUACUCCGGCUGCUCCGGCUAUGUAUUGCUAUUGCUCUCGGAUGAGCUAUUGAUUGCCCCGGAUUUGCAAGACGCUGAAAUUGGAAGAAAGAACGAAAGGACCCAAAAUGCUUUUAAAUUUAAAAAAUAAAAAAUGCAAUUGAAUGGUGAUGGAGAACCUGGAAACUGUCACUCAAUUAAAAUGGGAAAAAGCUUCAACGCAAUUUGAGAUUUACAAGCAGAGAACAAGCCUUUCAUGGGAUCUAAUUAGGUGACGAAGCAUCUGUCUAUGCACUCAGAUCUAUUAAUGGUCACUGGGAGAUUUCAACUUUCCCAACAUCUUACUCUAGAAGAGGAUCUCUCCUCCAUGGUCAAAAGAAAAAAAGAAAAAGAAAAAAACUCUAACAGUGGCUAGCUACGCCAGACAUGACUACAAGCUUUGGUUCCACCUAUAGUCAAUGUCUAAAGUACAGACUAUCUCAUGAAAGUAACAUACUCUAUGUUGUAAUUUUUUUUAACAGUAGUCAUAUUAAAAGGCUAUUAGUUUUUGUUAUCAAGUUAGAAUUUUCUAAACAAUCCACUAAUGGUUACAGAAUCAUAGAAAGACAUAGGAACUUUCAGUCCUUCAACAAUCCCACGUUAGAAGUAUAGAAUUGUACAUGAUGAUGGUAAGUUGGGUAGUACUUUCCUCAACAUUAAUUACUCAAAACAUUGUGCUACUAAUUUUUAUUGCCACAUUGGCAAUUACUAACUUCGUGAUAUUUUCACCGGGAAAGUUGAAUUUAUCCCAACAACUCUAGAAGUGAUUCUCUUCCGUUCUCAAAAAAGACAAGAAUAAAAAAGCUCGAAAAGUGACUAUGUAUGCCAAAUGUGCUCACUAAGAACUUUUGCUGCAUCUAUAGUCCACAGUUGGAAAACCCAAUAUAUUCAUCCGUGAAAUAAACAUUCUCAAAAUUGUGAUAUUCACAACGUAGGUCACUAACUUAGUGCUAGUGAUUUUUUUCUUUUCAAGUCAAUAACUUUCCAAGCACAUCAAGUAAUGGUCAUGGGAGCACAAAAAGACAGAUUUAGGUCCGUCUACAGUCCUAUAGUCCAAUACACAGUUGUGUCUCUGUUGGAGAAAUCUUUCCAGAAUAUUUUGAAGCUGACAAAACAUUUCUAUCAGUCUAAGUCUGGAUAUCGAUAGUUAAAGUCUCAAGAUUUUAUAGUCUCAAGACUCUGUUAUCUCAAGACUCAAGACUCAAGACUCAAGACUCAAGACUCAAAGUUAUUCUCACUGACAGUCUUUCUAAUCCAGUGUUGAAGGAAAUCCAAAGUCGAGGUUUAUGAUUGAGGAUUUGAUCCUAUCCUCUGGGAUAGAUUCUUUGGUUGGAUAAUCAUUUCGGAUUCUUUAUAUCUUAUCUAAGAACGAUUGAAGAUCCGAUGGUCGACGAAAUAAUCUUGGAUUAUUCUAUUCUUGGAAACCGAGAUCCUGAUUGUAUGGGCGAACAGGAUUGAUGGGCUAUCAUCAGAUUCCUUAUAUAGCUCGGAUGAUCUUCUUGAUUGAUUCCGUCCAACGGGUAGAUUGGAGGAAUUCCUUUGGUAAGUGCCAACGGCUAUGAUGGCAUGAAGGAGUAUAAAAGGAAGACGUUCUAGUUGUUUUAAGUGUGUGAUCGAUAGAAAAAUUCCAGAGUCUGAAGAUCCUUUGAUUGUUAGUUGAGACUGAGCGAAAUUGUAUACUGAGAGUGUUUAUACUUGGUGACGUCUUGAGCAAGUGUGGUAGAUCAUCUACACCUAGAAAUCAAGGAAGAUCAACACUGUAACAUCUCUUUGAUCAUAGUGGAAUCCAGCCAAUCGGCUGUCAGUGCAGAAGAGUGGACGUAGGCUUGAAUCAAGCCGAACCACUAUAAACUGAGUGUUCAAUUCUCUCUUUCCCUUACUCAGUCUUGCGAUUGAAUUUUCAACUGUUGCAAAGUCUCUAAUUGUUUAAGUAUCGUGCAAACAUCGAGAAAUUUUUUGUGUAUACCUAUUCACCCCCCUCUAGGUACUCGUACUAGCUAUCUCAGUCUCUUGAUCACAAUUCCCAUAUAAUUUGUUUUCCCAGCAUGAGUUCGUAACUCUGUACUAGUAACUUCCAUUAUGGAGUCAAUCACUUUCUUAACAGAUCAAGUGCGGGAUCAUAGAAGGACACAGAGAUUUGAGUUUGUCUACAAUUCCAUGUAAAAAAGAAAAAUAGAAUUGUAUCUUGUGACAGUAAAUUUAUCAGUGUGGUGAUAAUUUUCUCAACUUGGAUUAGUAGCUUAGAAGUAGUAUUAAGUUUCAAGCAGGUCAUAUGGUCUCAAGAUCAUAGAAUUCUUCGGUGAUGUUCAACCUAUCUGCUCAUUCUAAAUUACCCUAUCAAAAACAAAACUCCUCACUGAUAGAGAAAGGUUCAAUAUAAAUACCAGUACAUAACCCUGAAAUUAAGUAUCUCUCAUUGUGUAUUGUCCUUUUCAUAAAAAUUGAUAACGUUGCAGCACUCUUUAAAUGUUUUAACACCGGGACUAAUAGAAAGCAGGACAAAUUGAUGACCAGCAAAUUUAACCAGCACAACAAACUGUACAGCACACAAUCUACUAAUAUUGGUUUGAUGGACAAAAGCAACAAGCUUCUUCACUACACAAGCCUCUUAGAACAUUAGGGCAAAAAACAUUAUUAAUCAUUAAAGACCUCUCUUUCUGGUCUUAGCAGCUCAUAAAACUGCAUUGUUAGAUCAUACAUAAAAAUUAUUGAGAGAUUCUAUUGCAGGUUUCGCAAGUUUUUGGAUAGUGGUUAAUAGAUGCACAGAAGAGUGAUGAUGCACGGCAAGUAAUAGGAAGGAAACUAAAGCACCGAUGGGAAAGAGGGCGACACCUUUGCAAGAAGCUUUGCAUUCUCUUCUUUCAAAGACCUCUCCUGAGGUAAACCAAAUAAAGUUGCUAGAUUAAUAUAACCAGGAAAUUAACAACGCCUGAUGAGAUCGGAUAUGCAAUCAUCAUAUUUGUCCACUUACCUUUGCUUGCAACUGCUGUAUUUGAUCGUUCAAUAAUUGAGCCUGUAAAAGAGUUCCGUAGAAAUAUUUUAACUUUCGUGUGUGCAUGUUGUCCCCAUACCUUUCUUAUUACAAAGUAAGAAUAAAAGAAAAGAGAGAAAAUAAGUUGAAAUGAUGAACGAUAGUAAUGAAAGGACGAUGCUUUGCAACUUAUCCAGAAACAUAGUUCAAGUGAGAAGUAGUACAUGGAAAUCAGCAAGGUUAACAUAAUAAAAAACUCAUGGUAUUCUAUUAUUUCGUGUUAUAAGUAUCAAUUUUUGUGAAUAAGUGUCAAGAAAUCAUUUAUAAAAAAUGAUCGAUGACUUUUUUUUGUCAGAGAAGAAAAGCCAGUUAUCUAACCAAACCAAAUAAACUUGUUAACUAAUCAAAGAAGAGUUGGUAACACCGAAUUAGUUAGUUACUUAAUCAGAGAAAAGUUAGUAACUCCUAUAAUUAUAAUUGGUAAUUUCUAGUUGGGUUCAUAAGUAAGGCAAAUAUUUAUGUGUGCACGAGUCUCAUAAGUGAAGGGUGAAGACGAGUGAGAGUAUUUUUUUCAACAGAACCUAUUUUAUAACUAAGAAAGUGAUAAAGAGAAGAAAGAUCUGCUGAAGUUGUUGGCAAGUAAAACAGAAGAGAGAGAGUAGACGUCACUCUCCACCAUAAGACAAUGUUUCCACUAUCUCAAGAGUAGUCAAAGGAAGGGUUAGAGCAGGAAAAAGUGCACUAAGAAAGACCAUAUGAGCGUUGGCAAGUUAGUCCCAAAAAAAUAAGUCUAUAAGUCUAUAAAGUUAGUCAAAUAGAGUUAGUAACCAAAAAGAGUUAGUGAUUUAAGCAAAACAUAGGUCUAUAAGUCAUACAAAGAAAUAUCUGAAAAUAUAUAUAUAAGAGCUAAUAAAUUUAAAGGAAUGGCAAGAAAAAAUAAAUAAAAUUUACUAAAAAAAUAAGAGAGAUUGAUAAUUGCACAUUAUUGAAAAGAGUUGGUGAUUUCAUAAAAGUGUAAGUUACCAAUAAGUCACCUAGAAAUCAGGUAAUUGAAAAAUUUUAUUUUUUAUCAUGGUUUUUUGUCACUUACAACUCUUUCAUAGGUUUAUCAAAAACUAUCCAAUUUAUUUUGGAAAGAUGAACAAUAGAGUCGUCCAAAUAACUCUAGGAAAAAUAAUGAUAGAAGAAUAAUCGUGAUAUUUUCCUUGUUUAUUGGCAAAAAAAGAACAGGUCAAUAACUAUGAAGAAAAAGGGUGAUUUGUAAAUGUGCUUUCAUUCUUUCUUAUAAGGUAGAAAACGCCAUGUAUGCUCGGAGAAAAUUGAUUCUCUCCUUUCAGAUGCCAAGUUUAACGUUUUUAGUCUAUUCAGUUCCAAUCUUACAAUGCGAUUAGAGUCUCUAUCGAAAUUGGUAUUUUGGCUCCUGUAUGCAUAUGGUCAGUCUUGUUAGUUAUUUGAGAGAAAUUGUUUCUCAUUGUUUUUUUUCCCUUCUCACCAUAUCCAUGCCUCCAAACACAACGGCUACUCGAUGAAAGUUCUCAAGACAUCUACUUCGCUCAGAGAAAAGGACAAAUAUGCCAAAGACACAUGUACCUUUCUUUCCCUAAUGCUGCUCAAACUUCGCUCGAGCUGAUCCCCUAUCUCUUGGAUUUCGUCCAUCGAGCAAGAUCCAAGACAUUGUCCUGAUAGCUUCCUGAUGUAAAAAAGAAAAGGAGUACCAUAGUUUAGUGAAUUAGAUAUCAAGAAUCCAUUUCGAUCCACAAUAUAUAAGAGAGAAGUCUCAAAAUUUGUGGACCGUAGAGAAACUUCAAGAAGCUCAAUCUUCCUCUCCAUAUCUGUGGUUUCUUGCUUCAGACGCUGCACAUAUAUGGAGAUUGUGAUAUUUAUGAAUCUAGUGAACGGAACCAUACAAACUGAACAAAUUUGAAAUUAGUGAUGGAUAAAACCAAUCAUAGUGAACAAAUCUGUACCACCACGGGAUCCUUCAAAACUAAGAUUGCUACUAUAAGAACCCUAACGUUCUUGCAAAAUUUGUAGCUGUCAUAGUGAAUUCUAUGGCUUACCACCUCAGUAAUUCUUGAGAUCAAAAGUAGGGUUCUUAUCAAGAACGCGAUUCAGUAUUAUUACAAUCUGUAAAUACAUAAAUAUACGUUCACACCAACAAUCAAUUUUAUGACUUCCUUCAAGAAAACAAUAAGAUGUAAAUGCCCAAGUGGUGGAUGAUGAGUGGGAAUUCAGAAGCUGAAAGAAUUUUAGAGGACCAGUCAAUGUCUUCAGGACAUGUACAAAGACCAAAAUAGCUCUUUUAAUGUUAUAUUUAACUUGACCUAUUUUUCUCUCUAUACAUAUCUGCAGUUUCUCCUAUUUGCUUCCCAGUCAUUGCCAAACCACAUGAAUAACAGUGGUAAGGCUGCAAUAAUAUUAUAGGUCCUUUAUCUAACCAUAACAGUGUAAGAGUUUUCCUAAUGUGGGCUAUAUUAAUUGAUAUUGUAAUUUACCGUUUUAUGGGGUUUGGUCUACGGUGAAAGAGAAGGUUUCUUAAUUAGUCUAAUAUGGGGUUGGUUAGUGUGGGCCGAGUUGAGCCUAACCGUAAUGAGAAGACCUAGUUGGAAACUCUAUAAAUAGUGCUCAAAUCUCUCCUCUAACCCUAAUUCUCAUAAAUAUCCUCACAUAAGGAGCAUUUACCUAGAAAGGGUGAGGGGGCCGUCUCAUUGAGCCAGUAAUACAGAGGGCAAUAGAGGAAAAAAACUUGAAUUGAUUUAAAAGAAAUUCAACAAUUGACUUAGCAUAAAGUACGUUUAUCCGCAACUUAUUGUGGAUAUAUACACCCUCUCAUUAAUAGAAAACUUAACACAUUAAAGAUGUAUUCGGAAGUUGAAUGUCACUUGACUCUAUCCCUCUUUGUACAAUGAUACCAUCAUCAUAAGUAUGAUCCCUACUUUGUGGUUCUAGUGAUCCAUUAGAUCAUGUAUGCAAGUAGAUUGUUGCGUAAUUCUUUGCAUACGAGGUGACUAUUUAUGUAUACACAAGUAUAUAUUACUAGAUUGUAGGGGAAAUAGGAUUUCUUGCCAUUUGUGUUCAUAUAUAGACUUCUUUGUAAGUCCCAUCCUGAAAUAAGUUAUGUAAUGUGAUGUUCUAUGUUAAUCCACACACACACGGGAGAAAAAAAAAGAAAAAAAAAACAGAGGAAGUUGCUUUCUUACAUACAGCAAAAUGAAUAAAAAUUGAACUGCUCAGCUUGCUUAACCUCUACAUAAUGUGCUUACGAAUGCAACUAAUGUAUCAUCAUGGAAAGGUUAGAGAACUGACCAGAAUAUAUUGUUCCAUACAAGCCUGGUAUACAGCCGCAUCAUUUGUAGAUCUACAAUAUCGAUCAAUUGUCUUUCGGAUUCUGAAAAAUUUGCAAAGAUAACAUAUGAGCUCAGCCACUGGGAAUACAUUCUCCAAAUUAAUCAGGUAUCGUCAAAACUAAAGUAAUCAAACACUAAACAAAUUAAUAAUCAUUUUUGUGAAUCAUGCAUGACUUCCAGUGAAUAUGUAUCACCAUCACUCACUAACAGAAUAUGCAGGGAGCAUAAGCCUCUGCAAGAAGCUUUUAGCCUCUCAGCAACUAAUUUGCAACGAUCUGAAGUACUUGGAAAAGUCUUGGUUGCCCACCUUAUACUUUGUAAAUAAUUGAUGCUAGAGAGAGUGUAGAAAAGUAGAAAGUAACACAAAUGAGAACUUAAAUGAAUAGGUCGCUUGCCACUCGUAGGAAUUCAUCUAAGAGAUAAGAGCAAAACAAAAAAUCCUUAUUGUUCUCAAGCCAAAGUCUAAAUAAGUUACAAAUCAAAACAAGUCUACCUCCUCAUUCAUCAUAGCAUGCUUAUAUAGAUGAGUUUGGAAUAACUCUUCAAGCAUGAGUAAUUACCAAGACUCCUUGAAAAGACAAAAAGACUUAUAGGAAAGACAAAACAAGUCUUACUAGAAAAUAACUAUAAUUAAAUAAGGACGCCAUAAACUUAAAUGACAUUUACUAAACCUUGAAAAUAUGAGAAUUAAAUGUAGUUGGUUGUAAGUAUCCUAAUUUUACUAGUUCUGAAUUAAUGGAAUGCUCCAGCAUCAAUAAUCAUGCCAGCAAUAUUUUUCUUCAAAUUUUAGCGUAAAUGUUCAAUUUCACAUCAUAAAAGUAUAUUAUGUGCGCACGCAAAGUAUAUUUAAAUAUGAGCGUAGAGUGAGCUAAUGCACUGUUUUUGCCCAAGCCCAAAUACUUCAAUAUAUUCUACAUGCCACUCCAUGUCAGUAAGAAGUAAGAACAGCACAUGAUGCUCGUAAAAUCAUUGUGAAGCAGUACAAGGACUCACUACUUCAGAGAGAGAUUGUAAGAGCAAGCAGUUGCACCUACAUUUAACUUGUGACUUCAAGUACUUUUUUUCCCGGUAAAUGAAGAAGAGGGAAUACUUACAUGGUGAGCAACUAAAAUGGCAAGCAUGUACAAUUGCAGUCACUUUUGGACAUAAAUACUCUAUUUAUAAGAAAUCCAAGAGAUCAGUGUGUCGUGUCAUAUUAGCCUUAAUCUAUUAUACUGGUGAAUGCACUCGAUCCCAUAAAAGCACCACUACACAAAUCUAGUCAAGCCCAUAAUCUUAUUCACCUUUCAGAGCACCCUAUAAUUAAAAGAACCUGAAGUUGGAGAUGUCAGGACUAGUUUCACAGGCUUUUGCUUAGGGUUAAAAGUACCACUAAAAAAUCAACUUGAAAAUCUUUUGCAGGUUUUGUUUGAUUCAGAAGAGAGAUUAAUUAUGCUUUAAGUUUCGAUUCAAUGAACCCUGAUUUGAAAUGCUUCUUGAUUAUGGUGGUAGAUAGGUAACACAUUAUUUGAUUUCCUGACUAAUAUAAUGCAUUUCAUAUGAAAUUUCUAGUUUUUUUUUUUUUUGUGGUCACCCAAGAUCUACCGGGUUCGACUUUCCCUUACGAUAAGCCAACUCAUGGCCCGUACAGUAUGCGAUGCACCUCAGACCAAGCAUCAAUACCUGAGGGGAAGCUAGCACAGGACCCCAUCACCAUGACCCUCCACUUAAGUUGUGUUAGAAGCUGCAAAAUUUCGACCUUGGAACCUCUACGAUAAAGUGCCCAAAGCCGAACCAACAUUGCUGCCCACCAGUGGGUUGAAAUUUAUAGUUUUUGCCUUGUGUUAUGGUCAUAAACUUGAAGCAUGGAUCUUUAUGAUUUGUAAGAUAGCUAUUAUCACAUAGUAUACAUAAAAUAGUCUUAAUUCACGUCUAAGUGGUAUAAAUACAACGAACUGAAUCAAACAAGGUAUGGUUUGAAAGGCUUCACCCUUUUCAACUUAAGUUUGGUUUUCUUCAACAAUUUUCCAAGCAAACAAAUUUGUUUGGAAAAGAUCUACUUUGAGUAGAAUAAUACCUAACUGCAUAUACGCUUAAUCAUCAUGCCCCGAGAAUUAGUUAUGGAGAUCAAUCCCCAGAAGCAGCCUUAACACCUAUAACACUUCCAAAAAAAAAAAAAACAAACACUACACGGCGUGUUCAUUUCAUAUCAAUGUGGAAUUGGGGGGAAGGCUGAACUGUUACUUGUCAAAACCAGAAGGACCAAACAAUAUCAGUCCCUAGUUUCACUAACAUCAAAUUAUGUUCAUUCCCCAAGACAAAGUACUAACUAUCCUAACAUGUGAAGUAGCUGGGGGAGAUCAGUACCUGCAAGAUAUUCAACAAUUCGUUUCCUCAGAAGAACCAUUAAGAAAGAGGGAGUCCAACUCCAAUGCCACAGCGUACACAAUGAAUGCCUUUGAUCAGCUAAUCCCCCACACCUAGCCAUUUGAUUAGGUACACCCCAGUGCAUUGACUAUUCAAAAAAAAUGCGAAAGAGAAGAUUUUAUAGUUUCAUCCUUCCUUUCCUCAGCUAAUUUCAACUAGGAUAUUUGAAUAAAAGUCAUUGUUUUUCAAAAUUGUCCGAAAAUGAGAACUAGAUUGGUCAUCAUCGUGGGUUAGUCCAUGAUCGAAGGGGAAUAGCACUGAACACUUGACCAAAACCAAAAAUGGUAGGAAAAAGAAGCAGAAUAAGAAAAGAAAAAAAAACCCGUGCCAUGAUGCUGUCUCUUAUUUGCACUUCACAAACACACAGCGUAUAUAUGUGCAUGUGCCCUCAUUUUGGACAUAAGAAUGUCAACAUGGCUCAAUCACGUUGCCCAUCUAAAAUCAACUCGAGAAAUUAUAAAAUCGGUACUUGAACGUACUCGGAAGUGCUUGAGAACUCGUAAAGCCUUCCUUUCUGUGAAAAGAUGAUCACGGCGACUUCGGCAUCGCAGAGGACUGAGAGCUCAUAAGCUUUCUUCAGUAGCCCAGUCCGGCGCUUUGAAAAGGUGACUUGCCGGCUUGUCGCGUUCUCAAUUCGCCUCAUCUGAACUUUGCCUCUCGCCAUGAUUAAAUUCUUCCUACAUACAUGGUGGUUAUCAACCCUAGAAUGGCAAGUACUCAAACGUAGCGAUGAACAUAACAAAUAUACCUCAACGAUCAAAAAUAAUAACUCACCAGGGACUUUGGCAGCGUCAACCAGCUGAAGAUUUAUCUUUUUAUCCACCUCCUAUUGUCUAAACUUUAGACUGAAGUUCUUCAGAAGCUAAAAACACUGCAAGACAAAUCACACUUUUUUUUUCCAAACAGACAUGAACUUUAUCAUCAUUCGAACACAAGCAAAAACCACAGGAUAAAGAUUUCACAAUCAAAGGUCGAAGAAUUAUAGAUUUGCCCAGGGUAAUUAAAGGGGGAAACUUCUCUACUCUACGUUAGAAAAAUGAACCACAAUGAAUUCAGAAACCCUAAAGAGGGAUGAGACCGCGAAGGCAAAAACCAAAAAACUGGAACGAAAGCAAAGGAUAUUUGGCAGCUGACGGAUCUCUCUUUAUUUUGUGGCCACGAACAUAAAAAGCAAAAAAAAAUCCUUACUAUUCCAAAUUCAACGAUCUUCUACUCAAGGCAAAUGUGGUGUGAGAUACCCAUCAAAAGGAAAUACAGACAAAAAAGGAAAGAAAUAAGGAGGAAAGCAAAGCAUUCAAGUUCGACCGAAACGGCAUGGUCAAUUUGGUAAUGAAGAUUCAAAGAGGCAGAAGGAUUAUCUUUUUUUGAUAAAAUUAUGAAAAAGAGAGUGUAGAGAGAGAAGAUAUUUUGUUUUUUUUGUUUUUUCUCGAAAAAACGUAUAUUUUGCCGGUGGGUUUCAGCUUCGGCUGUUGUGGCCUUCGGGACAUUCGAAAGAGAGAGCAGUAAAAAACGAAACAGGUGAAAAGAAAGAGAAAAAGGUCGUACGCUAAACUAUAAAUUGUCGACACCAUCAUACCAUGGCGUGCGCUGUUAACGAAUGGGACGUUGACAAGUGGGAAAAAUUAUCUCUCACUUAAACUCAGUGGACCUCCACUCGACCAAUGGAAAGAGACUCUGUCCUUUUCUUGGGCCAAAUAGGAACAGCCUCGGGCUCUUCUUCAAUCGGUUCCUCUCUUAAAGGGUUUACGAGCGCUGGGAGGGCUCGAAAUUAUUACCGUGAUAUAUUCACAGAUAAAAUAAUACAGAUCUGUCCUUUAGCUUAUCUUUUCUUUGUGUUCUUCUUAUAGUUCCUCAUUAUUUACAAGUGUAAAAAAUACCUGAAACUUUUCGAUUUGGGUAAAAGUCAAGGAAUUUGAAAAAUUUGAUACUUAAGUUUGGAUUUCAGUUUAUUUUUUGGAUUAUGCACACAGGAGAUCAAAGGCCAUUCACUAUGAUACACUAAUUCUAGAUCACUUGAUUUUCUAAUUAGCAUAAAUGUGAUCUUUGACCACCCAACCGCAAAAAAAAAAGAAAAAUGUGAUCUUCAACAAGAUUGCUAUAUCUUGACAAAAGGCAAGUAGAGCAGAUAUAUCACAAUGUCAAUAGUGAGGUGGAGCUUGGAAACUCUUGAAACCUCAAAGAUAAGAUAAGACCGUGGUUCUUAAAGUUAGUGAUAUUAAACAGCUAACAAAAUUGUAGCACUCUAUAGUCAUGAGUAGAUAAAGAAGGCAAAUUGAACUACCGAUACAUUAUGAUUAUGCAUAUAUUAUUCAUGCAUUGAUUGUAAAGAGAUAAGGUAGAAAAAUAUAAGCUUUCGUCUUAUUUUGAGGCGAUAGCUAGUGCUAAAUCGUUAUGGUAGCUAGAAAUUAUGAGUGAACAGAUGAAAUCACUCCAUUUGAACUAGAUGUGGUAGCUUGUUAGUACCCAAGAGCCAGAACAUCAUUAGAAACAAGUGGAUUUACAAACACAAUGAGGGUAUCAAGGUAUAAGGUGAGACUUUUUGCGAAAUGGUGUACACUCCAAGAGAGCAUCAUUGGUUACAACGAGGUGUUUUCUCCUAAUAUAAGGCAUUCUUAUAUCUGAAUAUUACUUACCUUAAUUGUUACACAAGAUCUCAAGUUGGAAUAGCUAGAUGUCAAGAGGGUAGUUUUUCACAAUGAGUUGAAAGAGUGGAUUUACAUGAGGCAGUCAAAAGAUAUUAUUCCAAGUAAGGAAUACCCCGUUUGUUUAUUAAAUAAAUCAUUUUAUGAGUGGAAAGAGUCUCCUAACCUAAGCAGUGAAUCAUUUUGAUGCUUUUAUAACUAGUCAAAACUAUUUUAAAAGCAAAAAAAUGCUUUAAGUGUCAAAAGUUGGCAUAAAUGGCCACUUAAGUGCCAAAAGUUACGAAAGUGAUACUUAAGUGCCAAAAUCGGAACAAAAUAGAUCAUUUAAGUGCCAAUCCGACUAAAAUCCAACCAAAAAUGCUGACGCAUGCAAUUUCCAAUGAAGUAAGACCAAAAUGACAUUGUUUUUGCAUAUCUAGCCACAUCAGCAUCCAAAACGACGAUGUUUUGCACUUAUUUUGCCAGAAAUUGCGCAUGUCAGUAUUUUGGACUGGAUUGGCACUUAAGUAAUCCAUUUUACUCCGAUUUUGGCACUUAAGUAUCAUUUUCGUAACUUUUUGCACUUAAAUAUUUAUUCGUGCCAACUUUUGGCACUCUAGGGGUCCAAGUGUCCUAUUCGAAAGUUAGUUGGAUAGCUUAGGAAUUUUGAGGAUGAAUCUUUGAUUUAUCUAUUAUUAUUUGUUAAUGACAUAUUGAUAACAAUUUUAAGAUUUUUUUAUGAAAUUGGUAUUUUUUUUUUGUCAGUCCUACUCUAUUCCUACUCUACACUCACUCUCAGACUUUUGUCCUGCCUCUUGCAAGGCGUGGGAGUCGAAACCCACUCCUGAAACUUACACGUCCACACCCCCAUCCCCCCCUGAGAAAGUAGGGAUUUGAACCCCUCACCUCCCCCUUCCAUGUUAGAAGGGUGGCCAUUGGAGCGAAUCUCAGUGGUUAUGAAAUUGGUAUGUUGAAAAGACAGUUGAACCACCGCCUGCGGUGGCUCAGUUGGAUAAGUAUUCCUAUGAUGUCUACCAAGUAUGGAGGAGUUCGAAUCCCGCAGGUCGUAUAGGAUCUUAAGCGCAACAUCGAGGUGGUGGGUCAUCCGCUAGCAUCGCUCCAAGGUUUAUCCGCUAGCUGCCGACUGUACGGGGUUCCCGAGUAUUAAAAAAAGAAAAAGACAAUUGAAUGUUGGGUUUCAGAUGAAAGAUCUCGGUAAUACAUAAAAGAAAAAAAAAUGUCAAAAAUGCUUAUUGGAUCAACUGUAUCGAGCUUUUGUUUUGAAUUGUGCUAUGAGUUUUACUUGCAAUUGAGUUAUUUAUUUAUAAAUAUUGUAUGUUUAGGUGUAUUUUAGGUGUAGGAAACAAUUGAGCAUGUAAGUAAUUAUUAACUCUAUGAUUCUCCAAUUAUUAGUAAAUAAUUUGCUACUAGCUCUUCUCGUUAAGGAGUUACCAACACAUAGAUUAGACCAUGUAAAUUCCUAAUGUUUUUUCUUCUUGACUUAUUUCUAUAGUGAUUUUGCAUUGAUUUAAUUUGCAAGUUCCAAUAUUUUCCAUAUUAAUUUUACGAAAAUUUAGAUGGACAAGUCACCAUAUCAAUUAUAAAAUACAAAAGAUGAGGACAACAUAGCUAAUGCAAUAUGGAUUCAUGAGAACACCAAAAUAGCAUAGGCCUUUGAUUAAAUCAUAUAUUGAUAACACACAAUUAAUUAAAGAGAAAAAUCACUAAAAACUCUAAACUUUGCCCAAAGUGACACAUUUACCCUAAACUUUUUUUGUAACAUGAAAAAACCUUAAAGUUUGCCAACCGUGACACAUUUACCCAAAAAAAAAUUUCGUAAUACAAAAAACCCUAAACUUUUAUCCGUAUGACACAUUUACCCUAAAUUAGAGUGCAUUUUGGUCUUUUUUUCUUUUUUUGUCUUUUUUUCUCUCUUUCCUCCGCCGGCCAUGGCGGAGCCAACGGAGAGAAGCCGGCGUCCAACGAGGGCUGCCCUCGCCAAUGUCGAGCAAGGGUGGCCCUCGGCUCGGUCAGACGAGGGCCUCCCUUGCUCAAUUUAGCGAGGGCACCCCUUGCCUGACCCAACUGAGGGCGACUCUCGUCGACAUCGGGCAAAGUCCUCUCUCGCCAAAUCUAGUGAGGACACCCCUCACCAGGCCCUCAUCGGCAUCGAGCGAGGGGUGUCCUUGUCGGAUCUGGCGAGGACUGUCCUUGCUCGACACAUCGACGUCGGGCAGGGAGGCCCUCGCCCGACCCAGCCGAGGGCCAUCCUCACCCGACGCCGGCGAGGGUAGCCCUAACUAGCCCAAGCGAGGGCAGCCCUCACCCGAUGCUGGCGAGGGCAGUCCUCACCGGAUGCCGGCUUCCCUUCACCAUGGCUGGCGAAGGGAAGAAAAAAAAAAGAAAAAGAAAAACAGAAAGAGUAAGAUGAAAAUGUCCUUAAUUGGGGUAAAUAUGUCACAAUUUACAAAGUUUGGAGUUUUUCAUAUUAUAAAAAAGAAAAGUUUGGGGUAAAUUUGUUAUUUUAGGUAAAGUUUAGGGUUUUUAAUGGUUUUUUCUCUUAAUUAAAUCGCAUAUCUUUACUAAUAUAUUAAGCCAAAGCACGCACCUUAUGCAUACGACCAACAUGCCCCAUUUAUCAUGUUUCUACAUUACAACAAGCUUGACCUCUCGACUAUUCCACAUUUUUUUUUUCAAUAACUAAGUACAUUUUAUAGCACAAACAUCAACAUAGUUGGAGAGCAUCUUCUCUCUACCAACUCAAUACGAAGGCAUGUCUUCAAAACAAAGAUGCAAUCCAACUUCCACUACUGCUAAUGCUAAUUGAGUUUCUUGGACAAAAGGCAACCGUAACAUUCUCAAUGACUUUUACACAAAGCUAAAGGCUCCUAAGCCAAAUUUGAAAAUCUAAAUAUCCUAGGAAUCACACAAUUAUCUAUUAAUUAAAAUGGCAAAUAUUUUCUCCUCAAACAAACCAACGACCUUAAGUCUAGUCAACAAAUAGAGUGUGUUCAGAAACUCUAUCAUACAUUUGCAGUUAUCUCCCCACUACUUACAGCAUUUAUACGUAAUGGCUAAUACUGACAGAAGUAUGUAUGCAUUUAUCUAAUUUAAGUAAUGGUUAAGUAUUGGAGAAGUAAUGUUAAAUCAUACAUUGGCAUAAUAUAUGGAUCGUCGAUUGGUUAAACAUUUUAACCCGUGGGUGAUUUUUUUGACAUGUACAAAAGGGCAUUUUGGAAAGUCAUCAUUUGGUUUAUCGGUAGUUUGGUUAAAAUGAUUGAAAUAGAACUACUCAUUACAAAUAGCAUUUUGCAUAAACAAAUAAUCCAAUUUUACUUUAAAAAGAAAAAAUUCAAAAGGGAUUCUUGUCACUUUGGUCAAUGGGAUUCAUCCGAACAAAUUUUACAUUUAAAAAUAACUCUCACUUAGAGUGCGUUUGUUUCGCGGAAUACAUUUUUGGGGAAACUAUUUUCCUCAUUUUCCGGCGUUUGGUUCGCUUAGGAAAAUGAGUCAAUGGAAAACGUUUUCCUAGUCAAUAGAAAAUAUUUUCCUAGCAAAGCUUAAAUUCAGGAAAAUGAUUUCCCCUUUGAAAUGACCGGAAAACGUUUUUCAAAUCUACCAAAGCUCAGAUUUGAUGCUUGAUUUACAAACAAUUAAUCUUAUAAAAAUAUUUUUUUAAAAAAUUGAAUUUGAAUUUUUUAUUUAAAAAAAAUUAAAAUUUGGAAAACAUUUUUAAAAUAAAAAUAAAAAAUUCGAAUUUGCUUCUUUUUCUUUUCUUCCUUUUUUCUUUUUGCUUCUUCUUCAAUUGUCAUCGGCCACAAGGACGGCCAGUGAGUUUUUGCUUCUUCAUUUUUUUUUCCUGUAAAGAAAACAUUUUCAAUUAUAUAUCGCCAAACAAAGGAAAACAAACUGUAUUCUUGGAAAAUGCUUUCUCUAAAAACAUUUUCCUUUAUCAUUGAGUUUUCCGUGAAACAAACACACCCUUAGGCUCCGUUCGUUUCGCGGAAAAUAACUUCCAGGAAAAUAUUUUCCGGAUUUUCCGGUGUUCGGGUGAGCGGAAAAUCACGGUCAACGGAAAACAUUUUCCGUUGACCGGAAAAUUCCUUCUUUGCAGCUUGGAAAAUGUUUUCCUCUUUUGAAAAGAGGAAAACAUUUUCCAAGCCUCGCCUCUUCUCUUCCUUCGGUUCUUGUUCUCUCUCUCUCUUGCUCUCCUUGCUGCGAAGUUGGCUUCGACGACGUCCUUCUCCGAGACUAGCCUCCGCCCUCCCUGGUCGCUCCUGCCCACCUGCUCCGGCCGGGGUGCCGCCGCCACCGCCGCGCUCCGCUUCCCUGGCGGCUCGAAGCCGCUCGGGAGGAUCCGGCUCAAGAGGGAGCUCCGCGGCGGCGCCGGGAGGCUCGCGGGGAGAUCUGUCACCAGAUCCGGCGAGCUCGGGUGAGAUCGGCCGAGCCUCGAGCUCGCCGGAUCUGGCGGCGGAGCUCGCGGCUUGCCAGAUCCAGCCGAGCUCGAGCUCUGUCGCCAGAUCCGGCGAGCUCGGGUGAGAUUGGCCGAGCCUCGAGCUCGCCGGAGUGGCCACCGGGUCUUGGUCGGCCGCUGGGCUGCCGGCCAUCGUUAGGCAGGAAGGAGGCGGCGGCGGCGGAACGAGGAGGAAGAAGGAGGAGGAAGGAGGCGACGGCGGACGAAGUCGCUCGGGAGGAAUCGGGAGGAAGAAGGAGGAGGAAGGAGGAAGGAAAAAAAAAUAAUAAAAAUUUCUAUUUUAAAAAUAUAAAUAAUUAAAAAAAUCAUUUAAAAAAAAUAUAAAUAAAUAAAAUAAAUUUUUUGGUCAAUUAAAAAUAUUAAAAUUCAAUUUUUGAUAAUUUUUUUCAGGAAAAUGUUUGAGCUAACGAACAGUGGAAAAUAUUUUCCACUCAAAUUUUAGAUUUUGACCGAACAUCGGAAAAUAAAGUCAUUUUCCUGGAAAAUAACUUCCAGGAAAAUGUUUUCCGGAAACAUGAUAUUUUCCGUGAAACGAACGGAGCCUUAAUAUUGGUUUGCUUCCCCCACAUCACUUUCACGGGUAUAUUUGAUGUACAAAAUCCCUUGUUCUUAUUUCUAAGGACAUUUAAGUACUUUUCUUGGCUUGGGAUUGACUUAUCCAAGACAAUGUUCUUGUUUUAAGAAAAGGAAUUAUUGUAGUUUGAUGUUUUAUAAAAAAAAAAUCACACUAGUAUUGGAUUAUAGCUGCCAAGCUAGCCAUGGAUCUUGAUGUAAACCAACCCAAAUUCAUUCCUAACAAGUGACCAAGGAGAGAGGCUUGUUGUCUUUCGAAUCCAACCUUGUCCAUAGAUUUUUCUAUCACGAAAAAGGAAAACAAAGGAAAAAAUAGAAAGCUCAUACAUAAAUUUUAUUUCCUUUUUCUUAUUUAUUUGUAUAUCUUCAUAUCAAUUGUUAAGAUAGAUGCACUGUACAUCUUAGUCAUCUCAUGUGUCAAGUGAGAAUAAUCAAAAAAGUUUUAAACCUGUUAUAAUCACAUCAAUUUAAUCAUAAACUUUUUUUUUUAACAAAUUCAGUUUUAAACAUUUUGCAAGUAUGCUAAUCUAGUUCAUUUGAUCAAAUUUGACUAGCUAACGCUAACAUGAACGUUGGCUGAUGUCGACUAUCCAACGUCGACCAUCCUGCGAAUGCUAACGCCGCAAUUUUUAAUAUUUUUCGAGUUUUUUUUAAUUUUUUUUCUUUUUUCCCAAUCUUCCUUCUUACUCUAGCCAAUCAAACGCAUGGAAGCCUUGCCGACCAAUGGUGAGACUCGCCCUCGCCAACCACUGGCAUGAGCGAGCCUUGCUAGAUCUGGCGGGAAUCGGCCUCACCCAACCAUGGUGAGGGCGAGCUUCAUCGACCGCUAGCAAGGUCGACCCUCACCAAACCUAGCCAUGGCAAGCCUAGCGACGACAAGGCCGAGCCUUAGUGAGGCCUUGACAUUGGCCUUGCCAGUGGCCAAUGGAGGCGAGCCUCACCAUUAGCCAAUGAGGCUAACGUAUGGCCAAUGGCAAUCGACCAAAGGAAGCAAAAAGGAGAAAAAUAAAAUAUAUUAAAUUAUUUAAAAAUUGUCAAGUCAACAUCCAUCAGAUAGUUAAUGCUAGCUAGUGCCAGCUGCCGUCCAUAAUAGCAUUGGCCGACUAAAUUUGGUUGGAUAGAUUUAAUUUAUACAAUUGCAAAAAUUUUAUGAUUGAAUUGACUGAAAAAAAAAAAGAUUUAGGACUAAAUUAACACGAUUGCAAAAGAUUUAAGUCCUUUUCUGGUAAUUUUCCCAACGCAUCAUUGAUUAUCCUUAAAUGUCUGUCCCUCUAAUUCCCUUCCAAUUAAGGCAUCGCCUUGGGAACAAGUCAUCACUCACGAACUGAGAUUGAAGCUAGCUUCUCAGAUGAAAAAUGUUGGACCUCGUUUUUUGGGAUGAGUUACAAAUCUACUAGGUAGCCUCAUGUAGCAACAUGACAAUUUUGAUUCCAGAAUAUUUCAGAUGCCCAUAACCCUCGCGUCUGCACAUGUCUACGCUGAGGAAAAUUAUAGAGGUGAUGGAUGAAAAUUUUUGGGCUUAGCCAACCUUUAAAGGGUGUCCGACCAAAAACAAAACCUUAAAGAGGUGAUGUUGUUGAAAUGCACGCAAGCUCGAAAAUAUGCUCAACGAAGACAUUUCUUUCUUGGAAUCAACCGAUGUGUGAUUCAAAUGUGAAGCCCAAGGAGCAGGCAAGUUAUUUCCGUUGUUUCGCUGAAUCUUUUUUGCAUAUGUCUAUGAUUGUUCAUUUCUAAUCUGUUCUUUGUCUUCGCUACUCUUACUCAUGGAUUUUUGAAAUCACUACCAUGAAUUCCAUGCAUAUGUUGUUGUGGUAGUGGUAAGGGAAGUCUAGCUGAAUAAAUAUAUCACUGAGGGAUAGUGCCAUAAUUCCUAUUUUAUUCGAAUGAUCAGGUGUUAUUAGGGUGAUGGCGAGCCAGUUUAACUUUCUGGCAAUUCGAUGAACAACCCAAUCUCACCAUAUGUACUCCGGCUCAUUGUUGUUGCUCUCAGAUGAGCUGUUGAUUGCCUAGGAUUUGCAAGACACUGAAAUUAGAAGAAAUAAAAUAAAUAAAAAAGGACCCAAAAUGCUUUUAAAUUUAAUAAAAUAACAAGUACAAUUGAAUGGUGAUGGAGAACCUGGAAACCUUCACUCAAUUAAAAUGGGAAAAAGCUUCAACACAAUUUGGGAUUUACAAGCAGUGAACAAGCCUUUCAAUUAGGUGACGAAGCAUCUAUCUAUGCACUCAAAUCUGUUAAUAGUCAUUGGGAAAUUUCCCACUUUUCCCAACGUCUGAAUCUAGAAUAGGCUCUCUCGUCCAUGGUCGGAGCAAAAAAAAAAACUCGAAAAUUGCCUAGCUACGCCAGACAUGACUACAAGCUUUGGUUCCACCUAUAGUCAAUGUCUAAAGUACAGACUAGUAUCUCAUGAAAGUACUAUCCUCUGUGUUGUUGUAAUUUUUUCAACAAUGGUCAUAUUAAAAGGCUAUUAGUUUUUAUUAUCGAGUUAGUAUUUUCUAAACAGAUCCACUAAUGGUUACAAAAUCAUAGAAAGACACAGAAACUUUCAGUCCUUCAACAAUUCCAUGUUAGAAGCAUAGAAUUGUACAUGAUGAUGGUAAGUUGGGUAUACUUUUCUCAAUAUUAAUUACUCAGAAACGUUGUGCUACUAAUGUUUAUUGUUGUAUUAGCAAUUACUAACUUUGUGAUAUUUUCACCAGGAAAGUUGAUUUUAUCCCAACAACUCUAGAAGUGAUUCUCUUGUGUUCUAAAAAAAGACAAGAAUAAAAAACAAAAAAGCUCGAAAACUGAUUAGGUAUGCCAAAUGUGAACAUUAAGAUCUCUGGCUGCAUCUAUAGUCCCCAGUUGGAAAACCCAUUAUAUUCUUCUGUGAAAUAAAUAUUCUCAAAAUUGUGAUAUUCACAACGCGGGUUGCUAACUUAGUGCUAGUAACAUUUUUAUUUCAAGUCAAUAACUUUCCAAGCAUAUCAAGUAAUGGUCAUGGGAGAACAAAAAGACACAAAAAUUUGGGUCUGUCUACAGUCCUACAGCCCUAUACUCCAAUAUUCAGAGGUUGGGACACCUGGAGUGCCAUAACUUGGCACGGAGGGACACUUAAGUGCCAUAACAUUAAAAUGGUAUACUUAAGUGCCAAUAUGGGAAUAACAUGAGACACUUAAGUGCCACUCCGGCGAAAAUCCGCACUUGGGUUGUACUUCUACCCCAAUAUUCAAUUGUAUCUCUUGAUCGUAAUUCCCCUAAAAUUUGUUUUCCCAACAUGAAUUUGUAACUCUCUACUAGUAACUUCCAUUAUGCAGUCAAUCAUUUUCUUAACAGAUCAAGUGUGGGACCAUAGAAGGACAGAGAUUUGAGUUUGUCAACAAUUCCAUGUAAAAAUGAAAAGUAGAAUUGAAUAUUAUGACAGUAAAUUUUUCAGUGUGGUGGUAAUUUUCCCAACUCGAAUUAGUAGCUCAGAGCUAGUAAUAAGUUUCAAGCAAAUCAUACGUUCUCAAGAUAAUAGAAUUCUUCAGUGAUGUUCAACCUAUCUACUCAUUCUAACUUACGCUAUCAAAAACAAAACUUCUCACGGAUAGAGAAAGGUUUAAUGUAAACUGAAAAUUAAGUGUCUCUCAUUAUGUUUGUCCUUUUCAUCAAAACUGACAACGUUGCAGUACUCUUUAAAUGUUUUAACACCAGGACUAAUAUAGAGCAGGACAAAUUGAUGACCAGCAAAUUUAACUAGUACAAUAAACUGUACAGCACACAAUCUCCUAAUAUUGGUUUGAUGGACAAAAGCAGCAAGCUUCUUCACUACACAAGCCUAUUAGAACAUUAGGGCUGUCCUGCCUCGAACCCCGGAUACGCGCACAUCCCACUGCGGUCGAUCAAAUAUGCGACAUCUCAGGAUACGUCGCCGACCCAUUCAUUUUAUUACGCAUGCGGAAGCAAAACAAAUCUCCUGACUACAUUUAACUUGGGAUAGAAAAGCAAGCAAUCAAUCGCAAUACCGACCACUCAUUUACAAACACAAAGGGUUUAAAUACAACACCGGACUGUCUACAAAAUAGACGAGCUCGACAAAAGGGAAAUUAUCCUAAAACCAACUAGCAGGACACGUUCUCCAAUCCUUAUGAUUUCGCCUCCAACCAAAGCUAUCUAACCGCUCUGUCCACCAGGGACUUGAAAUUGUAAUCCCCAAACCGGGAUGAGACAAUGUUUCAGCAAGUUCAACUCCCUAAAACCCUAUUAGAAAGAAAAUACGCCCUGGGUGGCCUAGCCACUUCACACAAAGACUUAUCUCGCAUUAGUCUUCAUCUGCAAGUUAGCACAGCUUAUAUAAUUCAACCACGUGCAAUUAUGAUAACCAAACAACUACGGCACAAUCACAUCAUCAGAACAAUUCAACCACUUGGAUCGUCUCAGCGAUCAAUCGACUUGGCCGAUUACAUGUCAUUCUAGCAAAUCAAUCAUUGCUCUCAAUCACGGCCCUAUAAGAAAGUUUAACAACCAGUGGCAAUCACAGUCCCACUCGGCACAAUCUUUAAAAGGUGGUAGAUUUUGGCCCGAUGGGCACGAACUCUAAUAGGUGGUAAUUCACGGCCCCACUUGGGCGCAACCUUUAUCAGGUGGCUAAUCACGACCUCACUGGGCACAACCUUUAAUAGGUGGUCAAUCAUGGACUCAUUGGGCACGACCUCUAUUAGGUGGUUAAUCACGGCUAAUUUCCCAUCAAUUUCCACACUUGGGAUUUUAUAAAGAAUCCCUAUUUAUCGCAAUCACACUCAAUUUGCCACAACCAAUCAUUAAUUUCAAAUUCUAAAUGCACAGUAGUGAUCGACACGAAAUUCUGAGCAACCGGGGUCAAAAAUAAUUUUUUCAUUUUUUUAAAUAAUAAUAUUUUAAUAAUUUCGGAAUAUAACAUAAUAUUAUAAAUUCCAGAAUUCGAAAUAAUUAAAUAAUUCAAAAAUAAAACCCUAUUAUGUCCCAUCAAGGCUUAACAUUAAGUAACUUCUUUUAACCUUAAAUAAACACACUUUAAGUUAAUUAAGCACCUUAAUAUAAUCUACACUUAAAUAAAUUAAACUAACCACCUAAUAACACUUAACAUAAACUAAGCACACCUAAAGCAUCAUUUAACUCUCUAAUCAAGGUUUAGUGAGCUAAACUCACCGAAUUAGCGAGUCGAGCGGACCAAAACGACGAGGACAACGCGAGGAUCGACUUUCCUCAAGGCAGGCCGAGCAUCCCGGCUCAAGAAGGCGGCCAAAACGGGCCAAAACCGAGCUGAGAAACCCAUUUUUUUGGCUACUGGUCGUGGGUGGAGAUGGGGCGGUUCCGGCGUCGGUUGGGCAGAGGAACGGCGGAGGAGCUACGGCAAUGCCGUGCGGCCAACGACGGGGUCUCACGGUUGCCGGAGGUGGGCUGGACGAUUCUGGCUGAGCUUUACCAGAUCUUAAAUGGCUGUUGGAUCAGAAGAGCCGGCAAGAUGGAGGCGGAGAUGGGCGGAGCGGCGGCGAGGCGACGGCAUGCAACGGUGGCGAGCGGCAACGAGCGGCAUUGCUAGCUUCAAUUGCUUGCUGCAACAGUGAGGAAGAUGCUGGCUGGUCUUUGUACAGCAAGAAGAAAUGGAGGAGAGAGAGACCGUGACGAGAGAGGAAGGAGAAGACGGAGGGCAUGCGAGCAAGGCGGAGAAGCAACGGCGAUGCAAACGGAGGCGUGAGGCGGUGACGGUUGGCUACGGGCAGCUUGCUCGACGUUCUCCCUUGCUGCUGGUGCUCGAAGAAGCAAGGAGAAGAAGAUGGAGAAGAGAGGCGACAGGAGAGAGGAAGAAGAGAGGGAGGAGAGAGAAGGAGGGGGCCAUUUCUUUUUCUUUUUCUCUUUCUUUAAUCCAACAAAAAGGGCCCACCAUGAUGUCAUGCUCCGCUAACUUCAAAUCCCCCACAACAAUCUUCAAUGGGUCCAAUUCCAUCCUCCGCCGGGGUCCAAUCCUUGUACAUCCAAUUUCUUCAAUUCCCAUCAAUUCUCUUUCAAUUGAAUCCAAUUGAAGUUCAUAAAAUUAAUCCAAUGUCACCGCACUUCAAUUCACAUCUUCACUUGUUCGUAGAAACAACUUAAGCCCCAAAAGCGCGACCAAAGGCGGGCCUACUAAUUUCUCGAGCCAAAUUAGCCAUUCUCCGAUUUAAUUGCUCAAAAACUCGGCUUGCACGAAAAAUCUUCCGAAGAUGAGUCGAUAUUCCUAAAAUGAUUUGUGACACACUCAGACUUCAAAUUUCUGAAUUCGAUCUCAAUUCCACUGUUAACUUCACUUUGGCACGAUAGUAGCGUGGCCCAACCUACCGAAUAGCCUUUAGAAAUUUUCAUGCAUUUAACAUGUGAUUGAUCAUCUUAAACCACAAUGUACAUCUUUGAAACAUUGGUGACUUUCGGUUGUUGGGAUAAUCUCAAUGUUUCAAAUACAGACACAGGGUACCCAAUCGAUAGAGACGUCGGUCCAGUGCCGAUCGACCGGAAUUGUGUGAUCUGGUGGAAUCACCCACACUUGAUCACAUGCCUUUGUCAAGUCGACCUAUCUCCGGUCUUUAAUCGAUUCUUAAUUGUGUCAUAAUGACCCUUGCAGAUUAUCUUAGUCGAAAGGUCGCUUCAUGUUCAAAUUCUCGAGUCUGGUGCAUUAGAAACUUUUAACAGCUUCACCCGAUAGACUAGUUUUCACAUGAGUAGCCGACUCAAGGAAAAUAACUAUAUGCGUGCCAACGAAAUGCCCGUCUCAAUUUAUUGAAAAUAGAAUUGGAAAAUCGGGAUGUCAUAAGGGCCAAAAACAUUAUUAAUCAUUAAAGACCUCUCUCUCUGGUCUUAGCAGAUCAUAAAAUUGCAUUGUUAGAUCAUACAUGAAAAUUAUUGAGAGAUUCUAUUACAAGUUUCACAAGUUUGUGGAUAGUGGUUAAUAUAUGCACAAAAGAGUGAUGAUGCAUGGCAAGUGAUAGGAAGGAAAUAAAAGCACCGAUGGGAAAGAGGGCGACACCUUUGCAAGAAGCUUUGCAUUAUCUUCUUUCAGAGACCUCUCCUGAGGUAAACCAAAUAAAGUUAUGAUUAAUAUAACCACAAAAUUAACAAUGCUUAAUGGGAUCGAAUAUGCAUUCAUCAUAUUUGUCCACUUACCUUUGCUUGUAACUGCCGUAUUUGAUCGUUGAAUAAUUAAGCCUGUAAAAGAGUUCUGUAGAAAUAUUUUAACUUUCGUGUGUGUUCAUGCUGUCACAAUACCUUUCUUAGUACAAGGUAAAAAAUAAUAAAAGAGAGAAAAUAAGUUGAAAUGAUGGAUGAUAGAAAUGAAAAGACGAUGCUUUGCAACUUGUUUAGAAACAUGGUGCAAGUGAGAAGUAGUACAUGGAAAUCGGCAAGGUUAAUAUAAUAAAAAAAAUCAUUGUAUUCUAUUAUUUUGUGCCAAAUAGUGCAGACUAUUUUUUUGUUUCGUUUUAAUAAUUAUCCAUUUGUGUCAAGAAGUGUCAAUAAACCAUUCGUAAAAAAUGAUUGAUGACUUUUUUUUUGUCUGAGGAGAAAAGCCAGUUAUUUAACCAAACCAAAAAAACUCGUUAACUAAUAAAAUAAGAGUUGGUAACACAGAAUUAGUUGGUUACUUAAACAGAGAAAGGUUUUUUUGGUAAAAUAUAAGAGGUAUAUAGACUUUUGCACAAAAAGCUAUACAGCCGUAUAGCAAGGGGGGCCCCGGCACUAGCUCACACUCAGAAGGACAGAAAAUCCAAACGAGUGGAAGGGGGCUGAGGCCAGGGGGGAGAAAAGGGGAGGGAAGAGCUGCGAAAGAGAUACAUUGCAGAUAAAAGCAGCAGCAAAAGAAGGCCAAAACAGCGGCCAACAAAGGAGACAAGAGCAAAGAGCACACAACAUUGUGGCCCGCACAAGGAAAAGACACAAAGGAGAAGAGCAGGAGAGACACCAAGAUGAGAACACAAGCCGCAUCAUCAGGAGAGAUUCGGGAGAGAUCCAUUAGAAGCAUCAACCAGCAAUAGCGAGAUGGGCAACAAUAUAGCAAGGACAGCUUCACCAACCAACCAUCNNNNNNNNNNNNNNNNNNNNNNNNNNNNNNNNNNNNNNNNNNNNNNNNNNNNNNNNNNNNNNNNNNNNNNNNNNNNNNNNNNNNNNNNNNNNNNNNNNNNNNNNNNNNNNNNNNNNNNNNNNNNNNNNNNNNNNNNNNNNNNNNNNNNNNNNNNNNNNNNNNNNNNNNNNNNNNNNNNNNNNNNNNNNNNNNNNNNNNNNNNNNNNNNNNNNNNNNNNNNNNNNNNNNNNNNNNNNNNNNNNNNNNNNNNNNNNNNNNNNNNNNNNNNNNNNNNNNNNNNNNNNNNNNNNNNNNNNNNNNNNNNNNNNNNNNNNNNNNNNNNNNNNNNNNNNNNNNNNNNNNNNNNNNNNNNNNNNNNNNNNNNNNNNNNNNNNNNNNNNNNNNNNNNNNNNNNNNNNNNNNNNNNNNNNNNNNNNNNNNNNNNNNNNNNNNNNNNNNNNNNNNNNNNNNNNNNNNNNNNNNNNNNNNNNNNNNNNNNNNNNNNNNNNNNNNNNNNNNNNNNNNNNNNNNNNNNNNNNNNNNNNNNNNNNNNNNNNNNNNNNNNNNNNNNNNNNNNNNNNNNNNNNNNNNNNNNNNNNNNNNNNNNNNNNNNNNNNNNNNNNNNNNNNNNNNNNNNNNNNNNNNNNNNNNNNNNNNNNNNNNNNNNNNNNNNNNNNNNNNNNNNNNNNNNNNNNNNNNNNNNNNNNNNNNNNNNNNNNNNNNNNNNNNNNNNNNNNNNNNNNNNNNNNNNNNNNNNNNNNNNNNNNNNNNNNNNNNNNNNNNNNNNNNNNNNNNNNNNNNNNNNNNNNNNNNNNNNNNNNNNNNNNNNNNNNNNNNNNNNNNNNNNNNNNNNNNNNNNNNNNNNNNNNNNNNNNNNNNNNNNNNNNNNNNNNNNNNNNNNNNNNNNNNNNNNNNNNNNNNNNNNNNNNNNNNNNNNNNNNNNNNNNNNNNNNNNNNNNNNNNNNNNNNNNNNNNNNNNNNNNNNNNNNNNNNNNNNNNNNNNNNNNNNNNNNNNNNNNNNNNNNNNNNNNNNNNNNNNNNNNNNNNNNNNNNNNNNNNNNNNNNNNNNNNNNNNNNNNNNNNNNNNNNNNNNNNNNNNNNNNNNNNNNNNNNNNNNNNNNNNNNNNNNNNNNNNNNNNNNNNNNNNNNNNNNNNNNNNNNNNNNNNNNNNNNNNNNNNNNNNNNNNNNNNNNNNNNNNNNNNNNNNNNNNNNNNNNNNNNNNNNNNNNNNNNNNNNNNNNNNNNNNNNNNNNNNNNNNNNNNNNNNNNNNNNNNNNNNNNNNNNNNNNNNNNNNNNNNNNNNNNNNNNNNNNNNNNNNNNNNNNNNNNNNNNNNNNNNNNNNNNNNNNNNNNNNNNNNNNNNNNNNNNNNNNNNNNNNNNNNNNNNNNNNNNNNNNNNNNNNNNNNNNNNNNNNNNNNNNNNNNNNNNNNNNNNNNNNNNNNNNNNNNNNNNNNNNNNNNNNNNNNNNNNNNNNNNNNNNNNNNNNNNNNNNNNNNNNNNNNNNNNNNNNNNNNNNNNNNNNNNNNNNNNNNNNNNNNNNNNNNNNNNNNNNNNNNNNNNNNNNNNNNNNNNNNNNNNNNNNNNNNNNNNNNNNNNNNNNNNNNNNNNNNNNNNNNNNNNNNNNNNNNNNNNNNNNNNNNNNNNNNNNNNNNNNNNNNNNNNNNNNNNNNNNNNNNNNNNNNNNNNNNNNNNNNNNNNNNNNNNNNNNNNNNNNNNNNNNNNNNNNNNNNNNNNNNNNNNNNNNNNNNNNNNNNNNNNNNNNNNNNNNNNNNNNNNNNNNNNNNNNNNNNNNNNNNNNNNNNNNNNNNNNNNNNNNNNNNNNNNNNNNNNNNNNNNNNNNNNNNNNNNNNNNNNNNNNNNNNNNNNNNNNNNNNNNNNNNNNNNNNNNNNNNNNNNNNNNNNNNNNNNNNNNNNNNNNNNNNNNNNNNNNNNNNNNNNNNNNNNNNNNNNNNNNNNNNNNNNNNNNNNNNNNNNNNNNNNNNNNNNNNNNNNNNNNNNNNNNNNNNNNNNNNNNNNNNNNNNNNNNNNNNNNNNNNNNNNNNNNNNNNNNNNNNNNNNNNNNNNNNNNNNNNNNNNNNNNNNNNNNNNNNNNNNNNNNNNNNNNNNNNNNNNNNNNNNNNNNNNNNNNNNNNNNNNNNNNNNNNNNNNNNNNNNNNNNNNNNNNNNNNNNNNNNNNNNNNNNNNNNNNNNNNNNNNNNNNNNNNNNNNNNNNNNNNNNNNNNNNNNNNNNNNNNNNNNNNNNNNNNNNNNNNNNNNNNNNNNNNNNNNNNNNNNNNNNNNNNNNNNNNNNNNNNNNNNNNNNNNNNNNNNNNUUCACCAACCCGCCUUCAGUCCCAGCCAGAAAGAAAAGGGGGUGGGGGGGGGGCAGCCAAUAGUAAGCAUAAUCAAUCAAAGAUGGAGGGGUGGAUGCCCCAGCUAAGUUGUAGUCUUCUAUUACGGGGGUCGUCCGGGACCUUGGGGAAUGAUAAAGCCCUAUCAUUGAUAGCUUUACGAAGGUGAUCCUUUAAAGCCGGGAGGUAUAAUCUUUCAUUGCGAAAGAUAAUGUUAUUCCUUACUUUCCAAAUGAGAUAACAUAAGGCACCAAAGGCAAAACGAGCCAAGGAUUGGUGGAAGGUUGCAUCAGAAAGAUGUUCAAUAACCCAUAAAAGAUUGUCCUUCCAAGCAUGAUUCCUCCAAGGUAAGUUACACUUAGCCGUCCAAAAGGAUGCAAGAUGAUUAGUGAUAGAACAUCCAAAGAAAAGGUGAUCAACCGAGUCCGACACAGAAGAGCAGAAGGCAUAAGAAACAUCGAGGAUUCUCUCAUGAGCAAACAACAAUACCUGGGUUGGCAGUCAAUUACGGGAGAUUUAACCACAGAUGGGUCUGAUACCGAGGAGGUAAGGAGGGGUUCCAUAUAAAUCUCGACCAGGGGACCACAACACCCCUCGGCCUUAGAAGGCUCCAAGCUGAGGCAGUAGAAAACACUCUUGAGGAAUGACCAAGCCAUAGAAAAUGGUCACUGGCCUCAAUAGGUUUGGAAGGGGAUCAUCCCAAUUCAUUAUGGAGGUCGCAACAGUAAAAGGUAGGGGAAAGGCAGUUAAAGCAGUGGUUACCGUAGCGAGCCUUGAUAUACCAUAACAAUAGAUUUCACGGUCAGAGAUCCCGAUUUUCCAAUUCUAUAUUUUCAAUAAAUUGAGACGGGCAUUUCGUUGGCACGCAUAUAGUUCUUUUCCUUGAGUCGGCCACUCAUGUGAAAACUAGUCUAUCGAGUAAAGCCGUUAAGCGUUUCUAAUGCAUCAGACUCGAGAAUUUGACCAGGAAGCGAUCUUUCGACCGAGCUAAUCUACAAUGGUCAUUACGGCACAAUUAAAAAUCGAUUAGAGAUCGGAGAUAUGUCGACUCGACAGAGGCAUGUGAUCAGGUGCGAGUGAUUCCACCAGAUUGCACAAUUCUUGUCGAUCGGCACUGGACCGAUUUUUCUAUCGAUUGGGUAUCCUGUGUUCGUAUUUGAAACCUUGAGAUUACCCGACAACCGAAAGUUGCCAAUGUUUCGAAGAUGUACAUUGUGGCUUGAGAUGAUCAACCACAGGUCAAAUGCAUUAAAAUUUCUAAAGGCUACCCAGUAGGUUGGGCCGCACUAGUGUCGUGCCAAAGUGAAAUUAACCGUGGAAUUGAGAUCGAAUUCAAAAAUUGGAAGUUUGGGUGUGUCACAAAUCAUUUUAGGAAUAUUGACUCAUCUUCGGAAGAUUUUUCAUGUAAUCAGAAUUUUUCAGAAAUUAAAUCAGAUAAUGACUAUUUUGGCUUGAGAAAUUAGUAUACCCGCCUUUGGUCUUACUUUUGGGACUUAAGCUGGUUCUAUGGAUAAGUAAAUAUGUGAAUUAAAGUGUGGUGACAUUGGAUUGAUUUUAUGGACUUCCAUUGGACUCAAUUGGAAGAGAAUUGAAUGGAAUGAAAGAAAUUAGUGUACAAAGUUUCAUGCCCCGGCGGAAAAAUAAUAUGGACCCAUUGAAGAUUGUUGUGGGAGAGGAGAUAGUGGAAGAUGACAUCAUGGGGGUGAUGUCAUGCUGAUUGAAGCAAAGGAUUGAGGGCUUGACAAGUGGAGGGUGGAGAUUUAAUCUCCAAAAAAGGAGUCAUCACCAUCAUCUUCAAACUUGGGAAGGAGAGAGGGGAAAGAGGAGAGAGAGAGCCGGCCAAGGGGAGCUUGCCCGUCGACCAGCCAGCCCACGCACACCGCCGUCCGCUGCUCCUUCGUCGCCGUGCCGAGUCGCCGUCGCCGCCGGGUCGUCCCACGCGACCGCGCGCGCCUCGCCUAACCGUCCCGCUCCUCUACUUUGCUCCGCUUCUCUCCGCCGCCUCCAGCCUUCGUCCACGCGACCCCGAGCCUCCAGCCCUCCAUCCAGUUGCUGUUCGGAGCCAGCUCGCCGUCGCCAAGGUCGCCAGGAGACCCGCACGAGCUGCCGUCGCCCUCCUUCGCCCAUUCCGUCCUUCUCGGCCCCAAAUCAGAAGCUGGAAAAAUGGGUAUGGCAGCAGGUGUUUGGCCCGUUUUGGUCGCCUUCCCGAGCCCGGAUGCUCAGCCCGCCUUGAGGAAAGUCGAUCCUCACAUCAUCCUCGUCGUUUUGGUCCCGCUCAGCUUGCUAAUCCAGUGAAUUUAACUCAUUAAAUCUCGAUUAGAGGAUUAAUUAUGCUUUAGGUGUGCUUAGCUUAAGUUAAUUAAGCUUAGGUGGUUAGUUUAGUUUAUUUAAUUGUGAAUUAGAUUAAGAAGUUGGUUUAACUUAAAGUAUGUUUAGUUAAGGUUAAAUUGAUGUUUAUAUUAGUGUAAUGGUGAUUUGACAUAAAUGAAUUACUUUUGGGAUUAAAUAAAUAUUUCGAAAUUGUUUAAUAAUUUAAUAAUAUUUUAUUAUUCGAAAUUAUUAAAAUAUUAUUAUUUAAUUAUUUUCGGAAUAAAUUUAAUUAUUUAUUAAAUUCCGAAAAUUUUGUCAGGACCCUAAAUUCUCAUAAUUUCGUGUCGAUCGCUGCUGUGUAGUCAGAUUUUGAAAUUGACGAUUGGAUAUUAUAAAUUGAGUGUGGAUCGUGAAAGAUAUGGAUAUUAUUAUUUAUUUAAUUUUCGGAAUAAAUUUAAUUAUUUAAUAAAUUCUGAAAAUUAUUUUGGAACCUUAUUUUCUCAGAAUUUCGUGCUGUGCAUUUAGAAUUUGAAUUUGAUGAAUGGAUGUGGCAAAUUGAGUGUUGAUUUUGAUAAAUAGGGAUUUUAUUCAUAAAAACCCAAGUGUCAGGUUUUGAUGCAAACAUUGGAUUUUAAUGAUUAUAUUAAGUAGUGGGGUUUGAAAAGGUGAGAUAUUGGCUUUCUGGUUCGAAGUUAGCGUGUAUGAUAACUAAGAUGAAUCGUCCUGGGCUGUUGAGCUGGACUUGCCCCUAUAUGGGAUGCCCACGCGGUGGAUGCGAGUCGCAGUUGAUUCUAGGCCCAUGCUCCUUCAAGAACGCCGUCGAUGUACUGACGAAGCCGCACUCCAAGAUGGGGAGGCGAUGCCUGGCUAUGUGUCAGUAGAUAGCCGAACUGCGAGUAAGCUAUGCCCUUGUGUGGCACUGGAAUGUGUGCUAAGUGCGAUUGUGAUUUAUAUGAAAGUGAUGGCGUUCCAAUUGUUUGAAUUAUUAUUACUACCUGAGAUUGUGUGAUACAAAUUGUGCUAACCUGCGGGAAGGAAUUGAGGCGAGGUAAGUUCUCGGUGUGAUGUGGCUAGGCCACCCUUGGGCGUAUUUUCUUUCUAAUAGGGGUUUAGGGGGUUGAACUUAUUAAGACAUUGUCUCAUCCCGGUUUUGGGAUUAAAAUUUCAUGUCCCUGGUGGACGGAGCGGCUAUAUAGCUUUGGUUGGCCUUGAGGAGUUGCAGAGGUGAGUCAUAAGAAUUGGAGAACGUGUCCGACUUGUAGGUCGUAGGACAAUUCAUUUUUAAGAGUCGGUCUUUUGUAGGCUUUUGACUGUAGGCCUUCGUUUGUAACUCCGUUGAAUUAUGAAUGUGUUAUUUUGUGGAUUUGCUUCGCAUCCUGUAUUUCAUUGUCAAUAAUUUUAUAAUACGUUCCGCUUGCGCAAUAAUAAAUAAAUGAGGUCGGCGACACUACUUGGGAAUGUCGCAUUUGCAUGACCAUGGUGGGAUGUUGGCGCGCUUGAGGUUCGAGGCGUGACACAGCUUGUAGAGCGGACCAUGAGGGUGCCAGUGAUCAAAGCAGAAAGAGACAGAUAGCCCAUUACCAACGCACCAUUUAAAAUGAUGUCAGAUCAAAUCACGGAGACCAAGCAACUUCUUCCAAGCCCAAGAGUAAUAGGUAGGUCUUGGGACAAUCCAGAAAUUUUUGCAAUUUAAGAAAGAUGGAAUGAAUCCAUUUAGACCAAAGCAACUCCUUAUCAGUGAAAAUGAGCCAUAGGUGUUGUCAUGAUAUUGCUCACCCGAAGGGAUCUAAUACCCAAACCGCCUUCCUCCUUAGGUAAACAAACAUCCACCCAUGCCACCUUUACGACCCAGGCCCUAAGUUCGGGCCUCUCCAAAGAAAUUGUCGAAAAAUAUGUUCAAUUCGAUUAGUGACUAAGGCUGGAAGGAUGCAUACACUAGACCAAUAAACCUGGAUAGAAUGAAGGACCAAUUUGAUUAGCUGCAGUCUGCCUGCUAAAGAAAGAAAUCGAUUUGUUCAAGAUUGAACUCGAGAAGUAAUAGUAUUCACCAAGGAAACACAAGCCUCAUUGCCCAAUCUAGAGGAAAUAAUAGGUACACCGAGGUACCUAAAAGGGAGAGAGCCCAGCUGAAAUCCGAAGGUACUUACCAGAGCAUUCCUAAGAGAAUUAGGACCACCCAAAAGAGAAAGGUUAGUAACUCCUAUAAUUAAGAUUGGUAAUUUCUAGUUGGGUUCCUAAGUUAGGCAAACAUUUAUGCGUGUACGAGUCUUAUAAGUGAAGGGUGAAGAGGAGUGAGUAUUUUUAUCAACAUAAAUUAUUUUAUAACUAAGAAAGUGAUAAAGAGAAGAAAGAUCUGCUGAAGUUGUUGGCACGUAAGACAGAAGAGAAAGAGUAGACCUCACACUCCACCAUAACACAAUGUUUCCAUCUCAAGAGUAGUCAAAGGAAGGGUUAGAGUAGGAAAAAUUGCACUAAGAAAGACCAAAUAAGCGUUGGUAAGUUAGUCCCAAAAAAAUAAGUUUAUAAGUCUAUAAAGUUAGCCAAAUAGAGUUAGUAACCCAAAAAGAGUUAGUAAUUUAAUCGAAAAAUAGGUCUAUAAGUUAUUUAAAUAAAUAUUUACAAAUAUACACAAACUAUUAAAUUUAAAGGAAUGGUAAGAAAAUAUAAAUAAAAGUUAAUAAAAAUAAGAGAUAUUGAUAAUUGCACAUUAUUGAAAAGAGUCGGUGAUUCCAUACGAGCAAGUUACCAAUAAGUAAUUUAGAAAUCAGGUAAUUGAAAACUUUUUUUUUAUCACGGUUUUUUGUCACUUACAACUCUUUCAUAGGUUUAUCAAAAACUAUCCAAUUUAUUUUGGAAAGACAAACAAUAGAGUUGUCCAAAUAACUCUGAGAAAAAUAAUGAUAGAAGAACAAUCAUGAUCAUUUCCUUGUUUAUUGGAAAAAAAAGAACAGGUUAAUAACUAUGAAGAAAAAGGGUGAUUUGUGUAUGUGCUUUCGUUCUUUCAUAUAAGGUAGAAAACGCCAUGUAUAGAAAAAUCGGUUCUCUCCUUUCAAAUGUCAAGUUUAACGUUUUUAGUCUAUUCAGUUCCAAUCUUACCAUGCCAUUGCAUUCUCUAUUGAAAUUGGUGUUUUGGCUCCUGUAUGCCUAUGAUCAGUCUUGUUAGUCAUUCAAGGGAAAUUGUUUCUCAAUGUUUUCCUUCUCACCAUAUCCAUGCCUCCAAACACAAUAGCUACUCGACAAAAGUUCUCAAGACAUCUACUUUGCUCUAAGAAAAGGACAAAUAUGCCAAAGACGCAUGUACCUUUCUUUCCCUAAUGCUGCUCAGACUUCGCUCGAGCUGAUCCCCCAUCAGUUGGAUUUCGUCGAUUGAGCAAGAUCCAAGACAUUGUCCUGAUAGCUUCCUGAUUUAAAAAAGAAAAGGAGUACCAUAGUUUAGGGAAUUAGAUAUCAAUAAUCCAUUUCAAUCCACAAUAUAUAAGAGAGAAGUCUCAAAAUUUGUGGACCAUAGAGAAACUUCAAGAAGCUAAAUCUUUCUCUCUAUAUCGGUGGUUUCUUGCUUCAGACGCUGCACAUAUAUGGAGAUUGUGAUAUUUAUGAAUCGAGUGAACGGAACAAUGCAAACUGAACAAAUAUUAGUAAUGGAUAAAACCAAUGACCAAAUCUGUAACACCACAGGAUCCUGCAAAACUAAGACUGCUACUAUAAGAACCCUAACGUUCUUGCAAAAUUUGUAGCUGCCAUAGUCAAUUCUAUGGCUUACCACCUCACUAAUUCUUGAGAUCAAAGGUAGGGUUCUUAUUAAGAACGCGGUUCGAUAUUAUUACAAUCUGCAAAUACAUACAUAAAGGUUCACACCAACAAUCAAUUUUAAGGCUUCCUUCAAGAAAACAAUAAGUUGUAAAUGCCCAAGGAGGGCAUGAUUCUGAGGUAUAAAGUGGUGGAUGGUGAGUGGGAUUUCAGAAGCUGAAAGCAUUUUAGAGGACCAGUUAAUGUCCUGAGGACAUGUACAAAGAUCAAAAUAGCAUUUUUAAUGUUAUAAUUAGCUUGAAACCUAUUUGUCUCUCUAUACAUAUCAGCAGUUUCUCCUCUCUGCUUCCCAGUCAUUGCCAAACCACAUGAAUAAGAGUGGUAAGGCUUGCAAUAAUAUUACAAGUCCUUUAUCUAACCAUAACAGCACUUUGAUAGCAUAGCUUUUGUGGCUCUCUCAAAUUAUUCCCACCUGUACUAGACUAGCAUUUUGAGAUACUUGAGAUACUUGACUUUUGCUGCAAAGUAUGAAUUUCGAUGAGUUUUCUAGAAUUUGGUUGCACACUUAAAAAGAAUAAUUCUAGACAUAUUAAGACAUGUCUCCUAAAUCUUUUUACCUUAUGACCCAAAAAAAAAAAAUCUUUUACUAAUUGAUGAUGUAGAUUCCUGAUAGGUACUUAAACGAGUUUACUAACUUAAAUAACAUUUAUGCAAUGCCACAUCGCUUAGCGAACCAAUGGAGAAGGUAUCCCCAGCAUUCCUCAUGCUUAAGAACCAUGAAGCAUCUCUCAUGUACCAAAGCACAUGUAUCACAUAUAUGUAUUUAACCUUGUAAACGUUCAAUUUUUCAUUUUCUAUUUUUUAAUAUUUUUUUCAAAGUGAAACGUUUAAUGCUAUCACUCAGACAAGAGAUGUAUAUAUGAAUGUGCCUACCAAGUUGCUGUCCCCAUUAAUGGUCAUAUUCUGUUGAUGAAGACAAAAAGACUCACAAAGGUAAAAUUUGAAAUAUUGAUGUUUUCACUAAGCUUUGGUGACGAUGGAUGUAAUGAAAAUCAACAACUCAAAUGAGAGUUGAAAAUGAUUAGAAUUCUUCUUCUAGUUGAAAUAGCAAUCUCAUCAAUUAAGAUUUGAGCACGGUGAGGAUUUAAUUAAGUUCAUUAUUCCAAUAGUGGGACAUUGUGUUUCUUGUAUAGAUGUUUCCUAUUUCAAUCGGGUUUCUUAUUGAGAAGUUUCCCAUAUUAAGUAAGAAUAGGAUUUCUAGAAUAAUUUAGCAAUUUUUUUUUUUUUUUGAAUUCGUGAUGCGAUAAUACUUUUACAUCCCAUUUGUGAUGCUCAGGCAGUUUUAUGUCUAAUGCCUAAAAAAAUUACCUAUUUUGAGUUGUUGUCCAUUGAAAAUUCUCUUCACAAGUUCUUGUUAAGUUGAACUCGCUGCUUAGGGAGAUAUCAUCCAUUAUAUCAAUUUUCUAUAAUGGUAGAGACGAUUUGUCCUGAAUAGUGAGCUUCAAAGAAAACUUGAAGAGAACAAAUGAUUCAAAACGAAUAAGUUUUUUUCAGCAUCACAUCUAUACUUUCCAAGCAUCUCACCUAGGGUUUCAAAAGCUUUACACUUCAGAGAACCAUUCCAUCACACAAGAAAGAAUUACAAUCAUCCUUAUAAACCUUUCUAGGAUUAAUCAUACUCCUACUAGGAAGACUCCAAACAAGAAAUAGAACUGAAAUAGAAUUCAUCUACAAAAGAAUUUAAUAUCCCAUUUAUGACGUAAGUAGAAAAUUCAAAAAAAAAAAUCCUGAUAGUACUCAAAUCCUAAUUGAGAAGACCACCACAAAAAUCAACUAAAAGUAGAAUCCAAAUCCUAGGCGUCACAGGCCAGUAAUGACCAUUCUCAUCAAAUCUUUCUAAAAACAUUGGCUUGUUUGAUAUUUUUGCCUUCAUUAGUGGCUAUAGUCCAUGAUUUAUCCUCAAUAUAAUAGACAUCAUCACAACAAACUCAAGCAGAAACUGAUUCCGAAGGUUAAAAUAACACAUUGAGAAUUGAGGUCAUUUCUUUUCAUCUCUUGCAAUGAAAUAACACUUAUAGAGUGCCAUGUCACUUGGUAAACCAGCUCAGAAGUUUUCCUAGCACUCCUCAUGUUUAAGAACCAUGAAACAGCAUCGUGAAAGUUCAAUUUUCCAAAGCACAACGUGUUUUGCUAUAACUCAGCCAAAAGAUAUAUCCAUGAAUAUGGCUUCCACGUUAGUGUUCCCAUCAAUAGAAAUAUACUGUUGAUGCAGACAAAAGGAUUUACUAAGUUGAUAUUUGAAUAUUUAUGUUUUUACCAAGCUUCAGUGAGCAUGGAUGUUGUGAAAUUCUACAACUCGAUUACCUAAAAAAUUAUAUUGAGAUCAAAUCAGAAUUGAUUCAAAAGUAUGAAGUAACACGUUGAGGAUUAAGAUCAUAUCUUUUCAUCUCUUGCAAUGCAAAUAAACCACACAAAGAAGCAUCAUCUUCAUCAAACAAGAGAAUUAUGAAAGUGAAUUUCUAAAGAGAUUCAAAGAGAAAAAGUCAUUGAUCUGCAGGUUGUAGGAAGGUUCAUGAUCCAAAUUUUUCUGUAUCUAUUUAGACAUUUCGUAGAACAGAGGUUGUAAAGUAGUCCCCCUUGUGAGCUGCGAGUUGUGAAUUAGAGAUAUAUAUAUUAUUUAACAUGAAGAAUUAGCCAAAAAGAUGCAUAACCAUUCAUCAUCUUAGUUCUAUCGAGCCUGGUAUUUUUAGAUUUAGCAUUUGACUAGUAGUUCAAUAUGUGGAGCCAGGAGCUGUCCCUCUCAUGAGUUAUUCAUUUCUUCGUCAUAUGGUUUCAAUUGAAUUGAUCAAAAACAAAUUCAAUAAUUGACUUGGCAUAAAGUAAGUUUAUCCGCAACUUAUCUUAUAUAUACACCUUCUCAUCAAGAGAAAACUUACCACAUUAAAGAUGUAUACGGAAGUUAAAUGUCACUUGACUCUAUCCCUUUUUGUACAAGUAUAUCAUCAUCAUUAGUAUGAUAUCUACUUUGUGGUUCUAGUGAUCCAUUUAAACCAUGUAUUUAGGUAGAUUGUCGCGUGAUUCUUUGCAUACAAGGUGACUAUUUAUGCAUACACAAGUAUAUAUUAUAAGGUUGUUGGGGAAAUAGGAUUUCUCACCAUUUGUGUUUGUAUAUAGACUUUUUUGUAAGUCCCAUCCUGAAAAAAGUUAGGUAAUGUGAUGUUGUAUGUUAAUCCACACACACAAAAAAGAGGAAGUUGCUUUCUUACAUACAGCAAAAUGAAUAAAAAUUGAACUUCUCAACUUGCUUAACAUGUACAUAAUGUGCUUGAAUAGUUAAAAUAUUACUAGUCCGACGUUAUUGACUUCUAUUGACUAACAAACAUGGCAACUUGUUUGAUUAAACCGAGAAUCUCACUGAACUCCUUACCAUGCACCUAAUGUAUUAUCAUGGAAAGGUUAGAGAACUGACCAGAAUAUAUUGUUCCAUAUUAGCCUGGUACGUAGCCGCAUCAUUAGUAGAUCUACAAUAUCGAUCAAUUGUCUUUCGGAUUCUGAGAAAUUUGAAAAGAUAACAUAUGAGCUCAGCCACUGGGAAUACAUUCUCCAAAUUAAUCAGUAUCAUCAAAACUAAAGUAAUCAAACAUCAAACAAAUUAAUGAUCAUUUUUGUUAAUCAUGCAUGACUUCCAGUGACUAUGCAUCACCAUCACUCACAAACAGAAUAUGCAAGGAGCAUAAGCCUCUGCAAGAACCUUUUAGCCACUCAGCUACUUAUUUGCAACGAUAUGAAGUACUUGCAAAAGUCUCAGUUGCCCACCGUAUACUUUGUCAAUAAUUGAUGCCAGAGAGAGCAUAGAGAAGUGAGAAGUAACACAAAUGAGAACUUAAAUGAAUAGGUCGCUCAUCACUCGUAAAAAUUCAUCUAAGAGAUAAGAGCAAAACAAGAAAUUCGUCUAGUUCUCAAGCCAAAGGCUAAAUAAGUUAUGAAACAAAACAAGCCUACCUCAUAAUUCAUCAUAGCUUGCUUAUAUAGAUGAGUUCGGAAUAACCCUUCAAGCAUGAGUAAUUACCAAGACUCAUUGAAAUGACAAAAAGACUCAUGGGAAAGACAAAACUAGCCUUACUAGAAAACAACUAUAAUUAAAUAAGGACUCCGGAAACUUGAAUGAAACUAGACCUUGAAAAUAUGAGAAUCAAAUGUAGUUGGUUUUAAGUCUCCUAGUUUUACUAGUUCUGAAAUAAUGGAAUGCUCCGGCAUCAAUAAUCAUGCCAGCAAUAUUUUUCUUCAAAUUUUAGCAUGUUCGAUUUCACAUUAUAAAAGUAUAUCAUGGGUGCAUGCGAAGUAUAUUUAAAUGUGAGCGCAGAACUGAACUAAUGCAAUGUUUUUUGCCCCAGCCCAAAGUCUUCAAUAUAUUCCACAUGCCACUCCAUGUCAGUAAGAAGUAAGAACAGCACAUGAUGCUCUUAAAAUCAUUGUGAAGCAGUACAAGGACUCACUACUUCGGAGAGAAAUUGUAAGAGCAAGCCGUUGCGCCUACAUUUAACUUGUGACUUCAAGUACUUUUUUUCCCGGUAAAUGAAGAACAGGGAGUACUUACAUGGUGGAGCAACUAAAAUGGCAAACAUGUACAAUUGCAGUCACUUUUGGACAUAAAUACUCUAUUUAUAGGAAAUCCAAGAGAUCAGUGUGUAGUGUCACAUUAGCCUUAAUCUAUUAUACUAGUGAAUGCACUCGAUCCAUAAAAUCACCACUACACAAAUCUAGUCAAGCCCAUAAUCUUAUUCACCUUUCAAAGCACCCUAUAAUUAAAAGAACCUGAAGUUGAAGAUGUCAGGACUAGUUUCACAGGCUUUUGCUUAGGGUUAAAGUACCAUUAAAAAAUCAACUUGAAAAUCUUUUGCAGGUUUUGUUUGAUUCAGAAAAGAGAUUAAUUAUGCUUUCAGUUUUGAUUCAAUGAACAGAGAUUUGUAAUGCUUCUUGAUUAUGGCGGUAGAUAGGUAAUUCAUUAUUCAAUUUCCUGACUAUAAUGCGUUUCAUAUGAAAUUUCUAGUUUUUGCCUUGUGUUAUGGUCAUAAACUAGAAACAUGGAUCUGUAUGAUUUAUAAGAUAACUAUUAUCACAUAGGAUACAUAAAAUAGUCUUAAUUCAUGUCUAAGCGGUAUAAUUACAACGAACUGAAUCAAACAAGGUAAGGUUUGAAGGCUUCACCCUUUUCAACUUAAGUUUGGUUUUCUUCAACAAUUUUCCAAGCAAUCAAAUUUGUUUGGAAAAGAUCUACUUCGAAUAGAAUAGUACCUAACUGCAAAUACGCUUAAUCAUCAUGCCCCAAGAAUUAGUUAUGGAGAUCAAUCCCUAGAAGCAGCCUUAACACCUAUAACACUUCAAAAAGGAACACUACACGGCGUGUUCGAAUUGGGGGGAAGGCUGAAUUGUUACUUGUCGAAACCAGAAGGACCAAACAAUAUCAGUCCCUAGUUUCACUAACAUCAAAUUAUGUUUUCAUUCCCCAAGACAAAGUACUAACUAUCCUAACAUGUGAAGUAGCUGGGGGAGAACAGUACUUGCAAGAUAUUCAACAAUUCGUUUCCUCAGAAGAACCAUUAAGAAAGAGGGAGUCCAACUCCAACGCCACAGCGUACACAAUGAAUGCCUUUGAUCAUCUAAUCCCCCGCAUCUAGCCAAUUGAUUAGGUACCCCCCAGUGCACUGACUAUCCAAAAAAAUGCGAAAGAGAAGAUUUUAUAGUUUCAUGCUUCCUUUUCUCAGCUAAUUUCAACUAGGAUAUUUGAAAAAAAGGCAUUGUUCUUAAAAAUUGUCCGAAAAUGAGAACUGGAUUGGUCAUCAUGGUGGAUUAGUCCAUGAUCGAAGGGGAAUAGCAUUUAACGCUUGACCAAAACCAUAAAUGGGAGGAAAAAAAAAACAUGCCAUGACGCUGUCUAUUAUUUACACUUCACAAACACAGCGUAUAUAUGUGCAUGUGCCCUCGUUUUGGACAUAAGAAUGUCAACAUGGCUCAAUCACGUUGCCCAUCUAAAAUCAACUCGAGAAAUUAUAAAAUCGAUAUGUGAACGUACUUGGAAUUGCUUGAGAACUCGUGAAGCCUUCCUUUCUGUGAAAAGAUGAUCACGGCGACCUUGGCGUUGCCGAGGACCGAGAGCUCAUAAACUUUCUUCAGUAGCCCAGUCCAGCGCUUUGAGAAGGUGACUUGCUGGCUCGUCGUGUUCUCAAUUCGCCUCAUCUGAACUUUGCCUCUCGCCAUGAUUAAAUUCUUCCUACAUACAUGAUGGUUAUCAACCCUAGAAUGGCAAGUACUCAAACGUAGCGAUGAAUAUAACAAAUAUACCUCAACGAUAAAAAAUAAUAACUCACCAGGACUUUGGCAGCGUCAACCAGCUCAAGAUUUAUCUUUUUAUCCACCUCCUAUUAUCUAAACUUUAUACUGAAGUUCUUCAGAAGCUAAAAACACCGCAAGAAAAAACACACUUUUUUUUUCAAACAGACCAAAAAAAACCACUAGACAAAUCACACUAUAUCAUCAUUCGACCUUACCAAAAAAAAAAAAAAAACUAUAUCAUCAUUCGAGCACAAGCAAAAACCACAGGAUAAAGAUUUCACAAUCAAAGGUGGGAGAAUUAUAGAUUCGCCCGGGGUAUUAAAGGGGGAAGCUUCUCUACUCUACGUGAGAAAAAUGAACCACAAUAAAUUCAGAAACCCUACAGAGGGAUGAGAGCGCGAAGGCAAAAGCCAAAAAACUGGAACGAAAGCAAAGGAUAUUUGGCAGCUGACGGAUCUCUCUUUAUUUUGUGGCCAUGAACAUAAAAAAGCAAAAAAAAAAAAAAUCCUUACUAUUCCAAAUUCAACGAUCUUCUACUCGGGGCAAAUAUGGUGUGAGAUACCCAUCAAAAGGAAAUACAAACAAAAAAGGAAAGAAAUAAGGAGGCAAGCAAAGCAUUCAAGUUCGACCGAAACGGCAUCGUCAAUUUCGUAAUGAAGAUUCGAAGAAACAGAAGGAUUGUCUCGUUUUGAUUAAGUUAUGAAAAAGAGAGUAGAGAGAGAGAGAGAGAGAGAGAGAAGAUAUUAAUUUAUUUAUUUUUUUCAAAGAAACGUAUACUUUGCCAGCGGGCUUCGGCUUCGGCUUCGGCUUCGGCUGUUGGGGCCUGUGGGACAUUCGAAAGAGCACUAAGAAACGAAACGGGUGAAGAGAAAGAGAAAAAGGUCGUACGUGGUCAUAAAUUGUGGACAUCAUCGUACCAUAAAUUGUUAACGAAUGGGACGUUGACAAGUGGGAAAACAUUAUCUCUCACUUAAACUCAGUGGGCCUCCACUCGACCAAUGGAAAGAGACUCUGUCCUUUUCUUGGGCCAAAUAGGAGCAGCCUCGGGGCUCUUCUUCAAUCGGUUCCUCUCUCGAUGGGUUUACGAGCACUAGGGCACACGAAAUUAUGACCAUGAUAAAUUCAUGGACAAAAUAAAUACAGAUCUAUCUUUUAGCUUAUCCUUUCUUUAUGUUCUUCUUAUAAUUCCUCAUUAUUUAGAAGUGUAAAAAAUACCUAAACUUUUCAAUUUGGGUAAAAGUAAAGGAACAUGGAAAGUUUGACACUAUAAUUUGGGUUUCGGUUUUUUUUUUUUUAAUUAUGCAUAUAGGAGAUCAAAGGCCACUAGUGCACUAAUCCUAGAUCAUUCAAUUUUUUUUAUUAGCAAAAAUGUGAUCUUUGACCACCCAACCACCAAAAGGAAAUGUGAUCUUUGAGAAGAUUGCUAUGUUUUGACAGAAAACAAGUAGAGCAAAUAUAUCACGGUGUCAAUAUUGAGAUAGAGCUUGAAAACUCCGAAACCUUAAAGGUAACAAAGGUAAAGGUUGUAGAUGAGAUCACAAUUUUUGAAAUUAGUUAUAUUAAUCAGCUAGCAAAAUCGUAACACUCUAUAGUCAUGAGUAGAUAAAGAAGGCAAAUUGGGCCACAGAUACAUUGUGAUUGUACAUAUAUUACUCAUGCAUUGAUUGUAAAGAGAUAAGAUAGAAAAAUAUGAGCUUUCAUCUUAUUUUGAGGUGAUAGUGUUGAAUCGUUAUAGUGGCUAGAGGUUAUGAGUGAAUAAAUGAAAUCACUCCAUUGGAACUAGAUGUGGCAACUUUAUUAAGGUACCCAAGAGCCAGAACAUCAUUGGAAACAAGUGGAUGAUGGAAAGAGGCCAUAAGGUGAUAUUUGUUGCAAAAGGGUGUACACUACAAGAGAGCAUCAUUGAUUACAACGAGGUGUUUUCUCCUAUUGCAAUGAAUCCUUAUAUUUGAAUAUUACUUGCCUUAAUUGCUACACAAGAUCUUGAGUUGGAAUACCUGGAUAUCAAGAUGACAGUUUUUCACAAUGAGUUGAAAGAGUAGAUUCAUAUGAGGCAGCAAAAAGGAUUUAUUAUUCCGGAUAAGGAAAAUCAUGUUUAUUUAUUAAAGAAAUCAUUUUAUGGGUGGAAAUAAUCUUCUAAGCAGUGGUAUAAUCACUUUUAAUGCUUUUAUGACUAGUCAAAAUUAUUUGAAAGUCAGUUGGACAGCUUACUUUAGAAUUAUGGAGGAUGAAUCUUUGAUUUAUCUAUUAUUAUUUGUUGAUGACAUAUUGAUAACAGUUAAGAUUUCGUAUGAAAUUGGUGUGUUGAAAAGGUAGUUGAAUGUUGGGUUUCAGAUGAAAGAUUUGGGUAAUACAUAAAAGAGAAAAAUGUCAAAAAUGCUUAUUGGAUCAACUGUAUGGAGAGCUUUUGUUCUGAAUUGUGCUGUGGUUUUUAUUUGCAAUUGAGUUGUUUAUUUAUAAAUACCAUAGAUUUUGGUGUACUUUAAGCGUGAGAAACAAUCGAACAUGUAAGCAAUUAUUAACUCUAUGAUUCUCCAAUUAUUAGUAAAUAAUUUGAUGCUAGCUCUUCUCGUUAAGGAGUUACCAACACAUAGAUUAGACCAUGUAAAUUCCUAAUGUUUUUUCUUCUUGACUUAUUUCUAUAGUGAUUUUGCAUUGAUUUAAUUUGCAAGUUCCAAUAUUUUCCAUAUUAAUUUUAUGAAAAUUUAGAUGGACAAGUCACCAUAUCAAUUAUAAAAUACAAAAGAUGAGGACAACAUAGCUAAUGCAAUGUGGAUUCAUGAGGACACCAAAAUAGCAAAAGGCCUUUGAAUAAAUCACAUAUCGAUAACACGGGCUUUUAAUUAAAUUGCACAUCUUUACUAAUAUAUUAAGCCAAAGCACACACCUUACGCAUACGACCAACAUACCUCAUUUAUCAUGUUUCCACAUCACAACAAUCUUGACCCUCUCAACUAUUCCAUAUUCCUUUCUUUUCAAUAACUAAGUACAUUUUAUAAUGCAAAUAUCAACAUAGUUGGAGAGCAUCUUCUCUAUACCAACUCAAUACAAAGGCAAGUCUUCAAAACAAAGAUGCAAUCUAACUUCUACUACUGCUAAUUCUAAUUGAGUUUCUUGAACAAAAGGCAACCAUAACAUUCUCAAUGACCUUUAUACAAAACUAAAAGGCUCCUAAAGUUAGAUUUGAAAAUCUAAAUAUCCUAGGAAUCACACAAAUAUUUAUCAGUUGAGAUGGCAAAUAUUUUCUCCUUUAGCAAACCAACAACAUUAAGUUGAGUUGACAAAUAGAGUGUGUUUAGAAACUCUAUCAUAUAUUUGCAGCUAUCUCCCCGCUACUCACAAUAUUUACAUGUAAAUGGCUAAUACUAAGAGAAUUAUGUAUGUGUUUUUCUAAUUUAAGUAAUGGUUGAGUAUUGGAGAAGUAAUGCUAAAUCAUGCAGUGGCAUAAUAUACGCAUCAUCAAUUGAUUAAACUUUUUAACCUAUGGGUCAUUAUUUCGACACGUACAAAAGGGUAUUUUGAAAAGUCAUCAUUUGGUUUAUUCGCAAUUUUGUUGAAAUGAUCGAAAUAGAACUACUGAUUACAAAUAGCAUUUAGCAUAAUCAGAUAAUCCAAUUUUACUUUUAAAAAAAAUUCAAAAGGGAUUUUUGUCAUUUUUGUCAAUGGGAUUCAUCCUAACAAAUUUUACAUUUAAAAAUACUCUCACUUAAUAUUGGUUUGCUUCCCCACAUCAUUUCACAGGUUUAUUUGAUGCACAAAAUCCCUUUUUCUUAUUCACGAGGACAUUUAGGUACUUUUCUUGGUUUGGGAUUGACUCAUCCAAGACAAUGUUCUUGUUUUAAGAAAAAUAAUUAUUGUAGUAUGACAUUUUAUAAAAAAAGAAAAAUCACACUAAUAUUAGAUUAUAGCUGAAAAGCUGGUCAUGGAUCUUGAUGUAGACCAGCCCAAAUUAAUUCCUGACAAGUGACUAGGUAAAGGGGCCCGUUGUCUUUCAAAUCCAAGCUUGUCCAUAGAUUUUUCCAUCACGAAGAAUGAAAACAAAGGGAAAAAUAAAAAGCUCAUACAUAAAUUUUGUCUCCUUUUUUUAUUUAUUUGUAUAUAUUCUUAUUAAUUGUUAAGCGGAUGCACUCUACAUUUUAGUCAUCUCAUGUGUCAUGGGAGAAUUAUCAAAAAAGUCUUGAACCUAUUGUAGUUGAGUCAAUUUAGUCAUAAACUCAUUUUUUUUUUACCAAUUUAGUCUUAAAUAUUUUGUAAUUAUUUUAAUUCAUUUUAUCCAGCCAAAUUUGGCUUGCCGGCCCUAACAUGAAUACUAGUUGGAUAGUUGGCCAAUAAAUGUUGACGUGAUAAUUUUUUUAAUUUUUAUUUUUAUUUUUUCAAGUUUAAAAAAAAAAUUCCUUUGUUUUUCCCAUCUUCCUCCUUCCUCAAGCUGAUCGGAGGCAUGGGAUGGCAGGGGCGAGCCUUGCCGGCCAAUGGUGAGGCUCGUCCAAGCCUCGCCUAACCAUAGUGAAACCUUGCUAGAUCUGGAGACUCAACCCCACCCAAUCAUGGUGAGGGCAAGCUUCACCGACCACUGACAAGGUCAACCCUUGCCACCUUGCCAAACCUAGCCAUGGCAAGCCUAGCAACAGUGAGGCCAAGCCUCGCCAAAUUUGGUGGGGCUCGACGUCGACCUCGCCAAUGGCUGGUGAGGGCGAGCCUCACCAUUAGCCAGAGGCUAAGCUAUGGUUAGCAGCAAUCGGCCAAAGGAAGGAGGAAGAAGGGGGAAAAAAGAAAAAGAACAAAAAGGAAAAAAAAAAUAGAGAGAAUUAUUUUAAAAUACAAUAUAUAUAUUUAAAAAUUGUCAUUUCAACAUCCACAAGAUAGCCAGUACCAGUUACGUUAGUGCCGACUGACUCAAUUUGGCUAGAUAAAUUAAAUUGGUACAAUUGCAAAAAAUUCAGAAUUGAAUUGGUUAAAAAAUAAAUUUAGAACUAAAUUGACAUAACUACAAUAGAUAACACAAUUUUAGUAAUAUUCCCCAUGUGUCAUUAAUUAUCCUUAAAUGUUUGUCCCUCCAAUCCCCUUCCAAUUUAAGGCAUCGCCUUAUAAACAUGUCAUCACUCACGAGCCUAGGUGGAAGCUAGCUUCUCAGAUGAAAAAAGUUGGACCUCAUUGUUGGGGAUGAGUUAAAAAUCUACUGAGUAGCCUCAUGUUGCAAUAUGACAAUUUUAAUUCCAGAAUAUUCAAAUGCCCAUGACCCUUACGUCUGCCUAUGUCUACACUAAGGGAAAUUAUAGAGGUGAUGGAUGAAUUUUUUUUGGCUUAGCCAACCUUUAAGGGUUGUCCGACCAAAAACAAAAUCUUAAAGAGGUGUCCUCAAGCCGAAAAAUAAAAUAAGUUAAAAACCUCAAAGAGGUAUCCAAUGAUGUUGUUCAAAUGCACGCAAGCAAUUCAAAAAUAUGCUUAACAGAGACGUUUGUUUCUUGGAAUCAACCGAUGUGUAAUUCAAAUGUGAAGCCCAAGGUGCAGGCAAGUUAUUUCCUUCAUUUCGCUGAAUCUUCCUCGAAUAUGUCUUCGUCAUUAUUCAUUUCUAAUAUGAUCUUUCUUUGCCUUCGCUAUUCUUACUUGUGGAUCUUGGAAAUGACUACCAUGAAUUCCAUGCAUAUGUUGCCGUGGCAGUGCUAAGGCGAAUCUAGCUGAGUAAAAUAUCACUGAGUUAUAUUGCCAUAAUUCUUAUUUUAUUCUAUUGAACAGGUAUUAUUAGGGUGAUGGCGAACCAGUUUAACUCUUUGGCAAUCCGAUGAACAACCUGGUCUCACCAUCUGUACUUGGGCUGCUCUGGCUAUGUAUUGUUGUGGCUCUCGGAUGAGUUGUUGAUUGCCCGGGAUUUGCAAGACACUGAAAUUGGAAGAAAGAAAAAAAAAACACCCAAAAUGCUUUUAAAUUUAAUAAAAUAACAAAUGCAAUUGAAUGGUGAUGGAGAACCAAGAAAACCUUCACUCAAUUAAAAUGGGAAAAAGCUUCAACACAAUUUGAGAUUUACAAGAAGAGAACAAGUCUUUCAUAGGAUCUAAUUAGGUGAUGAAGCAUCUGUCUAUGCACUCAGAUCUAUUAAUGGUCACUGGGAGAUUUCAACUUUUGCAACAUCUCACUCUAGAAGAGGUUCUCUCCUUCGUGGUUGGAAGAAAAAAAGGAAAAAGAAUAAAAAAAACUCUAACAGUGGCUAGCUACGCCAGACAUGACUACCGACUAUCUCAUGAAAGUAACAUACUCUAUGUUGUAAUUUUUUCAACAGUGGUCAUAUUAAAACGCUAUUAGUUUUUGUUAUCGAGUUAAUAUUUUUUAAACAAUUGACUAAUGGUUACAAAAUCAUAGAAAGACAUAGGAACUUCCAGUCCUUCAUCAAUCCCAUAUUAGAAGCAUAGAAUUGUACAUGAUGAUGGUAAGUUGGGUAGUACUUUUCUCAACAUUAAUUACUCAAAAAAUUGUGCUACUAAUUUUUAUUGUCAUAUUGGCAAUUACUAACUUCGUGAUAUUUUGAAUUUAUCCCAACAACUCUAGAAGUGAUUCUCUUCCGUUCUCGAAAAAGACAAGAAUUAAAAUUAAAAUAAAUAAAAAGCUCGAAAAGUGAUUAUGUAUGCUAAAUGUGCUCACUAAGAACUUUUGUUGCAUCUAUAGUCCACAGUUGGAAAACCCAAUAUUUUCAUCCGUGAAAUAAAUAUUCUCAAAAUUGCGAUAUUCACAACGUAGGUCACUAACUUAUUGCUAGUAACCUUUUUCCUUUCAAGUCAGUAACUUUCCAAGCAUAUCAAGUAAUGGUCUAGGAGCACAAAAAGACAGAGAUUUGGGUCCGUCUACAGUCCUACAGUCCUAUAGUCCAAUACACAGUUGUCUCUUGAUCACAAUUCCCCUAUAAUUUGUUUUCCCAGCAUGAGUUCGUAACUCUGUACUAGUAACUUCCAUUGUGGAGUCAAUCACUUUCUUAACAGAUCAAGUGCGGGAUCAUAGAAGGACACAGAGAUUUGAGUUUGUCUACAAUUCCAUGUAAAAAAGAAAAAUAGAAUCGUAUCUUGUGACAGUAAAUUUAUCAGUGUGGUGAUAAUUUUCUCAACUGGGAUUAGUAGCUUAGAGGUAGUAUUAAGUUUCAAGCAGAUCAUACGGUCUCAAGAUCAUAGAAUUCUUCGGUGAUGUUCAACCUAUCUGCUCAUCCUAACUUAUGCUAUCAAAAACAAAACUUCUUACGGAUAGAGAAAGGUUCAAUAUAAAUACCAGUACAUAACCCUGAAAUUAAGUAUAUCUCAUUAUGUAUUUGUCCUUUUCAUAAAAACUGAUAACGUUGCAGCACUCUUUAAAUGUUUUAACACCAGGACUAAUAGAAAGCAGGACAAAUUGAUGACCAGCAAAUUUAACCGGUACAAUAAACUGUACAGCACACAAUCUACUAAUAUUGGUUUGAUGGAAGCUUCUUCACUACACAAGCCUAUUAGAACAUUAGAGCCAAAAACAUUAUUAAUCAUUAAAGACCCCUCUUUCUGGUCUUAGCAGAUCAUAAAACUGCAUUGUUAGAUCAUACAUGAAAAUUAUCGAGAGAUUCUAUUGCAGGUUUCACACGUUUUUGGAUAGUGGUUAAUAUAUGCACAGGAGCGAUGAUGCACGGCAAGUAAUAGGAAGGAAAUUAACGCACCGAUGGGAAAGAAGGCGACACCUUUGCAAGAAGCUUUGCAUUCUCUUCUUUCAGAGACCUCUCCUGAGGUAAACCAAAUAAAGUUGCUAGAUUAAUAUAACCAGAAAAUUAACAAUGCCUGAUGAGAUCGGAAAUGCAAUCAUCAUAUUUGUCCACUUACCUUUGCUUGUAACUGCCGUAUCUGAUCGUUGAAUAAUUGAGCCUGUAAAAGAGUUCCUUAGAAAUAUUUUAACUUUAGUGUGUGUGCAUGUUGUCCCCAUACCUUUCUUAUUACAAGGUAAAGAGAGAGAGAGAGAGAGAGAGAAUAAGUUGAAAUGAUGGAUGAUAGAAAUGAAAGGACAAUGCUUUGCAACUUGUCCAGAAAACAUAGUUCAAGUGAGAAGUAGUACAUGGAAAUCGACAAGGUUAAUAUAAUAAAAAAAAACUCAUGGUAUUCUAUUAUUUCGUGCCAAAGAGUGCAGGCUAUUUUUUUUUUCGUGUUAAUAAGUAUCAAUUUGUGUGAAUAAGUGUCAAAAAACCAUUGAUAAAAAAUGAUCAAUGAAUUUUUUUUUUUUUUUUUUGGUCAGAGAAGAAAAGCCAGUUAUUUAACCAAACCAAAUAAACUUGUUACCUAAUCAAAGAAGAGUUGGUAACACAGAAUUAGUUGGUUACUUAGUCAGAGAAAGGUUAGUGACUCCUAUGAUUAAGAUUGGUAAUUUCUAGUUGGGUUCAUAAAGUAAGGCAAACAUUUAUGUGUGCACGAGUCUCAUAAGUGAAGGGUGAAGACAAGUGAGAGUAUUUUUUUCAACAGAAUUUAUUUUAUAACUAAGAAAGUGAUAAAGAGAAGAAAGAUCUGCUGAAGUUGUUGGCAAGUAAAACAAAAGAGAAAGAGAAGACGUCACUCUCCACCAUAAGACAAUGUUUCCACUCUAUCUCAAGAGUAGUCAAAGGAAGGGUUAGAGCAGGAAAAAUUGCACUAAGAAAGACCGUAUGAACGUUGGCAAGUUAGUCCCAAAAAAAUAAGUCUAUAAGUCUAUAAAGUUAGUCAAAUAGAGUUAGUAACCCAAAAAGAGUUAGUGAUUUAAGCAAAACAUAGGUCUAUAAAUCAUACAAAUAAAUAUCUGCAAAUAUAUAUAAGAGCUAUUAACUUUAAGGAAUGGCAAGAAAAAAUAAAUAAAAUUUAACAAAAAAUAAGAGAUAUUGAUAAUUGCACAGUGUUGAAAAGAGUUGGUGAUUUCAUAAAAGUGUAAGUAAGUUACCAAUAAGUCACCUAGAAAUCAGGUAAUUAAAAAAAAAAAAUUAUCAUGGUUUUAUGUCACUUACAACUCUUUCAUAGGUUUAUCAAAAACUAUUCAAUUUAAUUUGGAAAGAUGAACAAUAGAGUCGUCCAAAUAACUCUGGGAAAAAUAAUGAUAGAAGAAUAAUCAUGAUCUUUUCCUUGUUUAUUGGCAAAAAAAGAAGAGGUCAAUAACUAUGAAGAAAAUAAAUGUGCUUUCAUGCUUUCAUAUAAGGUAGACAAUGCCAUGUAUGCUCGGAGAAAAUUGAAUCUCUCCUUUCAGAUGCCAAGUUUAACGUUUUUAGUCGAUUCACUUCCAAUCUUACAAUGCGAUUAGGGUCUCUAUGGAAAUUGGUGUUUUCAUUUGAGGGAAAUUGUUUCUCAUUGUUUUCUUUCCCUUCUCACCAUAUCCAUGCCUCCAAACACAACGGCUACUCGAUGAAAGUUCUCAAGACAUCUACUUUGCUCAGAGAAAAGGACAAAUAUGCCAAAGACACAUGUACCUUUCUUUCCCUAAUGCUGCUCAAACUUCGCUCGAGCUGAUCCCCUAUCUCUUGGAUUUCAUCCAUCGAGCAAGAUCCAAGACAUUGUCCUGAUAGCUUCCUGAUGUAAAAAAAGAAAAGGAGUACCAUAGUUUAGGGAAUUAGAUAUCAAGAAUCCAUUUCAAUCCACAAUAUAUAAGAGAGUCUCAAAAUUUGUGGACCGUAGAGAAACUUCAAGAAGCUCAAUCUUCCUCUCCAUAUUAGUGGUUUCUUGCUUCAGACGCUGCACAUAUAUGGAGAUUGUGAUAUUUAUGAAUCCAGUGAAUGGAACAAUACAAAUUGAACAAAUUUGAAAUUAGUAAUGGAUAAAACCGAUCAUAGUGAACAAAUCUGUGACAGCACAGGAUCCUGCAAAACUAAGAUUGCUAGUAUAAGAACCCUAAUGUUCUCGCAAAAAUUGUAGCUGCCAUAGUCAAUUCUAUGGCAUACCACCUCACUAAUUCUUGAGAUCAAAAGUUGGGUUCUUAUCAAGAACGCAGUUCGGUAUUAUUACAAUCUGCAAAUACAUACAAAUACGUUCACAGCAACAAUCAAUUUUAAGGCUUCCUUCAAGAAAACAAUAAGAUAAAAAUGCCAAAGGAGGGCAUUUCUGAGGCAUAAAGUGGUGGAUGAUGAGUGGGAUUUCAGAAGCUGAAAUCAUUUUAGAGGACCAGUCAAUGUCCUAAGGACAUGUACAAAGACCAAAAUAGCACUUUUAAUGUUAAAAUUAACUUGAAACCUACUUGUCUCUCUUUACAUAUCAGAAGUUUCUCCUCUCUGCUUCCCAGGCAUUGCCAAACCACAUGAAUAAGAGUGGUAAGGCUUGCAAUAAUAUUACAUGUCCUUUAUCUAACCAUAACAGCACUUGAUAGCACAGCUUUGAUGGCUCUCUCAAAUUAUUCCCACCUGUACUAGACCAACAUUUUGAGAUACUUGACUUUUGCUGUAAAGUAUGAAAUUUGGAUAAGUUUUCUAGAAUUCGGUUCACGAGAGGUAAUGCAUCCUUAAAGAAUAACUCUAGACAUAUUAAGACUUGUCUCCUAAAUUUUUUUACUUUAUGACCCAAAAAAAAAAAAUCCUGAUAGGUACUUGAAUGAGUUUACUAACUUAAAUAACAUUUAUGCAAUGCCACAUCGCUUAGCAAACCAAUGUAGAUGGUAUUCCCACCAUUCGCAUGCUUAAGAACCAUGAAGCAUCUCUAUUGUGCCAAAGCACAUGUAUCACGUAUAUGUAUUUAACUUUGUAAACGUUCAAUUUUUCAAUUUCUAUUUUUUAUUUUUAUUUUUUCAAAGUGAAACGUUUACUGCUAUCAACCAGACAAGAGAUGUAUUUAUGAAUGUGCCCUCCAAGUUGCUGCCUCCAUUGAUGGUCAUAUUCUGUUAAUGCAGACAAAAAGACUUACGACGAAGUUGAAAUUUGAAAUAUUGACGUUUUCACUAAGCUUUGGUGACAAUGGAUGUAAUGAAAAUCAACAACACAAAUAAGAGUUGAAUAUGCUUAGGAUUCUUCUAGUUGAAAUAGCAAUCUUAUCAAUUAAGAUUUGAGCACGGUUAGGAUUUAAUUAAGUUCAUUAUUCCAGUAGUGGGACAUUGUGUUUCUUGUAUAGAUGUUUCCUAUUCCAAUCGGGUUCCUUAUUGAGAAGUUUCCCAUAUUAAGUAAGAGUAGGAUUUCUAGAAUAAUUUAGCAAUUUUUUUUUUUAAUUCUUGAUGUGAUAACACUCUUACAUGUGAUGCCUAAGAAACCCCAUUUGUGACACUCAGGCAGUUUUAUGUCUGACGCCUAAAAAAUUAACUAUUUUGAGUUCUCGUCCAUAGAAAACUCUCUUCAAGUUCUUAUUAAAUUGAACUCACUGCUCAGGGAGAUAUCAUCCAUUAUAUCAUUUUUUUUUAUAAUGGUAGAGAUGAUAUGUCCUGAAUAGUGAGCUUCGAAGAAAACUUGAAGAGAACAAACGAUUCAAAACGAGUAAGUUUCUUCUGGCAUCACAUCUAUACUUUCUAAGCAUCUCACCUAGGGUUUCAAAAGUUUCCCACUUCAGAUCCAUCACACAAGAAAGAAUUAAAAUCAUCCUUAUAAACCCUUCUAGGAUUAAUCAUACUCCUGCUAGGAAGGCUCCAAGAAAGAAAGAGAAUUGAAAUAGAAUUUAUCUACAAAAGAAUUUAAUAUCCCAUUUGUGACAUAAGUAGAAAAUUUAAUAAAAUCCUGAUGGUACUCAAAUCCUAAUUGAGAAGACUACCACAAAAUUUAACUAAAAGAAGAAUCUGAAUCCUCCGUAUCACAAGCCAGUAACGACUAUCCUCAUCAAAUCUUUCUAAUAACAUCGGCCUGUUUGAUAUUGUUGCCUUCAUUAGUGGCUAUAGUUCAUGACUUAUCCCCAAUAUAAUAGACAUCAUCACAACAAACUCAAGUAGAAACGGAUUCCAAAGGUUAAAAUAACACACUUAGAAUUGAGGUCAUUUCUUUUCAUCUCUUGCAAUGAAACAACACUUAUAGAGUGCCAUGUCACUUGGUAAAUCAGCUCAGAAAGUACUCCUAGCAUUCCUCAUGCUUAAGAACCAUGAAGCAGCUCUCAUGUGCCAAAGCACAGGUAUCAUGUUUAUGUAUUUUCCAAAGUGUGACGUGUUUCGCUAUAACUCCGCCAAAAGAUGUAUCCAUGAAUGUGCCUUCCACGUUAGUGUUCCCAUCAAUAGAGAUAUAAACUUGAUGCAGACAAGGAUUUACUAAGUUGAUAUUUGAAUAUUGAUGUUCUUACCAAGCUUCAGUGAGUAUGGAUGUUGUGAAAUUCUACAACUCAAUGACCCAAAAGAUCAUAUUGAGAUCAAAUGGGAAUUGAUUCAAAAGUAUGUAGUAACACGUUGAGAAUUGAGAUCAUAUCUUUUCAUCUCUUGCAAUGCAAUAAACCACACAAAGAAGCAUCUUCAUCAAACAAGAGAAUUAUGAAAGUGAAUUUCUAAAGAGAUUCAAAGAGAAAAAGUCAUUGAUCUGCAGGAAAUAGGAAGGUUCAUGAUCCAAACUUUUCUAUAUCUAUUUAGAUAUUUCAUAGAACAAAGGCUGUAAAGUAGUCCCUUGCGACCUGCGAAUUGUGAAUUAGAGAUACAAUUUUUUUGAACAUGAAGAAUUAGCAAAAAGGAUGCAUAACCAUUCGUCAUCUUAGUUCUAUCGAGCCUGGUAUAUUUAGAUUUAGCAUUUGACUAGUAAUUCAAUAUGUCAAGCCAGGAGCUGUCGUUCUCAUUAAUUACUCAUUUCUUCAUUCUAUGGUUUCACUUGAAAUGAUCAAAAACAAAUUCAACAAUUGACUUGGCAUAAAGUAAGUGUAUCCGCAGCUUAUCUUGGACAUAUACACCCUCUCAUUAAUAGAAAACUUACCACAUUAAAGAUGUAUUCGGAAGUUGAAUGUCACUUGACUCUAUCCCUCUUUGUACAAGGAUAUCAUCAUCAUUAGUAUGAUCCCUACUUUGCGGUUCUAGUGAUCCAUUUAAAUCAUGUAUGCAGGUAGACUGUGGCGUGAUUCUUUGCAUACAAGGAGACUAUUUAAGUAUACACAAGUAUAUAUUUUAAGAUUGUUAGGGAAAUAGGAUUUCUCGCCAUUUGUUUUCGUAUAUAGACUUCUUUGUAAGUCCCAUCCUGAAAAAAGUUACGUAAUGUGAUGUUAUAUGUUAAUCCCCACACACACGAAAGCACCAAAAAAAAAAAAAAAAGAUGAAGUUGCUUUCUUAGAUACAGCAAAAUGAAUAAAAAUCGAACUGCUCAACUUGCUUAACCUCUACAUAAUGUGCUUGAAUAGUUAAAAUAUUACUACUCCGAAGUUAUUGACUUCUGUUGACUAACAAACAUGGCAACGUGUUUAAUUAAACUGAGAAUCUCACUGUACUCCUUACGAAUGCACCUAAUGUAUUAUCAUGGAAAGGUUAGAGAACUGACCAGAAUAUUUUGUUUUAUAUUAGCCUGGUACGUAGCCGCAUCAUUUGUAGAUCUACGAUAUCGAUCAAUCGUCUUUCGGAUUCUGAAAAAUUUGCAAAGAUAACAUAUGAGCUCAGCCACUGGUAAUACAUUCUCCAAAUUAAUCAGGUAUCAUCAAAACUAAAGUAAUCAAACAUUAAACAAAUUAAUGAUCAUUUUUGUGAAUCAUGCAUGACUUCCAGUGAACAUGUAUCACCAUCACUCACUAACAGAAUAUGCAAGGAGCAUAAGCCUCUGCACAAAUGAGAACUUAAAUGAAUAGGUCACUUGCCACUCGUAGGAAUUCAUCUAAGAGAUAAGAGCAAAACAAAAAAUCCUUAUUGUUCUCAAGCCAAAGGCUAAAUAAUAUAUGAAUCAAAACAAGUCUACCUCCUCAUUCAUCAUGGCAUGCUUAUAUAGAUGAGUUUGGAACAACCCUUCAAGCAUGAGUAAUUACCAAGACUCAGUGAAAAGACAAAAAGACUCAUAGGAAAGACAGAACUAGUCUUACUAGAAAAUAACUAUAAUUAGAUAAGGACGCCAGAAACUUAGAUGACAUUUACUAUACUUUGAAAAUAUGAGAAUCAAAUGUAGUUGGCUGUAAGUCUCCUAAUUUUACUAGUUCUGAAUUAAUGGAACGCUCCAGCAUCAAUAAUCAUGCCACCAAUAUUUUUCUUCAAAUUUUAGCAUAAAUUUUCAAUUUCACAUCAUAAAAGUAUAUUAUGUGCGCACACGAAGUAUAUUUAAAUGUGAGCACAGAGUGAACUAAUGCAAUGUUUUUUGCCCAAGCCCAAAGUCUUUCAAUAUAAUCUACAUGCCACUCCAUGUCAUUAAAAAGUAAGAACAGCAUAUGAUGCUCGUAAAAUCAUUGUGAAGCAGUACAAGGACUCACUACUUCAGAGAGAAAUUGUAAGAGCAAGCAGUUGCACCUCCAUUUAACUUGUGACUUCAAGUACUUUUUUUCUCCGUAAAUGAAGAAUAAGGACUACAUACAUGGUGGAGCAACUAUUGCAAACAUGUACAAUUUCAGUCACUUUUGGACAGAAAUACUCUAUUAAUAAGAAAUCCAAGAGAUCAGUGUGUUGCGUCAUGGUAGCCUUUAUCUGUUAUACUGAUGAAUGCACUUGAUCCCAUAAAAUCACCACUACACAAAUCUAGUCAAGCCCAAAAUCUUGUUCACCUUCCAAAGCACCAUAUAAUUAAAAGAACCUGAAGUUGAAGAUGUCAGGACUUGUUUCACAGGCUUUUGCUUAGGGUUAAAGUACCAUUAAAAAAUCAACUUGAAAAUCUUUUUCAGGCUUUGUUUGAUUCAGAAAAGAGAUUAAUUAUGCUUUCAGUUUCGAUUCAAUGAACUGCAAUUUGUAAUGCUUCUUGAUUAUGGCGGUAGAUAGGUAAUUCAUUAUUGGAUUUCCUGACCAAUAUAAUGCGUUUCAUAUGAAAUUUCUAGUUUUUGCCUUGUGUCAUGGUUAUAAACUUGAAACAUGAAUAUGUAUGAUUUGUAAGAUAACUAUUAUCACAUAGUAUACAUAAAAUAGACUUAAUUCACGUCUAAGUGGUAUAAUUAUGACGAACUGAAUCAAACAAGGUAUGGUUUGAAGACUUCACCUUUUUCAACUUAAGUUUGGUUUUCUUCAACAAUUUUCCAAGCAAUCAAAUUUGUUUGGAAAAGAUCUACUUCGAAUAGAAUAAUACCUAAUUGCAAAUAUGCUUAAUCAUCAUGCCCCAAGAAUUACUUAUGGAGAUCAAUCUAUAGAAGCAGCCUUAAAACCUAUAACGCUUCAAAAGGGAACACUACACGGCGUGUUCAUUUCAUAUCAAUGUGGAAUUGGGGGGAAGGCUGAACUGUUAUUUGUCAAAACCAGAAGGACCAAACAAUAUCAGUCCCUAGUUUCACUAACAUUAAAUUAUGUUUUCAUUCCCCAAGACAAAGUACUAACAAUCCUAACAUGUGAAGUAGCUGGAGGAGAUCAGUACUUGCAAGAUAUUCAACUAUUCGUUUCCUCAGAAGAACCAUUAAGAAAGAGGGAGUCCAACUCCAACGCCACGGCGUACACAAUGAAUGCCUUUGAUCAGCUAAUCCCCCACAUCUAGCCAUUUGAUUAAGCACACCCCAGUGCAUUGACUAUUCAAAAAAAUGCGAAAGAGAAGAUUUUAUAGUUUCAUACUUCCUUUCCUCAGCUAAUUUCAACUAGGAUAAUUGAAUAAAAUUCAUUGUUUUUAAAAAUUGUCCAAAAAUGGGAACUAGAUUGGUCAUCAUGAUCGAAGGGGAAUAGCACUGAACGCUUGACCAAAACCAAAGAUGGUAGGAAAAAAAAAGGAGAAUAAGUGGGGAAUAAAACCAUGCCAUGAUGCUGUCUCAUAUUUGCACUUCACAAACACAGCGUAUAUAUGUGCAUAUGCCCUCAUUUUGGACAUAAGAAUGUUAACAUGGCUCGAUCACGUUUCCCAUUAUCAGCUCAGUGAAAUUAUAAAAUCAGUAUGUGAACGUACUCGGAAUUGCUUGAGAACUCGUAAAGCCUUCCUUUCUGUGAAAAGAUGAUCGUGGCAACUUCAGCAUCACAGAGGACCGAGAGCUCAUAAGCUUUCUUCAGUAGCCCAGGCCGGCGCUUUGAGAAGGUGACUUGCCGGCUCGUCACAUUCUCAAUUCGCCUCAUCUGAACCUUGCCUCUCACCAUGAUUUAAUUCUUCCUACAUACAUGAUGGUUAUCAACCCUAGAAUGAGAAGUAUAAACAUAGCGAUGAACAUAAUAAAUAUACCUCAACGAUCAAAAAUAACAACUCACCAGGGACUUUGGCAGCUUCAACCAGCUGAAAACACUGCAAGACAAAUCACAGUUUCCUUUUUUUUUAAACAGACAUGAACUAUACCAUCAUUCGAACACAAGCAAAAACACAGGAUAAAGAUUUCACAAUCAAAGGUCGGAGAAUCAUAGAUUUGCCCAGCGUAUUAAAGGGGGAAGCUUCUCUACUCUACGUCAGAAAAGGAACCACAAUAAAGUCAGAAAC
rnacentral:lncRNA from 1 species